rnacentral:lncRNA from 1 species
UUCAAGACCAAGUCCUAGAUGAUCCGUUAGCCUAGCAAGCAAGAUGACUCUGCUUAGGUCGGCUGUUGGUUUGCCCUAGCGUCCACGUACCGAAUAAUGUAGUUCAGGCGCACGUAGGCGAUCGUACGUAGUAUCAUCAUGUGUGCUUCGUAACCGGUAGUCCGUAGCUACUCUACGGUGAGUAGCGUCAGGUCAAGUCGGAAGCUGUGGCUUGGUCAGGUGGCUGGUCUGCCUCUGGGCCCAGGAGUGUCUGCAGUGUCCACUGUAUCCUUGCUUCUUCAGUAAUGUAUGUCGUCUUGCUCAAAUAUGUCUUGUCUCGUUUGAUCUGUGUUGAUUCCUGGUGCUACUGGGUGUAGACCUUGUUGCUCGUAGAGCUAUCACCGGCUCAUAGAACACCAUGAGCAGUCGCUGACUGCCAAACCAUGCAUGAACGUGUACCUUCAUGGCUUUGCUCCGCACCUGCGUCUAUACAUUUGACACGAAAGAUGAAAUACCAGAGCAGAACGAUCGAUCUCUCAGACAUGACCCAGAUGCGGGGAGCACUUGAUCAAGUCCGAGCGUUUCCGAUCCCUGCCUGUCAUGUCGCGGUUAUCGCUUGCUGUUGGUAGUGGGGGUGAUCAAGGGGGAGCCGUUGAGGAUCCUGCCCACCCGAAGCUUUCCAACGGCGGCGCGAUCGUGGACUUCAAGCCAUCUGGGAAUUUUGCAGGUUUUCAGAGGGCGGUUCCAAGCAAUGGCAAUGGACUGUCGGAGGAAGAUGGUCUACCAGUUGGAGAGGAUGCGCACAUCGGGGAUGAAGCGGACAUGGACGACGUUGCGUUUGUUGCAGUGGACUUUGAGGAGGAGGAUGAAAACAUCGAGCCGGGUUGGAAGCUGAUGAGCCUAUACAGAUCACAAAAACGGCCAAGCGCGAAGACGCUGUCGGAUCACUUUGAGAAAAUUUGGCAGCUACGUACAGGAGUUGAGUUUAAGCCCGUACAGAAAAAUUACUUUGUGAUCUUUUUUCUCUGAAGGGGACUACAGAUUCGUUGCUAGGGGAGGGCCAUGGAUAUACGAUGGAGAUGCUUUGUUGUCAGGAUGUAAAUGGUCAGCCUGAUGUUGUGGGACUGCCCGCACUGGCCACAACAACUUUUUAUGUGGGAUUACGCGGGAGCCCAGUUAAUUUUCAUGCGGGACAUGUGGCGUCCACAUACUGCCCCAUAUAUUUACAAAGCUUAGACUGGAUAAGCUGACAUACAAAAGAUCACUAGAACUUCCACACUGACAUACAAAGCAUGUGGUGUCUGGAAGUAUAUACAUACGUACAGAAAGUGUGACAAAAACAAAUGGCAGUAGAUACAAAGUGAAAAUGGCAAACAGUGGAUAAUAUUAGCCCACAUUGACAUAACCAUCGCUACUAAUUAUCACUAGUGAGUUCGAGCUUCAUUCAGUAGUCGCCUCUAGAAUAACAAAAUCCACAAAACAUCGGCAACUUAACUAAAAACGUCUAUCAAAGCAGCAGAAAUAUCUUCUGUAUGUGAAAAAAAGGAAUAUGCAACACACUCCCCAUCCUUCAUAUCCCAAAAUUAACAAAAAGCACCUGGAGUUCUAGACUCAAAACGGUACCAAAUGAUAAAACUAUCAGCUAAGAGCAUCUUCCAUUCUUCUGUUAGCUUUGUGUCGGGCGACCUUUGUACAUCAAGCUAUGCUCACUGGUAUAUAUAGGUUUCAAUAAUUUUUUUUGUUUUUGAUAUAUUAAACAUUUGUUUCGCGACGCACUCUAUAACUCCCGUGCGUUAACGUCAAUUAUAAUAGUAAAGUCAUAAACUACAUAAUUGGCAAUACAAACUAUAUAUAACUAACCCGUCAAUGCCUACUUAUCUACAUCAGCGCUAAUACGGAUUCAUCUGAAGCCCUAACUCCAUUAAUGAUGAGGCUAUCUAAAACAUCUUCUUCUACCAUUGGCAAUGGCAAAGAAGUAGGUCAUUGGGGAGUCCCCUUUAAGAGUCCAAUUGAGGGUACCAUGCUGACGCCAAUAUAUAUCUGCCUGCUGAUGCAGCUGCACCAGAGCGGAUUCAAGGUUGUAUUGGACUGACCAAUCAUGCUUCGAGAGGCCUAUCACAUCUGCUAAAAGUUCCACGCCCGCGAUCUGGGCCUCUAAAGAUUUUUUUCUCCCUGCGGGUCUCCGCUGCUCUGUUAAGAGACCAACCCCUAAGAAACUUACGAAGCUCAUAUCAGCAUUUGUGCCAGUCGUCCAUGGGCCCAAAGGAUCGAUGUGAAGGGUUAAGAAGGCUAGAAAUCUAGGUGGCAAGAUUAUUGAUGAAUCCCUCCACUAGAAGCCAGGAAGCAUCGAAUUGGAAGGGCGAAGAGGUCAUAUGUUGGUUUAAGCCAGCGUCCAAAAUGGAGGGGAGCAUGAACUAUAUAUAUUUAAAUACUUUUUUUUGUUUUGGAUAUAUUAAACAUAUGUUUUGCGACGCACCCUUGAUCUCGAAAUAUCACGUCAAUUAUAACUGUAAAGUCAUGAACUACAUAAUUGGCAAUACGAACUAUAUAUAACUAUCAUACGUCAAUGCUGCAGUUGUAGCCAAGAAAAAUGGACAAUAGAUGAUUUUGUUUUUCAACACGGCUCAAUAAAAAGCUCGUUUCCCUCGGUCCUUUUAUCUACAUUUGGAAUAAUAAUGUAUUCACACAGAACAAUCAUUUCUGUUAAAGUGUGUUUUCUUUUUGCUUGUCAACUCUAAGUGUAGCCAUUAUGGCAGUAUGUGUUUUUUGUACGCUUACUUAAUUCGGGAUAUCUGGUUUUAUACAAAGGUUGAUUUUUUUCGAUUCUUUGAGAUUGAACUGUAAAUAUGGCAUGCCUUAGUAACAAUAUAUUCAACUAUAAAAAAGGAGAAAGAUCUGAUACGCCCCCGUCACGUUUUUUUAUAAUUAGAAAGAAUCAUCUACGUCUUAAAAAUGACUUGAUAUAUUUGGCAGGCAAUAAAAAGCAUUAAAAAUAUAUCCGUUUAUAUAUAUGCUGCAUAGACAUCCUAAUUGCCAAGACACCUCAUAGAACGAUCACUCACGCGUAUCGAUCAGCGAUGGAGCCCAUCAUUGGAAACAAUGCGCCGGCGGUCCAGGUUGUGGCAGCGCGCACUUACGAGGAGGUUUCUGUGCCCAGGCCCCUGGAUGCCGCUGCCCCCGACCCCAAUGAGGCUGCCCUCCAGAUACACGAUGCUGUGGCCGACCCCCAGGAGGAUUUGCCCGUACCCCUGCAUCUUCUUUCCCCACCAAGGCAUUUCGUGGAAGAUGCACUCGAAUAUAUAUUCGGCUUCAUGAACGGAAUUCAUGAUGAGCAGACACUAGAGUAAGUUAUGGUAUUGUAUGUUUAUUUUCUCUAAAGAAAUCUUAUUAGAACUAGGUCGUACACAGCAGACUCUGUUUGAUAUAGGAGUAUGAUAUUGCUUGAUUUGUUUUUCUUUAGAUUAAAUCUUACUUUUUGCGGCCAGCAGUACAAAAUUAUUUUUUGUUAAAUGUUUUGGCAGUAUUUCCGUUGCACAUCUACAGUAUGUAAUGAAUAACAAAAUUCUAAUAUUAUUUGCAGUACAAAUGUUGAACAACUUAAUGUCCUUACUAUAUUGUAAAACAAUUUAAUAUUGUUUUUGAACAACCAGCAAACUUGGUAUAAUGGGUGCUACCUAAAUUUUCCUGCUCUUAAUUUCUAACAAAUUAAUAUUGUUCUUACAGAUAAGUUAUUAUUUAAUUUUAGCUUUUGCUAGAAGGUGCUGAAACAAUUUUCAUGCUCUAUAGUUUAUCAAAAUAUUACGUUCUGCUCAUAGCUAUUAGAAUAUCUAGAAAAUGUUACCAUAUGAACAAUUUUAUGUUUUAAAGUACCACUCAUAUUGCUAACCAUUUUUAUGUAUUUUUACGUGCAGCUCAAUCUGGAUAAGAAGCGAUACACCGUACUGGGUCGAAAUCAGCCUCAGAAUGCUGAAGGACACACUAUUUGUAACGUCCGCAAGUCUACAUCCCGAUUGCUUCAAUCUCGCUGUUCGUAAGCUUGCUAGCGCUGAAGUAGAGAGGCAUGCAGGCACCAACAUGGUUGGAGGAAAACAUUAUUUUGACUUGCAGUUCCAUGCUCAAUCACGAGCUCUAAGGUAUUCAUGGAUGCCGCAAGGGCAGCGCACCUCGAUGCUGAUCAACAAUGCUGUUCUACAGCCCUUUCCUCGAUAUGAUGUGUUCAACCCCACAAUUGUAAGAGUUUUUAAUUCCUAAAUUAUUUUUUCUUUCCUGAUAGCAAGGAACGUGUGUUGACCUUAUGUAGUAUCUACUUCCGUUGUCUAUCCCGGAUUCCUCGUAUGGUCUACUUGUGGUAAAUCGGAUGAGGAGAAGGGUUAUCGUAUUUAAUCCAUCACUAGACGUACGACAAGUGGGAAAUAGCUCUCACAACAAAGAGAUGAUGAAGGAAAUCACUAUUUUGAAGCAAGAACUCAAUGAAGUGUUGCAGGCUAGGGUCCUUGAAUGGAACACCGAACUCAUGGAUUGGCAACAAGACAACAUGUCAUUCAAUUUUCGGCGGUAAUUUAAUAAUUUUUUCAGAUGAAUAAGAUGCAGUAUGUAGAAAUCUCAAGUUUUUAUUCUGUUUGUCACAGCAAAGACUCGGGUUUCUUAGUUCUACAAGAGAUGGCCCACCAGCUAGGUUCUUUGCGUAGCAUGACCUGGAUGAACACUACAGUAAUUAUCUUUAUGACGAGUUUUAAUGUGCCAUUUAUAAUCCAACCACUUCGGCGUUUCAUGGUGAAUUUGUUUCAUUGUUUCUAGGAUCCAAUUAUGCUCAGGAGCCAAGUGGUAGUCCAGAUGCUCAUGGUCAAAGACAAUCUAGCUGCUGGAAACAUCCCUCAGGAGAUUACGGCGGCCUUGAGGGUUUUGAACAACUAAAUAUGCUUCUAUGCAUGCAGAACCAUCAGGAAUACUUCAAUCAUCUUGUCAUGUUUGGUUAUGGAUUGAAACUAUAAUUUUUGUUUUUGGGUUUACAAUAUUUAAGAACUAAUUGAAGUUUUGGUACUACUACAAGUUGGUUUUGCUGUUAUGUUUGUUGUUUUGGUAAUUUCUGUUUGUCUCACGUCAAUGAUCAUUGAGCCACAUUUGAUAGCUAAAAAACAAUCUCACCCACAAUCAUUUCUCCUACCCUAUGAGGAUUCAACCGCUCCGACAACAAAGCAACUUAUUCCGGCGAGGGAUCUAGCUUCUCAAGCUAGAAAUCGAGCUUCACAUUCCGGUUCCCGAUCAGUGUUGCAAUCGAUAGAGGAUGAGGGAGAGAGGCGCCAUGACGCAUCAAGGAUAGAGGACGAGGGGGAGAGGUGGCAUCAGUAGACUAUGCACAUACCGAUCUUUAGUAGGGGAACCACAAUAUGUCCCUGUGUUUAAGUGGGCCAGGGCAGAGCAUCUGGGCUAUUUCCUCACACUAAAGAAUUAAAGCCUAACGCUUGUGACGUAGAUAUCUAAAUAAUUGUUGGCCAAAUGCAUGAUUAGCGCGUAGCGCUUUCCUGAUAAUUUUUCCCGAGGCAGCUGGGUUAUGACGGGAGUGCAAGCUCAGACAGAUUCACUCAACUAGGUCCAGGCUGUUAACACCAGCGACCUUGACCUCGCUGCCAAUGGAGUGUUGUUCAAAGAAAUAAUAUUCUUUGCUAGAUUAAAUUUUAACCAAGUGGUAUUUUCGUUUUUCCCCAGGAUGUGUAAUAAAGUAAUGUAUGCGUUAGCCCCAGUCACGUGGCAGGAUCAAGCACCUGAGUUUGUGGACGCCCUUGUAGCUAGCGACUCUGCUGAGCUGUCUGGUUAAUGGUAAGCUUGAUUCCCACCACAAAAGAAAUGUGGAGAAAAUAUUUAUUAGAGGAAAGGCACCGGCCCCCACAGUUGAAAUCAGGGGGGGGGGGCAAAUUUGAUAGGGAAAUAAAUCAGGGCCCCACCAUUCAAAUCAGGGGUCGGAGAUUUAUUUAGAGGGGGACAAACACUGGGCCCCACAAAACACGCAGCCAACAACGCUUUCUGGGUGGGCAUCGAGUGUUGCACUUCCUCACGACAGAGUAAGUCCGGUUUCUUUGAUUUUUUCGUUUGGGAAAGUUAUGGGGUAAGGGAGACAUAAUUUAGGCAACUUUUAUUCUGUUACUAGUUUUUUGCAUAGUCUAAUCAAAACAAAUAUCUUGCUGAUUUUGUUGAUAGUACUUUUUUAUGGAAACAUGCAAAUAAGAAAGGACAGGGUGCACCUUCCUAACUGUUGUCGCACAAUUCCCCACGGCCUCAUAUAUACUCAAUAAAAUCCUACGGGCUCCUUCCUCUCUCGCUUUACCAGUUGUACGGCCGACUUUUUGCCCCGUCAAUGGAAGCAAUGGCAAAUUUUGGGGGAGUGCGACACGCCGUCAACUACAUUGUCGGGUGGUAGGUGCGACAUAUGCCAAUGGGUGGCUUAUCAUUGUGGGAGCCAGUAAAACAUCGCCGGUGCCUGGAAACGGGAUGAGGCGAAGACAUGCACGCCGGUGCCUGGACCGGCUGGGCUCGGCCUUCUUCUGGGCGUUGGACUACGAUGACGGUGCUGACCACCCGGCUAGUUGCGGCAAUGUAAAGGAGCAUGGGCUCUUUCUCAGUCGGCGCCGCUAGGAUGGGCGGCGUGGCCAGCAUCUUCUUCGGCUCAUGAAAAGCUUGGUCGGCCUGGUCGUUCCACUCGAAGUGAGUGCUCUUCUUCAUGAGGCGGUAGAGGGGAAGAGCUUUCUCUCUGAGCCGGCUGAUGAAGCGGUUCAAGGAGGCCAAGCAUCUGGUGAACUUUUGGAUGUCUCGAAGCUUGGUGGGGAUCGCCAUUCUCUCGAUGGCCUUGAUCUUCACCGGGUUGCAUUCGAUGCCGCGUUCGGAGACCAGGAAGCCUAGGAGCUGGCCGGCUGGCACUCCGAACACGCAUUUCUCGGGGUUGAGCUUGAUUUGGAACCGGCGUAGGUUCUCAAACGUUUCUUUGAGGUCUUCCAGCAAGGUGCCGCGCUUCUCCGUCUUCACCACAAUGUCGUCCACGUAGACAUGAGCGUUUCUGCCGAGUUGCUUGAGGAGGCACGUCUGCAUGCAACGCUGAAAAGUGGCACCGGCAUUUCUCAAGCCGAAUGUCAUAGUCAGGUAGCAGAAGGCUCCAAAUGGCGUGAUGAAGGCGGUCUUCAGGCGGUCGUCCGGAUCUAGCUUUAUCUGGUGAUAUCCUGAGUAAGCAUCCAAGAAACUCAACAGCUCGCAUCCGGCCAUGGAGUCUAUCACUUGGUCAAUCCUCGGCAGGGCAAAGAGAUCUUUAGGACAGGCCUUGUUGAGGCUUGUGUAGUCUAUACACAUGCGCCACUUGUUGUUCUUCUUUAACACGAGGACCGGGUUGGCAAGCCACUCUAGAAAGAAGACUUCCAUAAUGAAGCCGGCUGCCAGAAGCCAGGCUAUCUCCUCCCCUACAAUCCUUCUCUUUUCCUCUGAUAGUCGGCGGAGGGGCUGCUUGACUGGUUUCGCGUCUUUUUGGACGUGUAGUUUGUGCUCGGCGAAUUCCUUCGGAACACCUGGCAUGUCCUUGGGGGACCAUGCAUAGAUGUCCCGAUUCUCACGGAGGAAAUCGGCAAGCUCGCCUUCCUAUUUGCUGUUCAGGCUUGCCCCGAUGACGGCUAACCUCUCGGGGUGCUCGGGGUCAAGGGGUAUCUUCUUGGUUUCUUUGGCCGGCUGGAAAGAUCCUUGGGCAUCAUACUCCUUGGGGUCGGGGGACAGGUUCGGCUGCUCGCUGGCCAUGGCCACGACCCGGUCCAACAUCUUCUUCUCUUCGGCAAUCACAAGGGACUCGGCCAGCCGGCUGCUGGCGGCAGCGCACUCGGAAGACUUCUUCUAAUUGCCGGCUACGGUGAUGACGCCCUUGGAACUUGGUAUCUUUAUCUUGAGGUAUGCAUAGUGGGGAACUGCCAUGAACCUGGCCAAGGCGGGUCGGCCAAGCAACGCGUGGUAGGGGCUCUCCAGGUCCACCACUUCAAACCAGAUUGCUUCCCGGCAGAAAUGCUCCUUGUCCCCAAAGAGUACAUCAAUCUUGAUCUUGCCAAUGGGGGCGCAGGACAAGCCGGGUAUGAUGCCAUGAAACACUGUCCGAGUAGGCAUGAGCUGCUUCAUCUUGACAUUUAUCUUCUCCAGGGUGUCACGGUACAGGAUGUUGAUGCUGCUCCCGCCGUCUAUCAGCACGCGGGAGAAGCGGGCAGCGCGUCUGUCCGUCGCGAGGGUGGCUUCUAGGACCAACGCAUAAGAGCCGGGAGACGGCAUCACCUCUGGAUGGUCGACCUGGCUCCAGCUGAUGGGUUUUUCUGACCAAUGCAUGUGUCCGGCGGGGUUGGCAGCGACCACGCUGACUUCCUGGUGCUCUCGGCGUUUGCCGCGCCGGUCUUCGAGCUGGCUUGUAAAGACGAUGUAGGUCGCUUGCUCCUCGGGGAAUUCGUCGUGCACGGCUCCGACUGCGGGCCGAGCGGCCGGAGGCGGCGGAGCCGGAGGCGGCGGGCCGGCAGGCGGAGGCGGCGCGAGCCCCUCGCCUUUAGAGAUUCGGGUGAGCCAAUGGCACUUCCGGGUUGUGUGGUUGGACGGCUUCGCGCCGCUAUGGAAUUUGCACGGGGCGUCGAGAGUUUGCUCGUAGGAGAAAGCCGGUUGCCAAGCCGGCCGGCCGCCCUUGGGCUUCUUGGGCGCGGGUCGCCCUUCAGGCAGCGCGUCUUCGACUGUGGCCACCUGCCGACUGGCGGGAGGCGGCGCAGGGCCCUUGCGCUUGUGGUCGUUCGGGUGUGUGCGUCGGCUGGAAUCCCCUGCCGGCGUCUUGGGCGCCGGGUUGAGUACUUUCUCGGACGCGUCUACCCGGAGCUCGGUCUUCAUCGAAGAGUCGGCGGUGGCGUAUUUGUCUGCUAUGUCCAGAAGCUCGUCGACGUUGUCGGCUCAUCGUAGAGGAGCUUGUGCUUGAGGAGGGUACCUUCUCGGCACCCGGCAGUGAAGUAUUCGAUGGCUUGCACCUCGUGCACCCCCUCGCAAGAAUUGUGAAGCUCGGACCAACGCGUGAGGUAGCCGCGAGUGGACUCGGCUGGGCCUUGUACGCACAGGGAGAGCUGCCUGGGCUUGGGGGCCCGCUUGUAGGUGCUGGUGAAGUUGCGGGUGAAAGCUUCGGUGAAAUCUAGCCAGCUGUUGAUGCUGAGAGGCUUGAGGCUGUUGAGCCAGGUCCGCGUCGUGCCUUGCAGCAUGAGGGGCACGUACUUCACGGCAAUGCGCCAGUUGCCGUUGGCUAUGCUAACCGCCGUGGAGUAGUCGAUCAACCAAUCUUCCGGCUUCACGAAGCCGUUGUACUUGGGCGUGUCUCUUGGGAGCGAGAACCCUUUGGGGAAAGGCUCGUCGCGGAUGCGGGGCCCGAAACAAGGCGGGCCGACAUCGUCUUCUUCUUCCAGCGCCAGGGAUCGUGCCAGGCGGUCGAUCCGAUGGCGGGCGUCGUUCUCGCCGACUCCUUCGCGGCGACCUAGUCGGCCACUGAGAGUCGGGUGCGCCACUGGCGGCGGGGUGGGAUAUCUCUCUCCACAGGGUGGAGGCGGAGGCGGGUUGCCCCGCCAUUCCAUGGCUCGGGGAUGGCCGUCCGUGUCUCGCUCGAUGGAGAUUCAGGUCCGGCUUCGGCUGGCCGCCGGCUCUUUCUCGCGCCGCGCGCGGGCGUUGCUCGUAGUCGGUGUCCGGGACGUCGCGCCGUGAUCUCGGCGCGGGGGAGGGCUUCCCGCGCGGGCAUCGGCUUCGUGCCGCCGUGCGGCCGCGUCAAUCAGUUUCUGGAUGCGCCGGGUCAUGUGGGGGAGUUCUUCGGCCUCCAAGCCGUCCAACUCGUCCACGGCCGCCUGGGCGGCACGCAAGUUCUCGAGCGGAGUGGCAUAGACCGGGCGGUCGACUCCCAGCAUGUCGGCGAUGACGGCGCCGCGUUGCUUGACAAUGCCGACCCGGCUUGGCCCGCCCGGGGCCGGCAUGCCGAAGGCGGCGCGGUCAGCUUCGCACUGGUAGGCCUCAGUGAGGCGUCUCACGGAAGCCAGCCUCCGGCCCUCUGCGAGGAGGGUGAGGCGGCGCGCCUCCAGUGCUUCGUCAUCGGCAUCAGCCGGGAGGGGGGUGGACAAGUCGUGGGCAGCCGCGUGCGGGGCGUCGUGGGCGCUCUCGUCGGCCGGGCCGCCGUGGCCGACGACCAUCACUUCGGUGGUGACAGUAUCGCGGCCGUCGGUCCGAAGAAGCGGGUCGUUGUAGAUCGCGAUGUUGGUGGGGAAGGUGUCGAAGGAGGCCGUGUCAAAGUCGACAGGCAUCGGGUCGGUGGAGCCAACCGACUCCAGAUCCACAGUGGGCUCGCUGGAGACAUGGAGCUGGCCGAGGAGGUUGGCGAGGCUGCUCGCCGCGCAGAUGCUGGUGACGCCUUGCAGCGCGUCGUGGAAAGCGCCAUCAGGCGUGUCGGGCUGGCUAUGCUCGCUGGGGAGGAAGAGGGUUCCCGUCCAGAACAGGUCUCCGGACGAUGGUGCACCUCGCCCCACGAUGGGCGCCAAAUGUCGGGUGGUAGGUGCGACAUAUGCCAACGGGUGGCUUAUCAUUGUGGGAGCCAGUAAAACGUCGCCGGUGCCUGGAAACGGGAUGUGGCAAAGACAUGCACGCCGGCGAAUCUUACUGCUCUCCGUGGAGAUAACACUCCUACUGCUGCUCUGCGGGGUCUCCGCAUGAUCACUAGCUGGACAAGUAGCUACACAAUGCUCCUUGAGCUGUUCGGUGGGAGGAGGAAGAAGGGCACGGCUAGCUUGCUUCUUCUCCUUGUGUGGUGUCUAAAACUAGCUGGGGGUUCCAACCCUUUGCAUGGGUGCUCCGGGGGGUUUAUAUAGGCCUACCCCCUGGGGGUACAAUGGUAAUCCGUCUGGGCGCGGGGCCCAGCCGUCUAUGACUGCGCUCGCCGGCUUCUGCCCCGACCGCUGGGGCCCGCCGACUGGUGGGUCCUGCCGUCUGCCAACUCCUUGGCAACAGGCAGGCCCCACUGCCAAGGGUCUUGUCGGUGGCUGGUUAAUGUUGCUUCAACCUGAUGACGAGGGCUUCGUCGAGGUAAGCGUGGCUACAGUGCCGCCGUCCGGCGGGCGAUCGCUGUAGCCUCACCGCGUCUUGUCUCCUUAAUGGGGCGUCUCCUUUGAGGGGGGAAGCGAGCCGGCUGCGGGGAGCCAGCCCCGUCUCGGGCCGACUGGGGGAGGCCUGGCCGCCUUCGGGCGUCUCUCUGCCCGAAGGGGCCCACCGCCCGUGGGCCGCGCUGGCGGCCCGUCGUGGGUGACAUCAGGGUCAACAUGGCAAUAGUGUCGCGCCGGACGGGUCAUGGCCACUCCGUACGGCGCACUGUGCCAGGCGUGCUCCGGGAUUCGGGGGUGGCAGGCUUUACUAUAGCCACGCCCCGUCUCAUCGCCGCUAGGUGGAUGCAAACUUUGAGAGUACGGUCUCGACCGCUUUAUGGGAGCCGGCUUCUUGGAGUCGGCCUCCUCGCGGCCGGCUUCUCUAAGUCGGCCCUCCCGUGGCUUUCUUCAUGAGGGCUAAAGUCGGGCCGCCUUCCGAAAGCCGGCCUGGGUGACAGCCAGCAAGGGGAUGGCGGCCCCACGUCUUGGAUUCUUGAGAGCCGGACGGGCUCGUAAUUUUUUCAGAAGGGCCAGGGGAAGCCGGCUAGGCUACCCAUGGCUAUUUACUCCGACAGUAGUCCCCGAAGCUGAUCGAGCUUCGAGGCGGACAAAGGGACGAGAAGCUUGGUCAGGUUCCUACCCUGAAGAGCCGGCUUUGCUGAUGUAUGCCGAUUUCGGGGAGCCCUGAGUCUUGCAGGCAGGCCACGUGGCAGCGAGACCCUGCCAGCGCAUGCGCGCGACGGGACGCCGCCGCAGGCCCGGGCCCGCCACUCCUAGGCCUCGGCCCGAACGCUGAUCUUCCGCGGCCCAGGUGGACCGCUCGCCUUCCCGUGGCGAUUUUAUUUCGCCAUUAGGGCGCAAUAAACGCGGGACGUGGGGGAGUGGGCACGAUCGAUCCCCACGUUUCCCCACGCCGCGCCUCCUCGGCUCCGCCACGCGAGCCUAUAAGUAGGGGGAGGAGGGGGAGAGACAGAGGUUCGCAUGCUCUCUCUCGCUCUGCCCCUUCUCGCCUUCCUUUCUUCCUCUCGUUGCCGCCGCAGCCUCCCGUCUCAGCGCCGCCGCGCCGCCACAUCGUCUUGCUCCCAUGACGCUGUCGAGCUCGUGGGAUGGCUCCAACGUCCAUGAGGACCAUGUUGAGUUCCUCCGCCAGACUCGGCGCCUGCCCGACGCCAACCUCGUGCGGGUCCGCCUGGCGCCAGAGAAGGAGAUCUCGCCGGCACCGGAGGAGGGCGAGCGGGUCGUCUUCCUCUCGCACUUCCUGCGCGGCUUCGGCCUUCCGGCGAGCGGAUUCCUGCGCUCCUUCCUCGAGUUCUACAAUCUUCAGCUGCAUCCCCUCACGCCCAACGCGGUGAUGCUGCUGUCGGCCUUCGUCUCUCUCUGCGAAGGUUUCUUGGGGCUGCUCCCCACGCUGGAGCUCUGGGGGGAAUUCUUCCAGAGCAAACUCGGCACUAUCGUCGCAGGCGUGCCCGUCCCCUUCGGGGCCUUCAUCGCCAUGAGGAGGUCGGGCGAGAACAACCCGUUCCCGUCCAUCCCCCUGAUCUAGUCGGUGAAGAUCUGGCAAAAGUCAUAUUUCUAUGUGAAGAACGUCGCCCAGCAAGCAGACCAUGUCAACUUGCCGGCUUACGUAGCCGGCCCGCCGGCUGGGAGGCAGCCCUCAUGGAGUUUCCGGUCCAGGUCACUGUCUUAGGCCGGGAACACUGCCGUCUCCCGGCUUCGGGUGAUGAUCCAGUCGGAAGGCCUGAGCCGGGCCGACUUGGUGGCCGCCUUCAUGGAGCGCCGGAUACUUCCUCUCUAAAGCCGGCCCCACAUGAUGUGUCAGAUGAGCGGUCGCUUCGACCCAAGCCAGCUGAGCACCAGGGAGAUGCCUCACGCGGAGGUGUCGUACAUGGUAAAUCAUAUCUCCAAUUGCAAGCUCGCCGAGGACUGGCGAUACGGCAAGGUGCCGUAUUCUCGCGCCAGCCCUCCGCCCGUGGUAAGCUUUCCUCUCUUUCGUCUUUUUGUUGGUAGCCGGCUUUAUGAUGGCCGGCUUCUGAUCGGUCGGUUCUUCUUAGCAGAACCCCCUUCUUCCGCCGACGACCGGGGCAGCAGGGAUAGAACGCCAGUACGUCCCCGACCGCACGGUGGACGAUGUCGACGACCCAGAUUUGGGGGCGGCCGCCAUGGAAGACACCGUCGUGGGGGACGACGCCGAGCCCGGAGGCACAGGGCUUACCGCCAGCUUCGAGGACUGGUCGGAUGAUGCCGAAGCCGAAGUCGCCCCGCGUCGCUAGCCGGCGGCCGACCAUCAGGGCGCGGGCUUGUCCACCGCGCCGGCUGCCAGCGGCAUCGUACAGAAGCGCCGGGCCGCGUCAACCCUCUUCGACAGUCGGCCGAAGAAGUCCAAAGCCUCCACCGCGGCGACCAAACGAGAUGAGGCGGCCGCGAAAGUGGCCCGCUUCCGCAAGGUGGUGAAGCAGCCUCAGGCGGUCUCAGCGUAAGUCGUUGAUUGCCUGGUCGCAUGCUUUUCAUCGUUCUCUCAUGUUCGAACAUUCUUCCUAACCUUUUCUCGCUCGCUGAACAGGGCGCCGCUUUCCCUUGAGCGGGGUCCGGGCGGCUCCGUAGUUGGGCCGACUGGAGGGUCUUCGGUCUCCCGCCGCGUGGACCCCCGCGCCGACCUCAGGGAGGCCAUGGAGCGGAACGCCCGUGAGGCGCGGGAGGAGCGUGAGGCGGCGGAAAAAGCGGCCGCCCAGGCGGUGAGGGAGCAGGCCGACGCGGCAGCCAAGGCCCAGGCGGAGGCGGCGACCGCGGAAACGGAGGCAGAGGGUUCGCGUAACCAGCCUCCGCUGCUCGCCAUUCCCCUCCGAGCCGUGGCCCCCGACACCCCAUUGCCCGUGGCGGAGGAAAUCGUCCAAGACCCGCCGCUGAUGGAGAGGAGGGAGGACCUCGUGGUCUUCGCGGGGAGAGCGCCGCUGGCAGCGCCAACCGGAGCGGGCCAAGGCGGCCAAUCGUCAGCGGCGCCAGAGGAGCCGGCCGGGGGUGAGCCGGAGGACGGAGCCGGCUUCGAGGUGCAUCCGGUGACGCGUCGGCGCGCAGGGGGAGGCGCCGCUCCGCCGGAGUCACGUCGAGUUGCGGGCGCCGGCCAGUCGGCGGAGGCUCUGGAGGCGGCCAACACCGCCACGUCCGACUGGACUCCCAGCGGGGGGGACUGGCGAGCUGAAUGUGCCGGCUCAAGAGGUCCGGAGCCGGCUUCAAGCUCAGGCCGCCCUACUGCAGCAGUACACCCAGGAGUUCCUGUCGACGCGGGCCGCCAUCCGGGUGAGUCUUUCAUUCUUGGCCGCUUUGGUCUCUUGAUUUCUUCCGUGGGGGCGCGUCAGCGCACCCACUGGGUGUAGUCCCCGAGUUUCGGGCCGACUGCUGAGCAGUCGGGUCGGAUCUUUCUUGACGACUACCUUAUUUUUGCUUCCUGUCUGAACUUCCAGGAAUAUCAUAACUCCCGUGCUGCCGCCUUCAACUCCCAGUCUCAGGAGUUGGGUCGGAAGACCAACGACCUGGUCAACAGCCGAAGUAAGUGCUUGAUCUUGUCUGUCUCCUGUGGGGGCGCGUCAGCGCACCCACUGGGUGUAGUCCCCGAGAUUCAGGCCGACUGCUGAGCAGUCAGGUCGGAUCUUCCUUGACGACUUUUUCCUUAUUGGUUUUUUCUUUCGUGCUUUCAGGGGCCAACGCCGACUUGAGGAGGGAGCUCAGCGAAGCGCAGGCCGCCCUUCGUACCAAGGAUGCUGAGUACGCUGCCUUGGUCCAGGAGCAUGACCGCCUGGCCAAGAAGCUGGCUGACCAAGAGGAGAGCCACAAGGCGGCCCUGCAGAAAGCGCGGGAUAGUGAGGUCGCCCUGAAGGCAGAGUUUGAGACCGAGGCGGCGAGCUGGGCUGAGACCCGGCGAGCGCUGGAUGAAGGCUUCGGCCGCAUCGAGGACUUGAUCGACGGUAAGCCGCCUUCCUCGCUCCUCUCCUGCCCCUUGCCGCCUGGUUUUGGCCUGACUUGUGCUGCUGCCUAUUUUCUUGUGCAGACUACUUUCCCGGCUACUCCGCCUUCGCCUCCCAAACCAUCGAGGCCCAUCGCAAGGCGUGCCGUCAGGCGGGGGUCAACAUUGCGCCGGACACGAAUCGGACGCUUGAGGAGCAGCUCUUGGCUGUCCAAGCGCGGCUGCAGCUGGCUCACCGGAUGCUUCGCCGGCUCGAACGUGCCGGGGCGCAGGUGUUGGCCGCCCUCUGGCCCGGCAAGAUGAUCCCCCGCACCCCAAGCCGGACUGCCUACUGGCUGGAGGUUGCAGUCGGUCGCUUUGAAGCUUGGAAGGCGUCGGCGGCCCGUCUUGGAGCUGGGCGGGCAUUGGAGUUCGUUUGAGCUUGGUACCCAGGGCUGAACCUGGACCAGCUGCGCACUUAGCGGCUGGAGGCCGACGUGGAGCUGGAGGAGGUGCGGCCGGCUAUCGCCCAGCGUGCUUCGAUGAUCGCCGAGUGCACCGACAUUAGUGUUUUUGCACCUGAAAUCAAUGAUGACGGCGUUGCCCAGCCGGAGGAGUGGUUUGGGAUGAACCCGGCGGUGGGCAAGGACUCGGAAGAGGAGAUCGCCUCCAGCGAUGAGGGCGAGGAUGACGGAGAAGAGGACGGUGAAGACGUCGAGCCGGCUAGUGGAACAACCGGCCGGCCUCAGGCUGACCGUGCCUCCAGCAACGAGGCGCGUGGAAGCGCGCCCUCUGCGGGAGGCGUUGAUCAAGCCGAGGUUCGGCAGCCGGCCACUCCUUUAGCCGGCACAACCAUCUCCGCCGACCAGCCCGGCUCGUCGGUCGCUCCGCCGGCUUGACCUGCCGUCCUUAUUUUUCCUGCUUGUUGCCUUUUGAACAAUCUUUAUUAAGCUUUCGCAGUUCCACCCAUUGGGGGUGUAUCCAAACUAUGUUGAAUGCUGGCCUCUUGGAGGUCUUUUAUGUAAAUAUUAUUAUGUGCAUGUUUGGUUUCCAUUCGCGUAUGCUUUUUAUCCUUAGGCUUUUUCCUUUGCCGCCUUCCCUCUUUGGGGGAGGCAAGUACUCGAGCUUUCUUGGAUUGAAGUGAAGUGAAUGGAAACCGGCCGGCUGGCUACUCUGGUAGUCGGUCGGUGGUAGGCGGCAAACCGGCUUUCGUUAUAUUAGUCCGUUGGUCCCUGGCCAUUUUUCGUGUGGGCAUCAUUUCCUGCUUUUGACUCUUGCCAGCCGGACAGCCGGUUCUUCGAACUGCGACUUUGGCAAGAGCUAAGCCUGGGUGUCGGCACACUACUUGUCUGACCGCGGGUAGGACUUCUAAUAUAACUCCAGCCGGCCAGUUCCUGGGCCGACUAGUCGAACCCGGUGCCGGACGGAACAAGUAAAUGAAAUGACAAGGUCAUAAGCAUGAUACUCUUCAUUCAUAGAUAAAAGAUGGCAGUCCCCGAGCUCUCCUCGGGGGGCCUAUUAUCUCAUACUUAGUAAAAAAGUUAGCGUGAUACAUACUGCAUUUCAACUGUAAAAUCUUCGAAGGAGGUUGGCGUUCCAUGGUCGUUCCGACUCCUUGCCGGAGUCGUCUCUCUUUCAUGCCUUUGGCUUCUGUGCGUCGAUCAGGUAGUAGGAGUCGUUGCCUAAGGCUCUGCUGAUGACGAAGGGGCCCUCCCAAGGGGCCGAGCGCUUGUGCUGGCCGGCUGUUCGCUUGAUCAGUCGGAGCACAAGAUCGCCCACUUGGAAGGAUCUUGGCUUGACCUUCCGACUGUGGUAGCGGCGCAAACCCUGCUGGUAGAUGGCAGACCGGCUGAGGGCUAACAGCCGACCUUCUUCCAGCAGGUCGACGCCGUCUUCUCGUGCUUCCUUGGCCUCCGCCUCCAUGUACAUGGUUACCCGGGGCGAGUCGAACUCGAUGUCGGUUGGGAUGAUCGCCUCGGCACCGUACACGAGGAAGAAAGGAGUGAAGCCGGUUGACUUGUUUGGGGUAGUGCGCAGACUCCAGAGGACAGCCGGCAGCUCAUCGAGCCAACAGCCGACUGAACGCUCCAGUGGUACGACCAGUCAGGGCUUGAUACCGGAGAGGAUGAGGCCGUUGGCUCGCUCGACCUGGCCGUUUGACUGCGGGUGGGCGACGAACGCUAAGUCCAGCCGGAUACCUUGGGCUGCGCAGAAACGUGCCAAGGCUCCUUUGGCAAAAUUCGUGCCAUUGUCGGUGAUGAUGCUGUGUGGCACGCCGUACCGAGUUGUUAUGUCUACGAUGAAUGUCACAGCAGUCGGCCCAUUCAGCUUCUUGAUCGGCUUUGCCUCAAUCCACUUGGUGAAUUUGUCCAUGACGACGAGCAAAUGCGUUAUGCCGCCGCGCGCCAUCUUGAAUGGGCCCACCAUGUCCAGUCCCCAAACGGCGAAGGGCCAGGUGAGGGGAAUGGUCUUGAGUGCCGAAGCCGGCAUGUGUUGCUUGGAGCUGAAGAGUUGGCACCCUUUGCAAUAUUUAACUAAUUCUUUGGCGUCAUCCAAAGCAGUCGGCCAGAAGAAACCAUGGCGGAAAGCUUUGGCGACGAGUGAUCUUGAAGCCGCAUGGUGGCCGCAUUCUCCUUGGUGAAUGUCUCUGAGGAUUGCAAUGCCCUUCUCUUGCUCGACGCACCAUAGGAAGACUCCAGUGACACUACGCUUGCCGAGUUCUCUGUUGACGAUUGUGUAUGCUCCGACUCGACGUUGGACUUGUCUUGCCUCUGUUUCGUCAACCGGCAGAUCUUGGUUUACUAGGAAGUUGAGGAUGGACUGAGCCCAUGAAGGAGCCGCGACUUCUCCUACUGCCAAUGUGGCUACUGCCACCAGGGUGGGCGGGCUGGGUGGUGAAAUGCUGGAGUCGGCCGCCGGCUGUUGUGUUGGUGCAGUCCCCGGGCCGGCUACUACAGUCCCCGAGCCGGGUGUGGCAGUCCCCGAGCCGGUUGCCGAAGUUCCCGGGCCGACUACUGAAGUCCCGGGGUCGCCUGCUUGGUUCUUCGAGCCGGACCCGGCCGCGUCGGGGUCAGGCGGUACGAAGAUGGAAUCGGACUCUGGAGACGGCUUGAUGGACGGCUUGAGGAGGUGUUGUAGAGCGACGCCGGUUGGUAUUGCUUGCCGAGUGGAGCCUAUUCGAGCCAGGGCAUCGGCUGGCUCGUUGUCGGCUCGCGGUACGUGGAGGAACUCGCAUCCUUCAAAGUAUCCGCUGAGUUGUUGAACCAGGAAGCGGUAGCUUGCCAUAUUUGCGUCCUUGGCAUCCCAGUCGCCGGAUGAUUGCUGAACCACCAAGUCUGAGUCGCCAUAACAUAGGAUCCGGCGGAUGCCGAGUUCCUUGGCAAGCCGGAGCCCGUGUAUGAGUGCCUCGUACUUGGCUACAUUGUUCGAGGCGGCAAAGUAAAUCUGCAGCGUGUAUCUGAGCUUGUCGCCUUUGGGAGAGGUAAGGACGAUGCCGGCUCCCAAGCCGGUGCGCAUCUUGGACCCGUCAAAGUGCAUGCGCCAAUGGGUUGAGUCGGGAGCCGGCGACAGGUACUGGGUCUCGGCCCAGUCGACGAGGAAGUCGGCCAGUGCUUGGGACUUGAUGGCGGUGCGGGGCUGGUAGAAGAUUGUGUAGGGGGCCAGCUCGAUGGCCCAUUUCGCCACCCGGUCGGAUGCGUCCCGGCUGCCUAUGAUCUCGGCCAACGGGGCGGUGCAUACGAUCGUGACGGGAUGCUCCUGAAAGUAGGGCUUCAGCUUCUUGGCGGCGAAGUACACGCCGUAACACAUCUUCUGGUAGUGCGGGUAGUUCUGCUUUGAAGCGGACAUCACCUCGCUCAAAUAAUACACCGGCCUCUGGACCGGCUGGGCUCGGCCUUCUUCUGGGUGUUGGACUACGAUGACGGUGCUGACCACCCGGCUGGUUGCGGCAAUGUAAAGGAGCAUGGGCUCUUUCUCAGUCGGCGCCGCUAGGACGGGCGGCGUGGCCAGCAUCUUCUUCAGCUCGUGAAAAGCUUGGUCGGCCUGGUCGUUCCACUCGAAGUGAGUGCUCUUCUUCAUGAGGCGGUAGAGGGGGAGAGCUUUCUCUCCGAGCCGGCUGAUGAAGCGGUUCAAGGAGCCCAAGCAUCCGGUGAACUUUUGGAUGUCUCGAAGCUUGGUGGGGAUCGCCAUUCUCUCGAUGGCCUUGAUCUUCACCGGGUUGCAUUCGAUGCCGCGUUCGGAGACCAGGAAGCCUAGGAGCUGGCCGCUGGCACUCCGAACACGCAUUUCUCGGGGUUGAGCUUGAUUUGGAACCGACGUAGGUUCUCAAACGUUUCUUUGAGGUCUUCCAGCAAGGUGCCGCGCUUCUCCGUCUUCACCACAAUGUCGUCCACGUAGACGUGAUCGUUUCUGCCGAGUUGCUUGAGGAGGCACUUCUGUAUGCAACGCUGAAAAGUGGCACCGGCAUUUCUCAAGCCGAAUGUCAUAGUCAGGUAGCAGAAGGCUCCAAAUGGCGUGAUGAAGGCGGUCUUCAGGCAGUCGUCCGGAUCUAGCUUUAUCUGGUGAUAUCCUGAGUAAGCAUCCAAGAAACUCAACAGCUCGCAUCCGGCCAUGGAGUCUAUCACUUGGUCAAUCCUCGGCAGGGCAAAGGGAUCUUUAGGGCAGGCCUUGUUGAGGCUUGUGUAGUCUAUACACAUGCGCCACUUGUUGUUCUUCUUUAACACGAGGACCGGGUUGGCAAGCCACUCUGGAAAGAAGACUUCCAUAAUGAAGCCAGCUGCCAGAAGCCGGGCUAUCUCCUCCCCUACAAUCGUUCUCUUUUCCUCUGAUAGUCGGCGGAGGGGCUGCUUGACUGGUUUCGCGUCUUUUCGAACGUGUAGUUUGUGCUCGGCGAAUUCCUUCGGAACACCCAGCAUGUCCUUGGGGGACCAUGCAAAGAUGUCCCGAUUCUCACGGAGGAAAUUGGCGAGCUCGCCUUCCUAUUUGCUGUUCAGGCUUGCCUCGAUGACGGCAAACCUCUCGGGGUGCUCGGGGUCAAGAGGUAUCUUCUUGGUUUCUUUGGCCGGCUGGAAAGAUCCUUGGGCAUCAUAGUCCUUGGGGUCGGGGGACGGGUUCGGCUGCUCGCUGGCCAUGGCCACGACCCAGUCCAACAUCUUCUUCUCUUCGGCAAUCACAAGGGACUCGGCCAGCCGGCUGCUGGCGGCAGCGCACUCGGAAGACUUCUUGUAAUCGCCGUCUACGGUGAUGACGCCCUUGGAACUUGGUAUCUUUAUCUUGAGGUAUGCAUAGUGGGGAACUGCCAUGAACCUGGUCAAGGCGGGUCGGCCAAGCAACGCGUGGUAGGGGCUCUCCAGGUCCACCACUUCAAACCAGAUUGCUUCCCGGCAGAAAUGCUCCUUGUCCCCAAAGAGUACAUCAAUCUUGAUCUUGCCAAUGGGGGCGCAGGACAAGCCGGGUACGAUGCCAUGAAACACUAUCCGAGUAGGCAUGAGCUGCUUCGUCUUGACAUUUAGCUACUCCAGGGUGUCACGGUACAGGAUGUUGAUGCUGCUCUCGCCGUCUAUCAGCACGUGGGAGAAGCGGGCAGCGCGUCUGUCCGUCGCGAGGGUGGCUUCUAGGACCAACGCAUAAGAGCCGGGAGACGGCAUCACCUCUGGAUGGUCGGCCCGGCUCCAGCUAAUGGGUUUUUCUGACCAAUGCAUGUGUCCGGCGGGGUUGGCAGCGACCACACUGACUUCCUGGUGCUCUCGGCAUUUGCCGCGCCGGUCUUCGAGCUGGCUUGUAAAGACGAUGUAGGCCGCUUGCUCGUCGGGGAAUUCGUCGUACACGGCUCCGACUGGGGGUCGAGCGGCCGGAGGCGGCGGGCCGGCAGGCGGAGGCGGCGCGAGCCCCUCGCCUUUAGAGAUUCAGGUGAGCCAAUGGCACUUCCGGAUUGUGUGGUUGGACGGGUUCGCGCCGCUAUGGAAUUUGCACGGGGCGUCGAGAGUUUGCUCGUAGGAGAAAGCCGGCUGCCAAGCCGGCCGCCCGCCCUUGGGCUUCUUGGGCGCGGGUCGCCCUUCAGGCAGCGCGUCUUCGACCGUGGCCACCUGCCGACUGGCGGGAGGCGGCGCAGGGCCCUUGCGCUUGUGGUCAUUCGGGUGUCGGCGUCGGCCGGAAUCCCCUGCCGACGUCUUGGGCGCCGGGUUGAGUACUUUCCCGGACGCGUCUACCCGGAGCUCGGUCUUCAUCAAAGAGUCGGCGGUGGCGUAUUUGUCUGCUAUGUCCAGAAGCUCGUCGAGGGUAGUCGGCUCGUCGCAGAGGAGCUUGUGCUUGAGGAGGGUACCUUCUCGGCACCCGGCAGUGAAGUAUUCAAUGGCUUGCACCUCGUGCACCCCCUCGCGAGAAUUGCGGAGCUCGGCCCAACGCGUGAGGUAGCCACGAGUGGACUCGGCUGGGCCCUGUACGCACAGGGAGAGCUGCCUGGGCUUAGGGGCCCGCUUGUAGGUGCUAGUGAACUUGCGGAUGAAAGCUUCGGUGAAAUCUAGCCAGCUGUUGAUGCUAAGAGGCUUGAGGCUGUUGAGCCAGGUCCGCGCCGUGCCUUGCAGCAUGAGGGGCACGUACUUCACGGCAACGCGCAAGUUGCCGUUGGCUAUGCUGACCGCCGUGGAGUAGUCGAUCAACCAAUCUUCCGGCUUCACGAAGCCGUUGUACUUGGGCGUGUCUCUUGGGAGCGAGAACCCUUUGGGGAAAGGCUCGUCGCGGAUGCGGGGGCCGAAACAAGGCGGGCCGACAUCGUCUUCUUCUUCCAGCACCAGGGAUCGCGCCAGGCGGUCGAUCCGAUGGCGGGCGUCGUUCUCGCCGACUCCUUCGCGGCGACCUAGUCGGCCGCUGAGAGUCGGGUGCGCCAUUGGCGGCGGGGUGGGAUAUCUCUCUCCACGGGGUGGAGGCGGAGGUGGGUUGCCCCGCCAUUCCAUGGCUCGGGGAUGGCCGUCCGCAUCUUGCUCGAUGGAGAUUCGGGUCCGGCUCCGGCUGGCCGCCGGCUCUUUCUCACGCCGCGCGCGGGCGUUGCUCGUAGUCGGUGUCCGGGACGUCGCGCCGUGAUCUCGGUUCGGGGGAGGGCUUCCCGCGCGGGCGUCGGCUUCGUGCCGCCGUGCGGCCGCGUCAAUCAGUUGCUGGAUGCGCCGGGUCAUGUGGGGGGGUUCUUCGGCCUCCAAGUCGUCCAACUCGUCCACGGCCGCCUGGGCGGCACGCAAGUUCUCGAGCGGAGUGGCAUAGACCGGGCGGUCGACUCCCAGCAUGUCGGCGAUGACGGCGCCGCGUUGCUUGACAGUGCCGGCCCGGCUUGGCCCGCCCGGGGCCGGCAUGCCAAAGGCGGCGCGGUCAGCUUCGCGCUGGUAGGCCUCAGUGAGGCGUCUCACGGAAGCCAGCCUCCGGCCCUCAACGAGGAGGGCGAGGCGGCGCGCCUCCAGUGCUUCGUCGUCGGCAUCAGCCGGGAGGGGGGUGGACAAGUAAUGGGCCGCCGCAUGCGGGGCGUCGUGGGCGCUCUCGUCGGCCGGGCCGCCUUGGCCGACGACCAUCACUUCGGUGGUGACAGUAUCGCGGCCGUCGGUCCGAGGAAGCGGGUCGUUGUAGAUCGCGACGUUGGUGGGGAAGGUGUCGAAGGAGGCCGUGUCGAAGUCGACAGGCAUCGAGUCGGUGGAGCCAACCGACUCCAGAUCCACAGCAGGCUCGCUGGAGACAUGGAGCUGGCCGAGGAGGUUGGCGAGGCUGCUCGCCGCGCAGAUGUUGGUGACGCCUUGCAGCGCGUCGUGGCAAGCGCCAUCGGGCAUGCCGGGCUGGCUACGCUCGCUGUGGAGGAAGAGGGUUCCCGUCCAGAAUAGUUCUCCGGACGACGGUGCACCUCGCCCCACGGUGGGCGCCAAAUGUCGGGUGGUAGGUGCGACAUAUGCCAACGGGUGGCUUAUCAUUGUGGGAGCCAGUAAAACGUCGCCGGUGCCUGGAAACGGGAUGAGGCGAAGACAUGCACGCCGACGAAUCUUACCCAGCUUCGGGGCUCUCCGUAGAGAUAACACCCCUACUGCUGCUCUGCGGUGUCUCCGCAUGAUCACUAGAUGGACAAGUAGCUACACAAUGCUCCUUGUGCUGUUCGGUGGGAGGAGGAAGAAGGGCACGGCUAGUUUGCUUCUUCUCCUUGUGUGGUGUCUAAAACUAGCCGGGGGUUCCAACCCUUUGCAUGGGUGCCCCGGGGGGUUUAUAUAGGCCUACCCCCCGGGGGUACAAUGGUAAUCCGACUGGGCGCGGGGCCCAACCGUCUGUGACUGCGCUCGCCGGCUUCUGCGCCGGCCGCUGGGGCCCGCCGACUGGUGGGUCCCGCCGGCUGGCAACUCCUUGGCAACAGGCAGGCCCCACUGCCAAGGGUCUUGUCAGUGGCUGGUUACUGUUGCUUCAACCUGAUGACGAGGGCUUCGUCGAGGUAAGCGUGGCUACAGUGCCGCCGUCCGGCGGGCGAUCGCUGUAGCCUCACCGCGUCUUGUCUCCUUAAUGGGGCGUCUCCUUCGAGGGGGGAAGCGAGCCGGCUGCGGGGAGCCGGCCCCGUCUUGGGCCGACUGGGGAGGCCUGGCCGCCUUCGGGUGUCUCUCUGCCCGAAGGGGCCCACCGCCCGUGGGCCGCGCUGGCGGCCCGUCGUGGGUGACAUCAGGGUCAACAUGGCAACAGUGCCGCGCCGGACGGGUCAUGGCCAUUCCGUACGGCGCACUAUGUCAGGCGUGCUCCGGGAUUCGGGGGUGGCAGGCUUUACUGUAGCCACGCCCCGUCUCAUCGCCGCUAGGUGGAUGCAAACUUUGAGGGUACGGUCUCGACCGCUUUAUGGGAGCCGGCUUCUUGGAGUCGGCCUCCUCGCAGCCGGCUUCUCGAAGUCUGCCCUCCCGUGGCUUUCUUCAUGAGGGCUAAAGUCGGGCCGCCUUCCGAAAGCCGGCCUGGGUGACAGCCAGCAAGGGGAAGGCGGUCCCACGUCUUGGAUUCUUGAGAGUCGGACGGGCUCGUAAUUUUUUUAGAAGGGCCAGGGGAAGCCGGCUAGGCUACCCAUGGCUAUUUACUCCGACAUACGUGUACGAUUUCAUAGCACUUUCCUCAGACGAAGAACUACUAGAGUAAGUUCUCACAGCCCGAUAGAUCUAAUAUUUUUUGCUCUUCAUCGUCUAAGUCCACUGCCAUGUCCAUGUAUACUUUGCAUUUAGAAGAUAUACCCCCAUAAAAAAUCUUCCUGCCCUGUACAUAUAUACUUUACGUUUAGAUUAGAAGAUAUACCCUGGUUAGGAUCACGUGGUCUUUGUCUAAGUUCAGACGUCUGUUACAAAGGCUGAAUGUGUAGUUAUUUUUCUUAUACAAGUAUAUAAAUACAUAUUAAUGGUUGUUACAAGAUAUUAUAUUUGUACUGGUAAAUUGUGUCUAAAACCAGUGUUUUGCGGCGUCUAACAUAAAUAGCUGAUAAGUAUGAAACGAAAUACGUAUGAAACUGUGGUCCAAAACUAUGGGGUCUAACACCUUUUACAACAAUGUUGAACAAGCUAUAAACUACAUGUUGAAUUUUUUUCAUCCAAAAUCUACAACAAUUUUUAUGCAGGUCCAUGUACUACUACGAAAACACUUCAAUCUGUUAGUUUAUUGCCCGUACAUAAUAUUAAAAUACUUAACUUGGUAGAGAUUACAAUAUCUUUUAGGUCAUUUAAUGUGAUAUAUACUAUUGUUUAAUUAUUCAUAUCUUAUAGACAGCAACACAGUUUUAUCGUUUGAGUUUAGGAUUACUUGAAGUCAUAUCAUUGAUAUGAACCUUGAUCUUCAUUUUUUAUAGCACAAUCUCGAUUAGGAGCCCGCGCCCAUUCCCUAUCGAAUUAGCCUACGGAUUAUCCGAGACACCAUCCUAGGAGAUGGACUUGUCCAUCCGUUAUGCUUCAAUCUAGCUGUGCGUAAGAUUACUACCGACGCAGCAGAGAGGAGCGCAGGCACCAGCUCUGUUGGAAAGACACAUUUUCUCAAUUUGGGAUUCCAUGUGCAAGCACGGGCGCUAAGGCAGACUUGGUUAAGCCAAGAACAGCGCACCAAUGCACUGAUUAACAAUGUUGUGCUUGAGCCUUUUCCAAGAUACGACGUGUUUCACACCCCUACAAUUGUAAGUGUUCUCAUUCUUACAAAUUAGUUGGUUACUUUGUUUGACAUUUACCUUUGUCUACCAAAUGCAGUAUCUUCUACCACUGUCACUCGUGGAUUCGUCCUACGGUCUUUUAGCAGUGAACAUGGAAAUGGAGAGGACUAUCGUUAUUGAUUAUUCGAACCAGGAUGUGUUUCAUUUUGAGGAGGACCCCCAUGGCACUGAACUUCAGAGGGAAGCCCUUUUAGUGAAGCAAGAAUUCAGCUCUGUAUUGCAACAGGAGGCCCCUGAUAGGAACAGCCAACUUGUGGAAUGGCCCGAACAAGAUAACAUUCAUGUUUCACCUCGGCGGUACUAUUCUAAAUUUGGCUUGCAUAUUAGUGCGUGCUCUAAUAUAGCUAAUACAAUAUGUUUUUUUGGUGACAGUAUGGACUCCGGAUUCAAAGUUCUACAGGAGAUGGCCCAUCUAUAUGAAACCAUCGGUAAUGACAUGGUUCAUAACAUGCCUAGGACUGACGUAAGUGAUUUUGUAAUGAGGUUACAGAUUGCAUAUAUUUGCUAAAUAUACCUUCUGACUUUGUUUAUGCACAAUUUGUAGGAUCCACAAAGUCUCAGGAAGCGACUAAUGGUUCAGCUGUUGAUGGUGAGGGAUAACGAAGCAAAGGAUAACAUUUCAAAGCAAGUUAGAGCAGCGUUGAGAUUUAUUGGUGGCUAAGGAGGACUUCUGCAUCGAUAAAUACCUUAUAAUAAAAUGAUGUUUAGUUGCUUUCUAGGAAAUAUCUGUUUCAAUGCCCGUGCUGAUCAGAUGAUCAGUUGACAUUUUCUCUUAUAUUUAUGUUGGUUGGUAUCCACUAGCUAUAGAUUGAUGUUGGCAUCCCCUAGCUUUGUUGGUUAUAUAUCUAUCCUUCCGUCCAUCUAAAUUUUACGGGAAGAAGGCCAUAUUAGUUUGGACCAGGUUUGGUGCUCCAGAUACACCGGAAUACUUUUGUGUUAGACCAUGAUAGGUUCACAACGUACUCAUAGACCAGCAGGUGAUGUUUUCAGAUAUUCAGUGCCUCGCAACAUAUACUACCUCGUAUAGUAUAACUCCAUCCAUACACGCACUGCUAUACUAUACGAGGUUUUCUUUGUAGUAAAAACACAUUCCAGCUAGCGAGUAGUCAAUAAAAAAUAUGAUUGUCAUACGGCACGUACCUUGCAUAUAUUAUAUAAGUUCCAAGUUCUCCUUUAUCUGCCUCUCUCGCCGAUUCCUUCAAUUCCAUCCUUGCAAAUAAACGCUGAUUAUCUUUUAUGUGUUCCUGAAUAGAAAACAAAAAUUAGAGAGAGCAAUGGGUUUUCUUAUUGAUCAGUACAUAUAGAUAAAACCUAAAACUAAAAUAGUAGGUAUGUUAGNNNNNNNNNNNNNNNNNNNNNNNNNNNNNNNNNNNNNNNNNNNNNNNNNNNNNNNNNNNNNNNNNNNNNNNNNNNNNNNNNNNNNNNNNNNNNNNNNNNNNNNNNNNNNNNNNNNNNNNNNNNNNNNNNNNNNNNNNNNNNNNNNNNNNNNNNNNNNNNNNNNNNNNNNNNNNNNNNNNNNNNNNNNNNNNNNNNNNNNNNNNNNNNNNNNNNNNNNNNNNNNNNNNNNNNNNNNNNNNNNNNNNNNNNNNNNNNNNNNNNNNNNNNNNNNNNNNNNNNNNNNNNNNNNNNNNNNNNNNNNNNNNNNNNNNNNNNNNNNNNNNNNNNNNNNNNNNNNNNNNNNNNNNNNNNNNNNNNNNNNNNNNNNNNNNNNNNNNNNNNNNNNNNNNNNNNNNNNNNNNNNNNNUAUUGGACGAAAACGAAUCCUAUUUGUGAGCUAGAUGUCUAUUUAUCAUGUUGCUAUUUACCUCUUCAAGUGUUUGCCUUAUUUUUUAUUCUAAUGUAUGGCACUCUUAUGGGCCUGCAGAAGGUUUCUUUUUAUGCUUUUCCCAAAUUCAUGUUUUUUCCCGCCGAAGAAAAAACUACUCAACUUAUUUUUAAAAUUUUGUCAUGCCUAUUAAAAAAUUGUAUAUGUGUUUUGAAAUAUGUUCAUCAUGCAUUCAAGAAAAAUUCAACAUGUAUUAAACAAAAUAAUGUUCAAAAUUACUCUUACAUUUAUACAAACAUGUUCUUUAUAAAUUUUACAUAUUUAUAGAGUGAUGGAACCUAUGUACCUCAUGUUCAAGUAUUACUGAAAUCCAACGAUCAUUUCCAGCAUUAUUUGCCUGCAGAUUAAAGUGUAACUUGACCCUAUUAGAAUGAUGUAAUGGACUCACUUAUCAAAAUUGAGUUGAGCAUACUCUUACAUUAGAAGGCUUCAAGGCUCCCCAUGAUUUUACAUUCACCCAGUUUAGUUGAUCAAGGGACACAUUUGCACUGAAAACAGACAUUUGUACAGGGAAAUCAAAUAGCCACCACGCCACCAAAGUAUAAGAAUUUUGAUUAAAAAAAGAGACCGAUAUUCAACAGCCAGAUACAUUUGACAUUAUAAAUUUGAUUGACGUCAUUGUUAUUUUUAAAAAAUGCGAUUAUGCCAUAAUUGAGCUUAGCAAUUUUAAUAUUUCAAAUGAGGAAAUCAUCAAGCAAUUUCGGUUUUAGUUCUCAUUUAAUUAAAUUCAUAGUGUUUGUUAUAAAUUAUUUGGAAAACAAUUAACUCUAUGGCUCUUAUUACUAAACAGACUAUCCUGCUAAUGUUUUAUAUAUGGAAUUUGGGUUGGCUAAUUGGAUCCUAGCAAACCAAGACAACGAUGCAUCUUGCUUUACACGUCAAUGAGACUUUAACAAAGCAAACAAUCUGUUUGUCUUACACAAUUUGUGCAUUUAUCAUCAAGCUUAACAUAUACAAGUCCACUAACAAUAUCGAGACCCCCACAUAUAUUAUCCCAGGCCUGCAUAUCCGGUUCAGUGAUUGUUCGACAUAAACAAGACCACUCACAGUACUACUACUAAGCUACUAUACUAAACAAGUCAAUUUUUGUUCAAGUUGAUACCGUUUAGUCGUGUAGAGGAUGUACCUGGCUGGUCAAAUUCGCUGGAGUCAGCUCUGUCUCACCACAGUCUUCACCACCGUGGCCUUGUCUUGUCCGUCGGGGAUACCUCUUCGCCCAGGCCCUGCCUUUGAGGCCGGGUCACGGCACCUCGAUACAUCAUCCUGGAGAUUAUCAGGUCUUGGAAGCAAAAAAAGGAAUAAUUUUCUUCAAGUUGCUACGAUGUAGUCGUGUAGAGGAUGUACCGAGCUGGGCAAAGUCGCUGGAUUAUGCUCUGUCACAAAUGGUCUGCAACAGUUCCACGCCCCCUUGUGACCUACGGCCGCUCGUACCCAGUCGAUGUUGACAUUGUAACAGGUCGAUGAUGCAUUAGGUGCAUCUGUGUUUUGAUUGUGCAUACAACAAAAACAGAAGGUUGUUAAUUGCCAUCUUUCAGAAACAAAACAUUUUAGAUUAUUUGAAUGUUUAUUUAACUUGAUUUAACCGUAUGAAAAUUCAUGUUUACCUAUUCAAACUGAACAAUAAUAAAAAUAGAAUCAAUAUUUAAAUAGACAAAUAAGAUAUUUUGUUUUUAUAUGGCAUGCAAACAGUAAAUUAUCUGCCAUGAUAAGUUGUUUAUUUAAUUAAUACAACAAUUUAUUUUUUAGUAAGUUCUGAUUUCUGACAUCUUUUCUAAUUUAUUAUGAGGUGUGUUUGAUGAAAAAAAGGAAAGAUAUCUACAACAUACGUAAGUAUAUAUGGUAAAACUGGAAAUAUAUCUGCUACUCAGCCUUCCCCUGCAUGGCCUACCUAUAUAUGUUAACCUCCUCUGUCAUCCCUCACCCCCCCUCCUUACUCUCCCUUUUCCCAUCACAGAUAGCAAAGGAUCAUAAUACCCAUACUUGGAGCACCAAUUCCCUAGGAGUACCUUAUGUAAGCAAGGAGCACCAAGAAGGCGAGGUCCUCUAGGUAUGUGAAAAUUUCUGGAUCUUUGUAUUCUGUAAAAGGGCAACAGCUACUAGAUUAGGAUCAUGCUUUGGUCAGGCAUACCAUCAAAAUCCAAAAAAAGAACACCAUUGGAGAUAGUGCCAGGUUAGAAAACUAUCAUAGCCAAUACAAUUGAUUUUAGAUCUAAUCAAGCAGUCCUAUUAGAUGGGCUGCAAUUGAAUACAAACGGUUAUUUCAGAUAUUAUAGGCUAACAGUCUAUUCUGGACAUCGCAAGUGUGGCAUACACCUAACUGUUUAAGUUAUGACCAUAGUUGAUUGCCUAACUUUUAAUGAAAUCUAAUAAAUAUAUUUGAGCCAGAAAAACAAACAAUUAACUUCUUAAGUGUUUCAACAUGCCAGAAAACAAACAAAUUUAAUCAUCUUCUGAUGAUAGAUAUCAUCAGAGUCAUAAUAUUAAAUCAUUACGUGUAAUAGAAAUUGCAUGAGACAUAAUGCUUCGAUGGAAUAGUCUAAAAGUAUUCAUAAAGCCAAAUUUAUUAAUGGCAGUGCUUCCUAAUUUUACCCUCACAAAACAUAAUAUGACAGAAUAUAUACAGAAAUAUGUAGUGCUGCAAACAUUGCAUUUUUCUAUUUCUGAUAGGACCACAUUUUUUUGGAUGAACAAAUACAAUCAUUGGAGUUAACCAAUCAGCAAAAACAUUGUAUUGAUUAAAUAUGAUUGCAUACUCUACAAAAAAUCCAGAUAGUAUUGUGUCUAUCUGGUUUCUAAAUAAGAACUAUUGCAUGGAGAAUACAAGAGAAAAAUAAUCAAACAUGUCCUCAUUUACUGUAUUAGCGAGAUAUUUGAUAAUAUCAAGUUUACAAUAAUAUGUAAAUUAGCACUCUUGCAAUUUAUAUCAGUCACAGAAAAUCACACAGACCUUGCUUAUCCUUGUUCUCCUAUACGUAGCUCAUACCUGUGGACGGCGACUUGCCAUUUUUAACCAUCGUGUGUGUAUCGUCCAAAGUUUGUCGCCGUCCACAGCACUUAUCCUAAAGCUAAUAGUAGCAGUACACGCUCACAUUAGCUAGCACAUACAUUUGUCUAUCUCCCUCUACCUCUCCCUCUCUCUUCUCCUAAAGCUAAUAGUAGCAGUACACGCUCACAAUAGCUAGCACAUACAUUUGUAUAUCUCCCUCUACCUCUCCCUCUCUCUUCUCCUAAAGCUAAUAGUAGCAGUACACGCUCACAAUAGCUAGCACAUACAUUUGUAUAUCUCCCUCUACCUCUCCCUCUCUCUUCUCCUAAUACUAAUAGUAGCAGUACACGCUCACAUAGCUAGCCACAAAUUACAGCAAAACACGGACCGUAGUCCAUUCGCGGGUACUGGGCAGGGGGGAGGGGCCGUUUGUCUCACCUUGACGCGGAAGUGGUGGGGGUUGCCGAAGACGGCGGAGUGGUAGACGAUGAAGACCAAAGGCUGCACCACCGUGACCCGACCUCGUGGUGGUUCUUCUUGCCGGCGAUGUGGACCACAGGCUGCACCACCGUGGUCGUGUCUUUGCCCUGGCCCUCCAUGUGCGGCCGUGCCACGGCGCCUCGAUAGAACAGCGAGGAUGAGAUCAGGUUAGGGAAGCAACAAAUGGAAGAAGUAGAGGAGGAAAUGGUUCGGAUCAGCGUACCGGGGCUUCUGGCGUUGCAGAUCGGCGUACCUUUUCUAAUAUGGAAUCUUAUGGAGCUCUGGGUAGUUAGACCAAUACUCAUCCAGGAUAAGCAACAGUUCCUGUGCUCUACCAAGAGCAUAUGCCGGGAUAAGAACACGCCCCCCUUGAGAAACAGUGUUGUGGAUGGCAUCAGUGAAGCGCUUUUCUCUGACAUGGCGGGGUUGGUGUUGCUGCACGCCAUAAGUUGACUCAAUAAUGCAAAUAUCAGGGGAGAACUGGGGGAUCUCAGCAGCUUUCAGGUGCCGGUCUUCUUCACGGGAGUAGUCACCGGUGUAAAGAAUGCGAACACCGGCAAUAUCCACCAUGAACAUGGCAGCACCAAGUACAUGGCCAGUAGUAUAGCACCAGAAGCGUAUGCCAUUAACUUCAAGUGUCUGGUGGAAGUCUAUGACCUGCAUCACAAUUAUAUAUUAAUACAAUGUCCAUUGUCCCUGUGGACUUUCAAUCCUCACAAGCAGAAUCAGGCCUCAGCUGUAAAGGUAAAAAAUCCUGCUAUUUGGAAGCAAUGCCCAGAUAAUACAGGGUUCUUAAAUCUUAAUUUUACCAACAGCACAGCGACUUUUAAAUGUUUUGACAAUUUAGAAUUAACACUGACACAUAAGUGCUCCAAAGGCAGGAAGCAGGAGCUAGCUAGAUGGGGGGACUGAAUCUAAGUUCACUUUAAAAUAUUACCCAAGCAUGUAAUAUAUAUGUAGGCAACAACUCCAUCUACCUAAAGAACAGAGUUUGACUGAAUUUGUAGGAAAAACUAUCAAGAACUACGAUACCAAAUUAAUAUAAUUGGAUACGCAACAAAAAUAUAUUUUCUUAUUAUAUCUAUUUAGUAUUGUAGUUGUUGAUGAAUUUUCCUACAAACAUGAUCAAACUAUGCACCAUUUGACUUUGGACAACAUUUAUAUGCCUUCUUUUCAGAGACAGGGGGAGUAGUAUCUUUAUUUGUUCUUCUUUUUCUCCUCUAAAUAUAGUGUUUCCAGUUUUCUACCGACCAGGCUUUAUCAAUCAUCAUCGUAUUGGCUACAGGCAAUUCAUACCAAACCAAAUGGAUCAAGUCGUUCACAUUUACACAUGCCGGAAACAACAAGAUAAGCGAAAAUAAGGUACUGUACCUCGAUCUUGUCCAUGGAACGGAUGAUGUCCUGCUCGUCAAACAGCAUGUCCUCUAUCGACACCUUGCUGACCUUGACGUAAUCCGAGAGCAGCAGCCUGUAGAUGGCCUUGGUGGCGUGGGUCAUGAACACGCGGCCCUUGAACGUCGUCUGCAAACAAAAACAAAGCAAAUUCAGGUACCAAACAGCAUAACAACAUCGACCUCCGACGCGUAUUACCUACCUACCUUCUCGAGGAAGUAGGGCAGCGAGGCGGCGUGGUCCAAGUGGAAGCUGCAAUUCCAAUCCAAGGCCGGAAAUUAGGCGUUAGGAACGCAGAUAUGCGCAGGUGGGGAUGGAGGCGCGGUUGCUUACUGGGUGACGAGGAGGACGUCGAUGGCGGAGGGGUCGAUCUCGUCGAAGUAGGGCAGCGCCGCCAUGCCGGAGUAGGCCGUGUGGAUGCCGCAGUCGAACUGGGCACCAGCGAAGAGCCAGUCAGUCGGAUUCCCCCAACAAGAACAAGGCGAGCUAAGCGGGGAGAGGGAGGAGGGGUUUGGAUGCGAACCAGGACGGUGCGGCCCUUGAAGGACAUGUGGACGCAGAAGUGGUGGGGGUUGCCGAAGACGGCGGAGUGGUAGACGAUGAAGACCACAGGAUGCACCACCAUGACCCCGACCUUGUGGUGGUUCUUCUUGCCGGCGAUGUGGACCACAGGCUGCACCAACGUGGCCGUGUCUUCGCCCUGGCCCUCCAUGUGCGGCCGUGCCACAGUGCCUCGAUAGAACAGCGAGGAUGAGAUCAGGUUAGGGAAGCAACAAAUGGAAGAAGUAGAGGAGGAAAUGAUUCGGAUCGGCGUACCGGGGCUUCUGGCGUUGCAGAUCGAGGCACCCCGCUUCGGAUCUGAGCAAGGAACUCGCCGGAGACCAGCACCGCCGCGGAUCCAAACGGCGACCAGAUCCAACACCCGCGCCUGGUCGAUGUGCCCGUGGUCGUCAACAUCUGUCACACACGGGUCGCCGGAGAGUGGUGCGGUGGUCGGCUGGCGGAGUCGUGGUGGUUGCGAGCUCCGCGACGUUCGUGACGAUGCGGCUGGAGUAGGUGAGCGGGUUAGAUGUGCGACUGGCGAGUGAGUUGAGAGGAGAGGGAAGGGACUGAUGCGACAUGAGUGGGCGGAGGAGCGCGGCCGGCAGCUCGUCGACGCGCGCGGCGAUGCGGUGGCGGAGGGGAAAGGGGCAGUUGAAGUGAGUGGAGUGAGGAGUGAAUGGUAUAAGGUGAAUGGGGCGGGGUAGGUGGCCACGAGUUAUGCGGGAGGUGGGGGAGGUGUGCCGUCGUGCUGGGGAGGUGGGCCGUCGCGCGGGGGAGGUGUACCAUCGGGUGGGGAGGUGGGCCGUCGCCUGUGAUGCACUUGUGCUGGGCCUGGCCCAGCUUGUUCCGGCCCUGUGUAAUACUGUGGAUAAAAAUCAACUGUGCAUAUAUAUAUAUAUAUAGAUAAACUAUACAUACCUCACAAAAUCAAUAAAUGUGUAUAAUAAUAUACAUGGUUCAUACUAAUAUACAUUUUUUAUACUUAUUAAAUAAACCAAGGCCAUCACAAAAAAAAUAAGAGGGGGUAAAUAAUAGAAAACACAAAUAUACUUUGUUAAAGAAGGUUUGUUUGCAUGUUUUACUUUCUUUUGUUGGACAGAUUUCCACAGCCUACAUAAAUAAUUUAAAUAAUUUUCAAAUGAUUACUUACUUAUAUAAGAACAUUAUAUUUAGUUGUUUUUCUCGAAUAUACUUUGUUAAUGUUGGUUUGUUUGUUUUAGUUUUUGUUUGACAAUUUUCGCUAUGCUAUACAAUUAAUUAAAAAUAAUUUAAGCAAUUUCAGACCCCUACUUAUAUAUAAACAUUAUAGUUUGUUGUUUUCCCCAAAAUGUUGUGUUAGUAAAAUGAUUUUUAAUAUUUAUUUUUCUAAUAAAAUCAAAUGCCUUUUUUUAGCAGAUAAAACAUUUGUGUUGGUUUCACAUUCAGUUUUAUUAUAUAUUUUAAAUAAUAUUAUGAUGCAGUAAAAAUUAUUAAUUAUAUUUUAGCAUAGAUAUAAAUUGAUGGGUUCCGACAUACGCAUUGAUGCAACAAUGACAGACCACGCUGAAACACCACGAGAAGAGGUGCGUAUAGCUAAACUUCCUUUGUACGUAUCUUAUAGAUGAUAAUACAGAAGGUCUAAUUUUAUAUUUUUGUUAUUUCAGAAUACAGAAGUCAUGGAUAUGGACUUUGGAGAUGCACGGAAAGAAUACAUUGAUGGUUCGGAUGCGAUGUCGCUGAAAGGGGAAAAUUCACAACAUAAAAAUGUCGAAGAGGUUAUAUGUCAUAACAAACCAAAAAAGAUGCCAAUUUACAUGUUCUCCCACAAGGUUUUUUUAUAUCAUUAUCAAAUUUUUUUGUGAUAUUUCCUUUUGUAUUCAACUAAUUUUGCUCAUUUUGAUUGCUAAGUUGGCUCACUUUUUUUAUGAAUUCGACUGACUGUGUUUGUACCCUUAGAGAUAUUACAGUCAUCGAAUCAAUCAAGUCUGCCCCCAAGAAUACCCAGUUUGUGGACAUUGGAGAUGCCUUGUUAUCAACCGACGAUUUGGAAUGCCUUAUAAAAGAUGAUAUAUUCUUACAUGACGGUGUAAGGCCAAAUGCACAAACUUUGUAAUUAAUAAUUUGAACAAAAUAUAAUAUCAUAAAUUGUAAAUAUAAUGUAAAUAUUGAUUACAGGUGAUAAAUGCUUACAUAUAUUGCAUGCUUGCUCACGACCAUCUAAAAGUUAGGGCGGGCGAAAAGGAAGAAAUUGUUAGCACGUUUGUAUCUGGCCAGUUAAAAGAAGACGGGGAAAGAGACAUAGACCCAUCAAAAUAUCACCGCAUCAUGCAUCAUGUCAAUACUUACCUAUGGUUAGUUUUUGUCUCGUUAUCCAUGCAUAUAAUUCUGGAUUGUUUUUAUUUAAUUCAUAGUUAUAAUGAAUUAUUAAUAUUUAUAUCUAAUUGCGAUCGUGACUUGUAUGAUAUUUACACCAGUUAUUCAUUCCGAUUAACAUGUCGGGCUACAAUUGGUAUCUAGCAGUCGCCAAUGCCAAAAAACGUGAGAUUCAAGUAUUGGACUCACUUGGUUCUCGGGUCAAACGCAAUGACCUUGCUACUACGGUAAGUAUAUAUUUUUUUACUCAUCUUAACAUAUGUUUUGUUUGCCUUGUUCCCUAAUAUUUCUCAUAUAUAAAAUAGUUACUAGGACUUGAGAAGUGUCUAAAACUUGUAGAGCAUAGUUUAUCAAAGGUCAUAAGUGGCCCGAUCUUAAUGUUACAAAAUGGACGGUUGUAGAGCAGUUUCAUGAGGCAAUACAAACCGAUGGGUAAGCACAUGUUACAAUGGUUUGUUUAUUUGAUUUAUCUGUGUGGUAUUGUAAAGGAUUGUUUUAUAAUAUUAUAGCGUAUCAUGUGGACUGUUCAUGUUAAAUUAUAUGGAAUACUGGACAUCACAUGGACUGUCAGACACGUUCACCCAGGUAUUCCAUUUUUAUACAUUAUCUCGUUAUUUUAUCUCAAAAUAUUAUAUAAAUUUAUUUUAUAUAUAUUUUGUAGGAGGAUAUGAAACAUUUUAGGAAAAAAAUGGCUAUCAUUUUGCUCGAUUCAGAGCUGAAUAAGCUAAAAGGAGAUCCCAUAUACCAUCAACCUGACGAUGAAGAAACUUUAGCUAACUCUAAUAUCGAGAUCCUGGAGAAUCCAUCUGACGUAGUCAAAGACAAACGUCAUGCCCCAAUCACUAUCAUACCCACGGACCAACGUGAAUUACUUGCCGGCCUCUGCAACUACAUCAUGUCUAUCGAUGAUGUUGGGUGUUUGGAGUAAGUAUCAUGCAUCAAUAUUUAAUGUGCGGAUUUAUAAUAUUAUUCUUCCUAUCAUCCAAUUUAUAGUUAGGUAUGGGUCCGGAGCUCGACACCCGAUCCAAUGGGCUUAAGUCUUAAGAAACUUCAGUGCAUACUUAACAUGGAGCAGACCAUGGACAAUGACUGCUUCAACACAGCCGUGCGCAUGCUGGCAUGUGACGAGGGAGUAUUGUUCACAUACCCUCCUGUGCAUUACAUGGAUCUAUGAUUUUGUGUAAAUUAUCUUAACUCUUCAUUCUAUGUGUCAUUAUUAUCAACAUGUUGAAACAAUAUUUCUUUUUUUACUUAGUCCAUGAUGUUAGAGUCAACACGAGGUCAGAAGUUUUGCGAGAAGGAAACUAUUCAGAGUUUGGCAACAUUAUUUGAUAGCUGGCCUGAGAUGGACAACGACAUCUCAUCGUGCAACAAGGUAAGUAAAUUAUUUUGUCAAUUGUUAUCAUGGUUUAUUGUUGUUUCUAAUACCUGCACUUGUAGAUUUAUCUUCCCUAUGCAUCCAUCGGCCGAUACAUUUUGUACGUCGUUGACAAAGAGGCACGUCGUCUAUAUAUUAUGGAUCCUAUUCAAACAUCAUAAUCGUUAGAGGAGAAAAAUUUGAGGCAUGCACUGAAAUUAAAAAGUUUUGCAAGGGAUUUCAAAGAAGCACUCGAAAUUAAGCUGCCUGGUUGGAAUUAUGAUCUAUCUAAAUGGCAACGUUUAUUUCCGUCCUGUGUUCCAACGAGUAUAGAUGGGUAAUGAAUUCAUAACAAAAACAUUUACUUUUGUUAUUACUAUAUUCUUUACAUUGUUAAUUUAAUGUUUUACAGGAAUUUGUCUGGCUAUUUUGUUUUUCAUUUUAUGCUCUGGUGGAACGGUGAAGAUUUGGUCAAGCCGAUUUGCGCAGUGAGUAUUGUCCGUUACAUGUUUUAAGACCUUCGGCAUGAAAUUUUCAUACUAACUACAUGUAUGCGUUUGUGCAGGAUGGGUAUGAAUUGAGGAAGCAUUUUUUGUUAUACUUGCUAAAACAUCGUGGGAAUGAGGCUAAAGGAAACUUACCGGAUAUUGUGCAAGAAUUUCUUAAGCGCAUCAUCUAGAUAUUAAUAGCUUUGUAAUAGAUGUUUAGUUGGAACAUCGCUCAGUUUGUUACAUGGACAUGUCUUUAAUUUUUCUUAUGUUAUCAAUUUACAUUGCAAAAAUAAAGUUCAGUUAUUAAAUAAUUAUGUUUCUGUUAUAUUGUUUGUACGUGUUGAAUUUAACAUGUAACUCCUGCAAACUUUUUCAAGAGCCCGUGGCAACGCACGGGCACUCUACUAGUAGAUCUAGGUAUUGUCAUCUUUGGUAUGCAAUCCAUAUGUGGCUCUCAUAAUAGAUUCAUAAGGUAAUUUAAUUUUCUUUCUAGGAAAGUGUUCCAUGCCUUUCCUUAACGGAAAUUGGAAUCUAAUAUUUCCUUCUUUCAUGUCAAUAAUUGUACCAAUCGUUCUAAGGAAAGGUCUACCAAUAAUAAUAGAACAUGUAGGAUUGCAAUCUAUAUCAAGAACAAUGAAAUCUACGGGCACAUAAUUCCUAUUUGCAACAAUAAGAACAUCAUUAAUUCUUCCCAUAGGUUUCUUAAUGUUGGAAUCCGCAAGGUGCAAGUUUACAGAAAUUAUCAUAAUUAAAUUCCUUGAAAUCCAAAAUAGUGAGUUCAUUGCUAUGUAAAGUUUAACCUCCUCAAUCCCACUUUUACCAAUUUUUGCAUCAAGAUCUAAAAACUCCGAAUCAUUCGGACACCUUCUAACUAAAAUUGACUCAUCUCCAGUGCCAUCUUUAUCAAUAUUCAUAUUGGCAAACAAAGACUUAAUAGGAGACACACCAAUCACUUUUAGAUCUUCAUCAUUAUUAUCAUGAAAACUAGGAGAACACGCUUUCACAAAGCAAUCUUUUUUUAGCACGCAUCCUAGCGGUUCUUUCUUUGCACUCAUCAAUAGAUAUUUUCAUGGCUUUGAGAGACUCAUUGAUAUCAUGCUUAGGUGGAAUAGAUCUAAGUUUCAAAGAAUCAACAUCAAGAGAAAUUCUAUCCACGUUCCUAACAAACUCAUCAAUCUUAAGCAAUUUUUCUUCAAGCAAAGCAUUGAAAUUCUUUUUCGAAUUCAUAAAUUCUUUAACACUAGUCUCAAAAUCAGAGGGCAUCUUAUUAAAAUUUCCAUAAGAGUUGUUGUCAGAAUUACCAUAAUUAUUAGAGGAAUUACUAGGGAACGACCUAGAGUUAAAAUUUCCUCUAUACGCGUUGUUACCAAAAUUGUUCCUACCAACAAAAUUCACAUCCAUAGAUUCUUUAUUAUUCUCAAUCAAAGUGGACAAAGGCAUAUCAUUAGGAUCAAAAUAAGCACUCUUAUUAGCAAACAACUUCAUAAGCUCGUCCAUCUUUCCACUCAAAACAUUAAUCUCUUCAAUAACAUGAACUUUUUUACUAGUGGAUUUUUCGGUAUGCCAUUGAGAAUAAUUAACCAUAAUAUUAUCUAGAAGUUUAGUAGCUUCUCCUAAAGUGAUUUCCAUAAAAGUGCCUCCCGGGGCCGAAUCUAAAAGAUUUCUAGAAGCAAAAUUCAAUCCAGCAUAAUUUUUUUGUAUAAUCAUCCAUAAAUUCAAACCAUGUGUAGAGCAAUUAUGUAUCAUUAAUUUCAUUCUCUCUCAAGUUUGUGCAACAUGCUCAUGAUCAAGUUGCUUAAAAUUCAUAAUAUCGUUUCUAAGAGAGAUGAUCUUAGCGGGAGGAAAAAACUUAGAGAUAAAAGCAUCUUUGCACUUAUUCCAUGAAUCAAUACUAUUUUUAGGCAAAGAAGAGAACCAAGUUUUAGCACGAUCUCUAAGCGAAAACGGAAAUAGCUUCAAUUUAGCAUGAUCUCUAAGCAAAAACGGAAAUAGCUUCAAAUGGGUAGCGACAUCUUCACUAGGAAGGCCAGAAAAUUGAUCUUUCAUAAUAAGAUUCGACAAAUCGGUGUUGAUUUCACAAGAUUCAGCAUCGGUAGUAGGGAGCAAUCGGAGUGCUAAUAAAAUCAUUGUUGUUGGUAUUGGAAAAAUCACACAAUUUGGUAUUACCUUGAGCCAUCGUGACAAACAAUCAAUUCAACACACAAGCAAACAAGAGGCAAGCGAAAAGAAGCGAACGGAAAAAGGGCGAAUAAAACGGCAAAGGUGAAGUGGGGGAGAGGAAAACGAGAGGCAAAUGGCAAAUAAUGUAAUGCGAGGGAAAAGAGUUUGUGAUGGGUACUUGGUAUGUCUUGACUUGAGCGUAGAUCUCCCCGGCAACGGCGCCAGAAAUGGCUUGUUGACGGGAGAUCAAAUCUUGACUUGACUUGGUGCAACCUCCCCGGCAACGGCGCCAGAAAUCCUUCUUGCUACCUCUUGAGCAUGUUUUGAUUUUCCCUUGAAGAGGAAAGGGUGAUGCAGCAAAGUAGCAUAAGUAUUUCUCUCAUUUUUUGAGAACCAGGGUAUCAAUCCAGUAGGAGAUUGCACGCAAAUCGCCUAGUACCUGCACAAAUAAAUAAGAACCUUGCAACCAACGCGAUAAAGGGGUUGUCAAUCCAUUCACGACCACUUGCAAAAGUAAGAUCUGAUAAAGAUAAUAAGAUAAAUAUUUUUGGUAUUUUUAUUGUAUAGAUUGGAAAAUAAAGAUUGCAAAAUAAACGGCGACAGAAAUAGCUAGUUGACGGGAAAUUAAUAUGAUGGAAAGUAGACCCGAGGGCCAUAGGUUUCACUAGUGGCUUCUCUCAAGAUAGCAUAUCUUAUGGUGGGUGAACAAAUUACUGCCGAGCAAUUGAUAGAAAAGCGCAUAUUUAUGAGAAUAUCUAGGCAUGAUAAUAAACAUAGGCAUCGUGUCAAGUAGACUGAAACGAUUCUCCAUAUACUACUAUUACCCCACACAUCGACCACUAUCAGCAUGCAUCUAGAGUAUUAAGUUCAAGAGAACAGAGUAACGCUUUAAGCAAUAUGACAUGAUGUAGAGGGAUAAACUCAUGCAAUAUGAUAUAAACCCCAUCUUGUUAUCCUCGACGACAAAAUACAAUACGUGCCUUGCUGCCCCUGCUGUCACUAGGAAAGGACACCGUAAGAUUGAACCCAAAGCUAAGCUCUUCCCCCAUUGCAAGAAAGAUCAAUCUAGUAGGCCAAGCCAAACUGAUAAUUCGAAGAGACUCGCAAAGAUAUCAAAUCAUGCAUAUAAGAAUUCAGAGAGGAAUCAAAUAUUGUUCAUAGAUAAACUUGAUCAUAAACCCACAAUUCAUCGGAUCUCGGCAAACACACCACAAAAAGGAUUACAUCGAAUAGAUCUCCAAGCACAUCGAGGAGAACUUUGUAUUGAAGAUCAAAGAGAGAGAAGAAGUCAUCUAGCUAAUAACUAUGGACCCGAAGGUCUGUGGUAAACUACUCACACAUUACGGAGAGGCUAUGGUGUUGAUGUAGAAGCCCUCCAUGAUCGAAUCCCCCUCCGGCAGAUCGCCGGAAAAGGUCCCCAGAUGGGAUCUCACGGGUACAGAAGGUUGCGGCGGCGGAAAAGUCGUUUCGUGGCUCCCCUGGAUGUUUUCAGGGUAUAAGACUAUAUAUAGGCGAAAGAAGUAGAUCGGUGGAGCUAUGAGGGGCCCAUGAGGGUGGGGGGCGUGAUACGUUUCCGUCGUAUCUAUAAUUUUUGAUUGUUCCAUGCCAAUAUUCUACAACUUUCAUAUAUUUUGGCAACUUUUUAUUUAUUUUUUGGGACUAACAUAUUGAUCCAGUGCCCAGUGCCAGUUCCUGCCUGUUGCAUGUUUUAUGCUUCGUAGAAUAUCCAUAUCAAAUGGAAUCCAAACGGGAUAAAAACGAACGGAGAAUAUUUUUGGAAUAUUUGGAGAAUUCCGGAAAAAAAAUCCACGCGAGACGGUGCCCGAGGUGGCCACGAGGCAGGGGGGCGCCCCCCUGACCCUCAUGGUCCACCCAUAAGGCGGUUGAUGCCCUUCUCCGGCCACAAGAAAGCUAUUUUUUGGAAAAAAAUCGCAGCGAAGGUGUCGUUCCAAUUGGAGUUACGGAUCUCCAUAUAUAUACGAAACGGUGAAAGGGCAACAGAACAGAACGCAAAAACAGAGAGAGACAGAGAGACAGAUCCAAUCUCGAAGGGGCUCUCGCCCCUCCCAUGCCAUGGAGGCCAAGGACCAGAGGGGAAACCCUUCUCCCGUCUAGGGAGGAGGUCAAGGAAGAAGAAGACGAAGGGCCCCCCUCUCCCCUUCUCUUCCAGUGGCGCCGGAACGCUGCCGUGGCCAUCAUCAUCAUCACCGUGAUCUACACCAACACCUCUGCCAUCUUCACCAACAUCUCCGUCACCUUCCCCCCUCUAUCUACAGUGGUCCACUCUCCCGCAACCCGCUGUACCCUCUACUUGAACAUGGUGCUUUAUGCUUCAUAUUAUUAUCCAAUGAUGUGUUGCCAUCCUAUGAUGUCUGAGUAGAUUUUCGUUGUCCUAUCGGUGGUUGAUGAAUUGCUAUGAUUGAUUUAAUUUUCUUGUGGUUAUGUUGUUGUCCUUUGGUGCCCAUCGUAUGAGUGCACACGUGGAUCACACCCUAGGGUUAGUUGUAUGUUGAUAGGUCUAUGUAUUGGAGGGCAAGAGUGACAGAAGCUUCAACCUAGCGUAGAAAUUGAUGCAUACGGGGUUGAAGGGGGACCAAUAUAUCUUAAUGCUAUGGUUGGGUUUUACCUUAAUGAACAUUAGUAGUUGCGGAUGCUUGCUAAUAGUUCUAAUCAUAAGUGCAUAGAAUCCCAAGUCAGGGAUGACAUGCUAGGAGUGGCCUCUCCCACAUAAUACUUGCUAUCGGUCUAGUAAAGUGGUCAAUUGCUUAGGGGCAAUUUCGCAACUCCUACCACCACUUUUCCAUACUCGCUAUAUUUACUUUAUUGUGUCUUUACUUACAACAGCCCCUACUUUUUAUUUACGUAAUCUUUAUUAUCUUGCAAACCUAUCCAAAAACACCUUCAAAGUACUUCUAGUUUAAUACUUGUUCUAGGUAAAGCGAACGUCAAGCGUACGUAGAGUUGUAUCGGUGGUCGAUAGAACUUGAGGGAAUAUUUGUUCUGCCUUUAGCUCCUCGUUGGGUUCGACACUCUUACUUAUCGAAAACUGUUGCGAUCCCCUACACUUGUGGCUUAUUAAGAUCUUUUUCUAGCGCCGUUGCCGGGGAGCAAUAGCAUGGGGUGAAUAUUCUCGUGUGUGCUUGUUUGCUUUAUCACUAAGUAAUUUUUAUUUGUUGUUCUUAGUUGUUUUCUAUCUUUAGUUAUUGGUAGGAAACAAAAAAUACCAAAAAAAUUAGUUGUACCUACUAAACCAAUGGUUGAAGAACCACUCAAAAUCUAUCACACUGCAGAAGCUUAUUACUUGGAUCAUCUUCGAUCCCUAUGUGCUCGUGCUGAAACCCCAACUAGCUUAGUUGAGGGAAAAUCUUUAGAUGAGCAUGCUUGUUAUGUGCGACACCAAAUAUCUGAAAAAGGGAAAAUUUUGCUGGGUCAAAUUCAUCGUUUGCAAUGCUAUGCUUGGAAUUUAUGCGAAAUAUAUGAUAUUACUUGUUGUUCUGAAAACCCUAAGAAACACCUUCCCUAUCAAUGUGAGUUUAGUGAUAAUGGAAUUGUAUCUUCGUAUGCUAAGGGUGUUUAUAGUUACUAUGAUGUUCAACAAAUUGAAGAAUUUGUUGGUUUCAAGGGUGCUUAUGAAAUUACUUCUUUGAUCGAAACGUAUGAUGCUACUUUUUACAAAUCUGAAAAUAUUGCCAUACUUAAAUAUUGCUGUGAUAAUUAUGCUUCUAAUGCCUGUGUUGAACCAUAUAUUGAGGACUACCCCGCUGUCCAAGAAGAGACUAAUAUUUGCAGGAGUCUAUGGAAGAAGAAAUUGAUGAAACUGUGAGCUCAUUGGAUGAAAAAGAUGAGGAGGAGAGCGAAGAACAAAAGAAGGAAGAGCGGAUUAGCUACCCUUGCCGACCUUGUAAUGAGAGUAACUCUUCAACUCAUACAUUAUUUAAUUUCCCUUCGUGCUUACCGAAGGAUGAUUGUUAUGAUCCCUUUGAUUCUCUUGAAAUAUCCCUUUUUGAUGAUGCUUGCUAUGCUUGUGGCCAAGAUGCUAAUAUGAAUUAUGCUUAUGGAGAUGAACUUUCUAUAGUUCCUUAUGUUAAACAUGAAAUUGUUGCUAUUGCACCCACACAUGAUAGUCCUAUUAUCCUUUUGAAUUCUCCCGACUACACUAUAUCGAAGGUUGCCCUUAUUAAGGAUUAUAUUGAUGGGUUGUCUUUUACCGUUGCACAUAAUGAUUUUGAUGAAUAUAAUAUGCAUGUGCUUGCUGCCCCUACUUGCAAUUAUUAUGAGAGAGGAACUAUAUCUCCACCUCUCUAUAUUUCCAAUACAACAAAAUUGCAAGAAACUGUUUAUACUAUGCAUUGGCCUUUACCAUGUGUGUAUGAAUUGUUCUUUUAUGACAUGUCGAUGCAUAGGAAGAGAGUUAGACUUUGUUGUUACAUGAUAUAUGUUACUUUGUACUCACUACUAAAUUACAAAUCAUUGUUAAUUAAAAUUGGCUUUGAUAUACCUUGGGAUUCGGGUGGAUCAAUUACUUGAGCACUAUAUGCCUAGCUUAAUGGCUUUAAAGAAAGCGCUGCCAGGGAGACAACCUGGAAGUUUUAGAGAGUCAUUUAUUUCUGUUGAGUGCUUUCAUAUAGUUUAAAAAUAACAAAAAUAAAGAGGGGAACCCAAAACUUUUUCAAAAAGAAAGUGAAAGUGAGAAAGACAAGCAUUGUUGAAGUGGAAGAGCUCCUUGAACUUUGUUCAUGCUCACGGCAACUUUGUGAACCUUGAUUACAGAAACUUUUCAACAAAAAUAAUUAUCCCCUUGUACAAUUCCAUUGUAUUAUAAACAUAAUGUGCCAAGGUUUACCUUUAGGAUGUUUACAUUUGCUUGAUGGUUUGUAUGGUGCAGGACAGAAACUUUGGCUGUAGUGCGUGCUUUUACAUUUUUAACUCAAACGUCAAACGGUUCUGAUUCUUUUUGCACUGUCUUCCUAUACAAAUUGUUUAUGUUUCCUAAUUUUCGCAGAAUUUUUCAAGUAUCAUAAGUAUGGUGAAUGUUCAGAUUAUUACAGACUGUUCUGUUUUAGACAAAUUCUGUUUUUGAUGCAUAGUUUGCUUGUUUUGAUGAAACUAUCGAUUCAUAUCAGUGGAUUAAGCCAUGAAAAAAAGUUAUAUUACAGUAUACACAAUGCAAAAACAAAAUAUGAAUUGGUUUGCAAUAGUACUUAGAGUAGUGAUUUGCUUUAUUAUACUUACGGAUCUUACCGAGUUUUCUGUUGAAGUUUUGUGUGGAUGAAGUGUUCGAUGAUCGAGAAGGUCUCGGUGUUGGAAGAAGUAAGAGAGGCAAGAGCUCAAGCUUGAGGAUGCCCGAGGCACCCCAAGUAAAUAUUCAAAGAGACUCAAGCGUCUAAGCUUGGGGAUGCCCCGGAAGGCAUCCCCUUUUUCUUCAACAAAUAUCGGUAUGUUUUAGGAUUCGUUUCGUUCAUGCGAUAUGUGCAAUCUUGGAGCGUCUUUUGCAUUUAGUUUUCACUUUUCUUUUAUGCACCAUGCUGGUAUGACAUAGUCCUUGGUUGAUUUAUAGAAUACUCUAUGCACUUCACUUAUAUCUUUUGAGUAUGGCUUUAUAGAAUGCUUCAUGUGCUUCACUUAUAUCAUUUGAAGUUUGGAUUGCCUAUUUCUCUUCACUUAGACAACCACCAUUUGUAGAAGGCUCUUUUGCUUCACUUAUAUUUGUUAGAGCGCGGGCAUAUCUUUUGUAGAAAGAAUUAAACUCUAUUGCUUCACUUAUAUCUAUUUAGAGAGAUGACAUGAAUUGGUCAUUCACAUGGUUAGUCAUAAAAUCCUGCAUAAAACUUGUAGAUCACUGAAUAUGAUAUGUUUGAUUCCUUGCAAUAGUUUUGGGAUACAAAGAUGGUGAUAUUAGAGUCAUGCUAGUGGGUAGUUGUGGAUUAGUAGAAAUACUUGUGUUGAGGUUUGUGAUUCCCGUAGCAUGCACGUAUGGUGAACCGUUAUGUAACAAAGUCGGAGCAUGAGGUAUUUAUUGAUUGUCUUCCUUAUGAGUGGCGGUCGGGGACGAGCGAUGGUCUUUUCCUACCAAUCUAUCCUCCUAGGGGCAUGCAUAGUAGUACUUUGCUUCAAGGGCUAAUAAAAUUUUGCAAUAAGUAUGUGAGUUCUUUAUGACUAUUGUUGAGUCCAUAGAUUAUACGCACUCUCACCCUUCCAUCAUUGCUAGCCUCUCUAGUAUCGCGCAACUUUCGCCGGUACCAUAAACCCACCAUAUACCUUCCUCAAAACAGCCACCAUACCUACCUAUCAUGGAAUUUUCCAUGGCCAUUCCGAGAUAUAUUGCCAUGCAACUUCCAUCAUCAUCAUAUACAUGACUUGAGCAUUCAUUGUCAUAUUGCUUUGCAUGAUCGUAAGAUAGCUAGCAUGAUGUUUUCAUGGCUUGUCCGUUUUUUGAUGUCAUUGCUACGCUAGAUCAUUGCACAUCCCGAUACACUGCCGGAGGCAGUCAUAUAGAGUCAUAUUUUUGUUCUAGAUAUUGAGUUGUAAGUAAAUAAAAGUGUGAUGAUCAUCAUUAUUAGAGCAUCCCCCCCAAAGAGAGAGGCCAAAGAAGUCUAAAUAAAAAAGGGGGCCAAAGAAGCCCACACACACACAAAAGGGGGCAAUGUUACUAUCCUUUUACCACACUUGUGCUUCAAAGUAGCACCAUGUUCUUCAUAUAGAGAGUCUCUUGAGUUAUCACUUUCAUAUACUAGUGGGAAUUUCACUAUAGAACUUGGCUUGUAUAUUCCAACGAUGGGCUUCCUCAAAUGCCCUAGGUCUUCAUGAGCAAGCAAGUUGGAUGCACACCCACUUAGUUUCAGUUUGAGCUUUCAUAUACUUAUAGCUCUAGUGCAUUUGUUGGAUGGCAAUCCCUACUCACUCACAUUGAUAUCUAUUGAUGGGCAUCUCCAUAGCCCGUUGAUACGCCUAGUUGAUGUGAGACUAUCUUCUCAUUUUUGUCUUCUCCACAACCACCAUUCUAUUCCACCUAUAGUGCUAUAUCCAUGGCUCACGCUCAUGUAUUGCGUGAGGGAUGAAAAUGCUGAAGCGCGUUAAAGAGUAUGAACCAAUUGCUCGGCUUGUCAUCAGGGUUGUGCAUGAUGUGAAUAUUUUGUGUGGUGAAGAUGGAGCAUAGCCAGACUAUAUGAUUUUGUAGGGAUAGCUUUCUUUGGCCUUGUUAUUUCGAAAAGACAUGAUUGCUUUAUUAGUGGGCUUGAAGUAUUAUUGCUUUUAUGUCAAAUGAUAGACUAUUGCUUUGAAUCACUCGUGUCUUAAUAUUCAUGCCAUGAUUAGAUAUGUCAUGAAGAUUAUGCUAGGUAGCAUUCCACAUCAAUUUUUUUAUCAUUUACCUACUCGAGGACGAGCAGGAAUUAAGCUUGGGGAUGCUGAUACGUCUCCGUCGUAUCUAUAAUUUUUUAUUGUUCCAUGCCAAUAUUACUACCCUUCUCCCAUCUAGGGAGGAGGUCAAGGAAGAAGACGACGAAGGCCCCCCCUCUCCCCUUCUCUUCCGGUGGCGCCGGAACGCUGUCGUGGCCAUCAUCAUCAUCAUCGCGAUCUACACCAACACCUCCGCCAUCUUCACCAACAUCUCCAUCACCUUCCCCCCUAUCUACAGCGGUCCACUCUCCCGCAACCCGCUGUACCCUCUACUUGAACAUGGUGCUUUAUGCUUCAUAUUAUUAUCCAAUGAUGUGUUGCCAUCCUAUGAUGUCUAAGUAGAUUUUCGUUGUCCUAUCGAUGGUUGAUGAAUUGCUAUGAUUGAUUUAAUUUUCUUGUGGUUAUGUUGCUGUCCUUUGGUGCCUAUCGUAUAGUGAACACGUGGAUCAUACCCUAGGGUUAGUUGUAUGUUGAUAGGACUAUGUAUUGGAGGGCAAGAGUGACAGAAGCUUCAACCUAGCAUAGAAAUUGAUGCAUACGGGAUUGAAGGGGGACCAAUAUAUCUUAAUGCUAUGGUUGGGUUUUACCUUAAUGAACGUUAGUAGUUGCGGAUGCUUGCUAAUAGUUCCAAUCAUAAGUGCAUAGAAUUCCAAGUCAGGGAUGACAUGCUAGGAGUGGCCUCUCCCACAUAAUACUUGCUAUCGGUCUAGUAAAGUAGUCAAUUGCUUAGGGGCAAUUUCGCAACUCCUACCACCACUUUUCCACACUCGCUAUAUUUACUUUAUUGUGUCUUUACUUACAACAGCCCCUACUUUUUAUUUAUGUAAUCUUUAUUAUCUUGCAAACCUAUCCAAAAACACCUUCAAAGUACUUCUAGUUUCAUAGUUGUUCUAGGUAAAGCAAAUGUCAAGCGUACGUAGAGUUGUAUCGGUGGUCGAUAGAACUUGAGGGAAUAUUUGUUCUGCCUUUAGCUCCUCGUUGGGUUCGACACUCUUACUUAUCGAAAUCUGUUGCGAUCUCCUACACUUGUGGGUUAUCAGGGUGCGCCUACCCCGCUGGGCGCGCCCUCCUGCCUCAUGGCCGCCUCGUGGCUUCCUUGACCUCCACUCCAAGUCUUCUGGAUUGUGUUUGUUCCAAAAAAGAUCAUCACGAAGGUUUCAUUCCAUUUGGAUUACGUUUGAUAUUCCUUUUCUGCGAAACACUGAAAUAGACAAAAAACAACAAUUUGCGCUGGGCCUUCGGUUAAUAGGUUAGUCCAAAAAAAUACAAAAGUGCAUAUUAAAGCUCAUUAAACAUCCAAAACAGAUAAUAUAAUAGCAUGAAACAAUUAAAAAUUAUAGAUACAUUGAAGACGUAUCAGGCCACCUUCCCCAGUGGGCCAAGUGGGCUGAACAAGGGUGGGAACUAGCCCCUAGUGGGCCGGUGCGCCCCCAAGGGCCCAAGGCGCCUCCCACCAAACUUGGGGGCAAGUUCCCCCUUGGCCGCCCCCUCUAGAUGGGAUCUAAAGGGGCUGCCCCCUCUCCCUUCACCCUAUAAAUAGAGGGGGGUGGGAGGGCAGCCGCACCCUUUCCCCGGUGCAACCCUCCCCCUCUCCAACACCUCCUCCUCCUCCUCCAUAGUGCUUGGCGAAGCCCUGCCGGAGAACUGCAAGCUCCACCACCACGCAGUCGUGCUGCCGUAGCUCUCCCUCAACUUCUCCUCUCCCCUUACUGGAUCAAGAAGGAGGAGACGUCCCCAGGCUGUACGUGUGUUGAACGCGGAGGCGCCGUCCGUUCGGCGCUUGAUCGGAUCUUCCGCGACUUGAAUCGCCGCGAGUACGACUCCAUCAACCACGUUUUUGUAACACUUUCGCUUAGCGAUCUUCAAGGGUAUGAAGAUGCACCCCCUUUCUCUCUCUCUCUCUCUCUCUCUCUCUCUCUCUCUCUCUCUCUCUCUCUCUCUCUCUUUCGUUGCUAGCAUCUCCUAGAUUGAUGUUGGUGACAUGUAGGAAAAUUUUGAAUUAGUAUUACAUUCCCCAACAGUCGGAGCAACCAAAUCCUGAUGAAAAUUGCAUGCAAAUUUCUUUGCAAGCCAUUAGCACUACUAGAGUGAGCACUUUGUUUGUAUUAGUACAGGUUGGAGGCAAACAAGCUCUUGCUUUAGUGGAUUCCGGAACUAAUUCUACAUUUAAGUCUGAAAUUUGCUUUGACUACAAAUUGUCCUAUACUGAAAGAUUAGUCUAUAGUUGUGAUAGUGGAGGUAUUUUGUGGCGUGGCUAAUAUUUUCCUACUACUACAUUUCACAUGGGCAAAGAAGAGUUUGAACAUUCUUGUAGGAUUCUUAAUUUGUCAUAGUAUGACAUGGUAAUUGGGUGUGAUCUGCUAGCAAAGCACAACCCUAUGUCUUUUGAUUAUGAAAACAAUCAAAUACUGAUGAGGAAGAAUGGUACCCAUCAAACUACUAUCUCUGCUUGUAACUCAUUUUCUGCAGCCACAGAAAUUUACAGUUCAAAAUCAGCUUCUAUGCUAACAACUGGAGCUAUUGGAUAUGCUAUUUAUCCGAUCAGGGAUGUCACUGUUACCAAGGAGUAAACACAUGUAACCCCUCCCGCAAUAGAAUAACUACUACAACAAUAUCCUAAGGUGUUUGCAUAACCCGAGGGACUGUCUCCUAUAAGAAGUUGUGACCAUAAAAUUCCCCUACAACCCAAUGUUGUAGCUAUAGCUACAAUACAAUGUAAAGGAGAGGUUCCUCUUUAAUAGAGUGUUUCGAUUCCCAAUUUCCCUCGAAAUCCUAGCCUCUUUGCUUGAUUUUCUCCUCCAAUCCACCCCGGAGUGUGACAGGCAUCGAGGAGGGGUGAUGGCUGCCAGUGUCUCGGUCAUCAGGGUGUGUCGGCGGUGCUAUGUGAUCUACACAUCGCAUACUGGUUUGACAAGCACCUUCCAGGUGAACAACAACACAUCGGCUGUAGCGCUUCCUCGAAGGAUGAGCCCCAUCCGCAUGUGUGCGCGUGUGAACAGUGAUGAUCCGAUAGUGCAGCUUAGCCUUCUACAUAUGCGGCGGUUGGGCAAAGGGGAAGUGAUUUGGGGCUUGGGAGCUGGGAGUCGAGGAAGGUCAUGUUAAUGAAGCGGUUUGGGCUUUGAGGCAGCAGUUUGCAGGAUAGUUGUGUGAUUAGUUUAAGCGUUAGCAUGGGAGGGAUGAGCAAGAGGAGAGGGGCAGACAAAGGACAUGCGAAAUGGAAACAUUACGUAUUUUUUGAAAAUAGAAGAGAUAUCUUUGAAUCAAAUGUCUAAAUUAAAUCUCGUUUGCAUAUUCAUGUUCCUUGUGAUCAAGGCUUUGAAAUAAAAUAACUAUUGCAUACGUUUUGAUAAGUUUUAAAACUUCAUCAGGUUUCAUCUUCUGAAACUUGGUACCAAUAAAACUAGGUAUGGUCCCGUGUGGAAUCCAACGAUUUAGCGAAUCGUGAAACAAUCUACAACCGGACACAUGUGUCCUUACAAAAGAUUAAACGAAAUAGCAAACACGUAGAAUAGAAAUAUAAAUAUUAGAUAAAAAAGUUUCCCGCAAAAAAAUGUAGAUAGAAAGUACAAGCUCGACUACGUUGUGAGCAAACCAUACGAACAAAUGGCAUGACGGUCGUUUCACGGCCAGCUUCCGACCGAGCCCGGCCGCCAAAUGCUGGAUACAAACGCACACGCGUCGACAACGCAUGCAUGCCAGCAGAGUCUUGAGCUUCGAAAUUGCUUCAUGCACGAUUUUUCUGGCCGACGCAUGCACGACACAGAAAUUCAACGGCUGAUGCCUGAUGUAUGCACGCAUGUGUAACCGGAUUUUAAACAUCGUCUAUGAGUCGUCCAUUUUUGUCGUGUGUAUAGCAUAGCUCCUUGAGCUUCUCGGCACCUCCCCUUUCUCGGAUAACUCCAUGCCUGCGAGAGGGCACGCCCAUUACGUGCUGUCUUCCAGGCCCUUGCCGGACACGUGGCGCGACAGCAGGGACAACGAGCAGGCCGACGACCGUCCGCGUCGCCGCACACGUGCCGCCUCCGUGCUUCACGACGCACCGCGCCCCUCCAGCUAUAAAAACGCGGCGUAUGACUCGUCCUUGCCACCAUCAUUGGCUCGAGCAUCAGCAGUUGCAUACAUCACACGCACACGUCCGUUUCAGGAACCUUAGCGGUCGAGCACCUGUCAGCAAUGGCGUCCGGUCAGGAGAAGGGGAGGUCGGAGCUGGACAGCUUGGCCCGCGAGGGGCAGACCGUCGUCCCCGGAGGCACCGGCGGGAAGAGCUACGAGGCGCAGGAGAAACUCGCCGAAGGUACGUACUUAAGAUAUGCCAAUGCUACAUACAUACUGAACAUGCAUUGUUGUAACAAGCGCGCAUUGCUGCAGGGCGCAGCCGUGGUGGGCAGACUCGGAAGGAGCAGAUGGGGGAGGAGGGGUACAGUGAGAUGGGGCGCAAGGGCGGGCUGAGCACCAACGACGAGUCCGGCGGCGAGCGCGCCGCCAGGGAGGGCAUAGACAUCGACGAGUCCAAGUUCAAGACCAAGUCCUAGAUGUUCAGUUCAGUGCCUCCUAGCUUAGCAAAGCAACUGACUGCUCGCCCGUGUUUGGAUGUUGUCCGUUUAGCGUGUCCCAGGUACUGAAUAAUGUAGGUCGUCAGGUACUCGGAUCUUGACGUGAGAACGCAUGUAGUAGGUGAUCAUGUGUCCAGUGAUCGUGUGUGCUUUAGUGUCCCAGCUAGCUUCUACUAGCUGGUUGUCGUUGUAAGUUGUGGCCAAGCUAUGCUGCUCUCUGUAAUGUAGUGCGUCUGUUUGUUUGUUAUGAAUCUGAAACUCCGUCUGUGUGCAAUGUUCGCUCAGCAAUGUACCUGGUAUAUGGUAUAAAUAGUUCCCAUUCCCCAAGAAAUCCUAAACCUACGAACUCAGCGAGAUGGACGCCAAGUGAAUCCCGUUCGGGAUCUAACCCUCGAGCAUCAAGAUAACCGGUGGUACUACAAUUUCUGACGCUUUUUUUUUGAGAAGUACUAUAUUUAUAUCAAUAUAAUAUCAACAUAUUACAACAUACAUUCUCUCGAAAUAGGCUUUCGCUCCGCUUUAUAAAUAAAACAACGAUCCACACGAUCCAAGUUUGAACAAUAUCCAACAGAAAACGGCUGGGCCACAACAUAAAUAAGCCCAAGAAAGCAUAAAAAAAAUAUAAAAAAAACCACCUAAUGGCUACCACUAAGCGGCCCUACAAGGACGCCAGCUGACGCGCCGAGGCCAAAAGCGCAUCCAUUAUCAAGCCGAGGCGAUCACGAUCACGCUGCCUCGAGAGCGGGUGCCGAGGCCAAAAGCGCAUCCAUUAUCAAGCCGAGGCGAUCACGAUCACGUUGCCUCGAGAGCGGGUGUCAGUGCUACAUGAAAGCAAGGAAUUUGAAGAGGGAGUCAGAUGCCUUCUUCGAGAAAACCUUCUCAAUCACCAUCUUAUUCCUAAUCGUCCAAAGAGUCCACGACAUUGCCGCAAAAUAAGCCAAAAUAGACGGUGAUGUCGUGCUGGCUGUAUAACUCGAAGCUGAAGGAACUCCGCGAGAUUUAGGGCCUCCCAGUCAGGCCCCAACACCUCGCGGACGAAAGUCCAUAAUACUCUCGUUGCCGUACAAGAGAAGAGAAUAUGGUUCCCAGUCUUCGGUACUGCAUAGAGAGGGCAUAUACCGUCCUCAGAUCCGUGCCGCUUAAGUACCUCUAUUCUCGAGAGGACACGAUUUCGUAGAAGUUGCCAAACAAAAAUCUUACUUUUUAAUGGGACGGGGGCUUUCCAUAGAGGGGGCAAGCCAGGGGCUAGUUGCCGACGGGCAAAGGACCUGGUAUGCCGUGCCCCAAAGAACUCCACUGUCAGCGUGCGACGUCAUGAAACUGUGUCCGGAUAAUCCAAGAGCACGAGCGGCAGGGCGGCCCGCAAUAUAGUCCAUACAUGGCAGAUCUGAGGAGAAAUCUAAAAAGAUAUCACACCAAGAGAAAUUGCAAGAAACAGAGAAAAUAGAAAAAUCUUACUGGUCCUUGCAUCCACCAACAAAACGAGCAUAAUCUUCAGCCACCGCCGUCGUCGUACUCGGAUCUUGACGUGAGCACGCAUGUAGUAGGUGAUUAUGUGUAUAGUGAUCAUGUGUACUUUAGUGUCCCGGUUAGCUUCUAUGGCCUUUCCUGGUGCUCCAUGGUAUACAGGUGCUAAGGGUGUCACAUAAGCAAAAAUAUGAUGUGACAAAGCAAUUAAAAAGGAGACAGAGCAUCAGGGCCGGUUCUGAGAUUUUGGGGGUCCGGGACGAAAGUAACAUUCGGGACCCUUAAUAUAAUCAUCACAACAAUAAUAAUUAAUUUAAUUCUACACGGAAUGUUUCUAAUAAAUACAACUACAUCCAAAAUCCGUGUUUAUAUAAUAACUUAUACACAUUAUUAUCUUAAAAAAAUUAUUGUAACACUCUUUGAUACAAAGUCACUUAUGGUUGUGUCGAUGUCAAUCUCAUCCUUCUUUCGCAUGCAUAAUGUUGCCUAACCAUUUAAGCUCUAUUGGGUCAUUGUUUAUGCCAAAUGGUCCUUCAAUAAUUUCAAGUUUGAAAAGCUUUUUUUAGUUGUUGCAAAAAUCACAUGCACAGUAAAUUCGAAUAAAUCUUUACACACCAUGAGUUUUUUAAGCCCUUUUUCAAUGAAGUGAUUGAUAUGAUCACCAAAAGAAACAAAUAUUUAACAUGAAAUUUUUCUCGCCUUCUAGAAUUUCUUCUUGGUCAACUACUUUUAUCAAACUGAUUCUCCUCAUAGCACGAAACUUUGCUUGAAAUUGUCGGGAAUAGUAAUAUGAUAUACCUCAGAGUGAUUGGAUCGGGGCAAUGAUGUGAUGUGGAUGUCUAGUGGUAGGUGCUCGGUGAUGUACGCAUGCGCUAACUCCAUCAGUGUCAAUUUUUAGGAGCCAGGCGAUGUUCGUGCUGCGUUUUCACCGCGUACAACGGCUUGAGACCAGCCAGCCUUCUGCGACUUGGGAUCUGAAGUUUGGAACAAGGGAACAGAGAAUAGGAAAUUUGGGAUGAACACAUGACGAACAAUCUCAUCUUUUUUAAGGAGAAAGAAUGUUUCCCGAUCGCAAGGAAUAAGGAAAGAGAACGGUACUGUGUCAAAAAAAAAGGAAAGAGGAAAGAGAACACCCGCAAAAAAAAGGAAAGAGGACACCCGCAAAAAAAAGGAAAGAGGACAGGGACGACAUGAUUUACGUGUGUACGCUGAUCUUUUUUUCCACCGUGAUCUGAUUUACGUGAUUUACGUGCGUACGCUAUUACCUGCCAUCCCAGCCAUCCCUUGGUAGGCUACUUUUUUUCAACAAGAAGCUAUGGGCUUAUGGGCUCCUACACCUGAAAGGGGCCCCUUGGAUCUUGGGGGCCCGGGGGGCCCCCCCCCCCCCCUCAGGGCCGGCCCUGCAGAGCAUUAUAGUGAUCCCAAUAAAAACCAAUGUUAAGCACGUGGACCUAGGAAAAAGACUACCAACCAAUACAUGAAGAAGUUUUAUUAUUAAACAAUUAAAUAGAGGAGGAUUAGCUACAACACCUAAGCAUCGAUGCAUUGGGGAUAUUAGUUGCUAAGCAUCUUAAUGCACUUAGCACCCCACUUUAGCACCAAUGCAUUGGGAGAGGUCUAUUAGCUGGUAGUAGCCGUCGCUGUAAGUUGUCAGUUGUGACCAAGCUAUGCUUCUGCUCUCUCUAACGUCUGUUUGUUAUGAAUCUGAAUCUCUAUCUGUGUGCAAUAUUCUUACUCCAGAUUUACUGCUCGGCAAUGUACCGGUACGUGUUAUAUCAUGCGAGUGAUAGGCUAUGUAUCACAAUGCAUGGUUGAUUUCGCUAUGUAAUGGCUGACAUUCAUUAGCUCGUCAUAAAUUCAAAGUAUAUACUCCCAUCACCAUCAUGUUUGGUAGGAGUAGAAGAAAUUGGAUCAAGAGAAACAAUCAAUAAAACAUUGUUUCAUAUCCAAGAGCCGUUCUUCAAGGAUUGCCGAGCAGUGACAUCUAUGGUUGGUGCAGGCCACCAUGAUUUACAUCCUAGGUAUAUGAGGCUAGUACUGCCCAUUUUGCCACCUGUCUAUGGUUUUUUUUAGCCACGACUUACUUUGCAUUUGAUAAUUUGCCACUCUUUACAUCGUAAUUGAUAUUUUGCCCCUCUUUACUUUGCACUUUGAUCUUUUGCCCUAUGUAGGGUGGGUCUCAUGUAAAAUGACUAGAAUAUCCCCGUCCUAUAGAUUGACUAUGCGCACCCUCUCGCCGGCAAGGACGCCAGGAGGCGGCGGCCCCGACGCCCUCCAAUCCCGGCCAAGCGCUGCUCUGGCCCUCCCUCCCUUGAUCUGCGCCAUGGCCGCCGGCCCAGAAUCACGAGUCAUGACCACACAGGCGUUGGGCGAAACCAGAACGCACACCGGCGGGAGCGCACGCUGUUGCCGCCGUGCUCGUCGCCCCAUAGACCAUGUCACUGCUCCUCUGCUUCUUCUCCAUAGGCCGUGCCGCUGCUCCCCUCUCAACUCUGGCAAGCACAAGCAGCACCAGCACGCGGCGAGAACAAGCAGCGGCAGCAGUACGCGGCGUUGGUGAGCAUAUAGACGCCUGUGGCGGAGCCAGGAAAAAUGAAUGAGCGGGGCCGAGUGUUCUUAACCCUUAUUGGGGAGGGCCAGUCCACAAAAUUACACUAUUUUAGCAGCAAAUAAUCAUAUAUUCAGAUGCAUAUUAGGCCUAACUCAGUGUUGUUAUAGGGGGCCAGGGCCCCUGCUGGUCUGCUCGUUGCAUGGAUUCUUUGGAAGACAAGCACGUACACAACUUAAUUGAUUCCGGCGAGUUACACAACACGCAAGCAACACACGAGGAAACAUACCGAUCCCAUCGAGACACACACGUGGCCGCGGACAAAAUGGAAGAGAGCGGCGCCCCAGAUCACCGGCGGCAUCUGGUUCUUUGGCAGCGUGGCCGCGGACAGACUGGAGGAGAGCGGCGCAAGGAGGAGGAAGGCGGCCAUCAGCAGAGGCGACGGCAGCAGGGCGGCGGCAUACGAGUUCAUCCCCUUUCUAUUUUGAUUUCAACCGGUGAAUCGUCUGGAUGCACCGGUGAAACUAGCAUAAAGGGUAUUUUGGUCCACUCCUUUAUGCAUAUAUUAUGUCAAUCAUUUGCAGGUAUUGUUUUUGUGUGAAAAAAUGGCUGAAGAUCAAAGUGCAAAUUAAAAAGGUGGCAAUAGAUCAACUACAAUGUAAGGAGUCACAAAUUAUCAAAGUAUAAAGUAAGUGAUGGCAAAAAAUCAAAAACCCCAGCAAUGGCCAUGGGAACAAGCAAAAGGAUGCAAAAUGAAGACCAUGUCAACGUUGACUGGUCUGCUGGGCUGCCAUGUCACACAAAACCAGUUGGCAGUUGUCAGAGGGAGUAAUUUAUCUAGUAUUGAAAGUACAAGGUUGUCUUCUAACCGGUUUUGGAGUUAGAGGUUGUAAAUUAAACUAACCCUAUGUCCAGGAUUGAAAUAUGCACUUCUAUUUUUUAUCCUCAUCAACUUGCCAUACAAGCAUUGCCCCAUAAAAGUCAGCUUUCUUUCUAACACCCACAAGAAUUGGGUAUAGAGGCAUCAUAAAACAGAGGUAUAUUAGUUUGGCGGGAUUGCGCCAAAGUCACCCUACCAAUAAUGUUUAAAAGUCUUCCCUACCAACAGACACAUAUUUUCUCAAUUUUUUCAACAACCACCUUGCAAUGUUUAUUCCUAAUUCUAAUAUCAGACAUGCAUCGCCAAAUAUUUCAAAGGAACAACACCCAGUUCACAAAUGAAAAUCUCUUGAUAUAUGGGAGCUUUAUUAACUGCCUCCCCAAAAAAUAGAAAUUUCACUCUUAUGAAAGUUAAUAGCGAGACCAAAGAUUUGCUCAAACGCACUUAGAAUAAACUUGAGAUUCCUAGCAAUAUCCUCAUCAUCUUGUAAUAGGAAAGCAGUGUCAUUUGCAUAUUGAUCACAUUGUUUAAAUUUUCACUCAAGGCCCCUUUCACAAAUCUAUUAUUUCUAGCUCUCUCCAAAAUAAUGACAAGGGCUUCAACUGCCAAGUCAAAUAGCAAUGGAGAUAAAGCAUCUCUUUGCUCAAGCCAUUUGUGAGUUUUAAAACAAGGACCAAUUACAUCAUUUAAUUUGACCCCCACAUGUCCUCUCCUCAUAGUGCGCAUAAUCCAAUCACACCAUUGAUCAGGGAAGUUUUUGAGUUUUAGCAUCUAGCGAGCAAAAGUCCAUUUAAUCUUAUCAUAGGCUUUCUCAAAAUCCUUAAAGAGUAAGGCCCUUUGUUUCCUAUGGUGCAUGGAGUUCAAAGCUUCAUGUAGCAAAACCACACUUUCCACUAUGUAUCUACCUUUAAUAAAAGUAGUUUGGUUAUGAGAAUUAAUAGGGUUAACCACCCUACUAAACUUGUUCAUUAGGACCUUAGUAAUAAUUUUGAAACUAACAUUCAAUAGACAAGGUCUAAAUUUUUGAAUUUGUAUAACAUCUUUAGUUGUAGGAACCAGGGUGAUAAUUCCAUAAUUGAUCCUAGCAAUAUCUAGAACCCCAUUAUGAAAAUUAUCCAUGAGCCCUUUCAAAUUACACUUAAAAAUUUCCCAAAUAUGUUGAUAAAAAUCAAGAGGCAAGCCAUUAGGUACAUGGCUCUUAUUUUUCUCCAUAGAGAAGACUACAUUGUAGUAAUUUUUCCUUGAAGAAAGGUUCCACCAACUUGUUAGCAUCCUCCUCAGAAUUUUUCUAUGCUUCUUGGAUGUUUAAAUAAACUAAGGAGAUCUUAGCUUGUCCAAAAAGUUUUCUUUACAGAAAUUAGUGAUGUAUUUUAAAAGAUUUUAUUCCCUUCAAUCGUCCCCUUAUCUUGCUCCAAAGAAAUAAUUGCCAUGGUAGUAUCUAGUAUUACAAUCACCUUAUCUGAUUUCUUUAUCCUUAUAUCUUUGGAGCCAUUUUAACUCUUCCUGUUUUAAAAUUCUCCCAACUAUUCACUAAGUUCCUUUUGUCCAGUUCUAUCAUGAGUAGUUAAGCCAUUAACUUCUGCAUCCUUAUCAAUGGAAUCUAACUUGGAUUUUUUAAUUUUCCUAUGCCAAGUCUCAACAUUCAAGUUUCAGCCCCUAAUCUUCUUCCUAAGAAUUCUCAACCUAUUUUGCCACCUCUCGAUAUAAGAACUUUCAUAAUUAUUAGUCCAAAAGUUUGGUGACAAAGUCCUUAAAACCAUCUCUCAGGAUCCAAUAUUUUUUGAAUCUAUAUAUUGGCUUUGAAAUAUUAUGCGACCCAAUGUCAAGAAUGAGAGGACUGUGAUAAGAAACUUCCCUCUCCAAAGCUUGUACCAUAGCUAAGCAUAAUGUUCCUCCCAUUCAUGAGAAUUCUAUCUAAUUUCUCAAUGGUUGGUUUAGCCAAAUUAUUGGCCCAAGUAAAAUUUCUUCCAUUUAGAGGUAAUUCUCUAAACUCUUCAUACUCAAUAAUAGCAAUAUAGAACUUCAGUGAUCAGUGUUAUUGGGUUAGUUUUUCUCACAAAAGUUCUAAUAAGAAUAAAAUCCCCGCCUACCACACAAUAUAAAAUGUUGUCAUGAUAGAUCUUAGACAAUUCUGCCAAAUAAGAAGCUUUGCCAUCUAAUUGAGCGUCACCAUACACAAUAAUAAUAUUCCAAUGAAAUUUAGCCAUUUUUAUCAAAAAACAACAGCCUCACAAAGUAUACCCCUACCAUACCUCUAUUUUAGUUACAUCAAACAAAUCAUUAUUUACUCCCACCAGGAUCUCUUCAGAUUUACCUCUUGGAGGGACCAAUUCCAAGUAGAAAAACUCAAAUGUAAAUAUGGAUAUUCCAUUGGAUAUUUAGUUGAUAAUGUGUUUCCUUUUCAUUCAUCCUAUCUAUGUUUUUCUUCGAAUAUGCUCACAUAAACUAAAAUGUCCCACAACAACGCAUGGGGUAUUAUCUAGUUUACAACAAAGACAAAUGUGGAAGCCUUGUUUUGACCCUAAAUGCCCUACAAUCCAGCGACUGUUGAAAUACUCUAAGUGCAUCUCCAACGCUGACCCUCAAACCGCCCGCAACCGUUCGGACCGUACGGUCCGGAUGCGUUAUGCCAUCAAACGCGGGCCUGUAUCGGUCCGCGGGGCGGUCCGGUCACACUUUCUCCCGCAAAACGGAGACAAACGUGAGUGGCUUUGCGAGCGUCCGGACAGCACCCACGCCCGCUUUUGACCACCCUGGCCCACCCAAAGCCCUCCUCCCUCGUCGUCGUGUGUUCCCGCCUGACGCCGGUUGCCCGCAUUCAUGUCAAUGUAGAGCGGCCGCUCCACAUUGAAGCCAGCUUAGAGCAGACGCAACCUUUCACUGCCUCUGCCAUUAAAGCAGUGCACCGACCGAGGGCACCGGCUGCUGCACGCUCGGCUGAACACGCCUCCUCGCCGCAUUCAAACACCUCCAGUGAACCCACAUGGAAUCCGAGAAACCUACUCCGGCCACAUGUUUGUUCACGAGCAGAUUGACAUUAAACACAACACUGACAAGCUCCUCCCAUCCGUCCUCUACUUAAACGGUGCCAGACAUCGGGUGAAAAUCACACCACACCUCCGCUCCCAUCUCCUCGCACCAUUUUCUCCACAAUAUCCAUGGCUACCGGCAUGCAGGAAGAGGAGUUCACCGGCAUAAAAGCCGUCUGGAUGGCCCGCCGAGCCCACCGGAUACGAGCCAGGCAACUCGCUACUCCACCUCCCUCGCCAAAUCUGAUGAAGCAAGUUGUCGCCCAAGCCGGCGCAUGGUUCAACAACUCAUCGCUCCAGCCAUCUCGCAGAGGUGUGGCGAGUUGCUCCAGGAUGGCACGCAGCGGAGCACGAAGGAACGGGCAUCGUGGCUGCCAUGGAUGAGGCCAGACGCUGUGCCAUCCGUCAUCUACGUUGGCAGAACCGUGCCCGGUCGAUGGAGAAAGAAGUCGGCUACGCGGAGAUCGACGAGUCGGUGGUCAGUGCGUCUGCAUCUGCCGCCAACAUCGAGGGAACGUAAAACACGGGAGGCCGUCACCGCUUGGGUUAUGGGAAGGCCACCGCCGGCACAUCGUCAGCUUGCAUAGCCGGUGACUUGCCCGGUUCAGCACAGAUCAUUGUCGACCCCUGCAUGGGCUUCACGGAAGCGGAGGAGCCCUCCUUCCCCUCCGGCCGAAGCACCCGCCUUCACCUCCAAUGGUAGCACCCCAUUUGCCACUCCGAUGAGCGGCGCAUUUGGACAUAGGAAAGAUACGGGAAAAAAUAUACCUUCGGGGCUCCUGGCAGUCCGAUGAGUGGGCUGCCGGACAAUGGGAAGACAAAGGAAUCCGCCGUGGCAUGCCGUAGACUAGGUGUAGUGUAUCCUUUUCAUGAGAAUGGAACUCCACGCGGUCGCACGUAGUUUUACCUUUUUCAGUUAAAAUAUUUUCAAAAAUGUAAAUAUUUUCGUUCGGUUUUGUAUGAAAUCCCCUCUUCUUGCAUGAAUUUAUUGAAUUUGUUGAAAAAGUAUUUGAAAUGUAUGCGAACAUCGUUAGAUGACCAGUUCCGACAUCCAUGUGUGCGGAUGGAUGUCGAAGCAAAUUUGUAGGUCACCGUUGAGGAUGCCCUAAGUCUAUGUAAACUAUAAACUUGCAUCCACAAACGUACCUAGCUGGGCGCAGCGGAGAGCGCGCCUCGCUUUGAUGGUGCGACCGGACGACAGCGUGGGACAAGGCAGGCAUCCAAGCAUUGUAGCCCAUACCGGACGUUUCCUCGGAUAACCAUGGCUUAUACUGUUGGAAAUAUGCCCUAGAGGCAAUAAUAAAAGGAUUAUUAUUAUAUUUCCUUGUUCAUGAUAAUUGUCUUUUAUUCAUGCUAUAAUUGUGUUAUCCGGAAAUCGUAAUACAUGUGUGAAUACAUAGACACCAACAUGUCCCUAGUAAGCCUCUAGUUGACUAGCUUGUUGAUCAACAGAUAGUCAUGGUUUCCUGACUAUGGACAUUGGAUGUCAUUGAUAACGAGAUCACAUCAUUAGGAGAAUGAUGUGAUGGAUAAGACCCAAUCCUAAACACAGCACAAGAUCGUAUAGUUCAUUUUCUAGAGUUUUUCCAAUGUCAAGUAUCUUUUCCUUAGACCAUGAGAUCGUGUAACUCCCAGAUACCGUAGGAGUGCUUUGGGUGUACCAAACGUCACAACGUAACUGGGUGACUAUAAAGGUAUACUGCGGGUAUCUCCGAAAGUGUCUGUUGGGUUAACACGGAUCAAGACUGGGAUUUGUCACUCCGUAUGACGGAGAGGUAUCUCUGGGCCCACUCGGUAAUGCAUCAUCAUAAUGAGCUCAAAGUGACCAAGUGUCUGGUCACGGGAUCAUGCAUUACGGUACAAGUAAAGUGACUUGCCGGUAACGAGAUUGAACGAGGUAUUGGGAUACCGACGAUCGAAUCUCGGGCAAGUAACAUACCGAUUGACAAAGGGAAUUGUAUACGGGGUUGCUUGAAUCCUCGACAUCGUGGUUCAUCCGAUGAGAUCAUCGAGGAGCAUGUGAGAGCCAACAUGGGUAUCCAGAUCCCGUUGUUGGUUAUUGACCGGAGAGCCAUCUCGGUCAUGUCUACAUGUCUCCCGAACCCGUAGGGUCUACACACUUAAGGUUCGGUGACGCUAGGGUUGUAGAGAUAUGAAUAUGCAGUAACCCGAAAGUUGUUCGGAGUCCCGGAUGAGAUUCCGGAUGUCACGAGGAGUUCCGGAAUGGUCCGGAGGUGAAGAAUUAUAUAUAGGAAGUGCAGUUUCGGCCAUCGGGAGAGUUUCGAGGGUCACCGGUAUUGUACCGGGACCACCGGAUGGGUCCCGGGGGUCCACCGGGUGGGACCACCCAUCCUGGAGGGCCCCAUGGGCUGAAGUGGAGAGGGGAACCAACCCAUAGUGGGCUGGUGCGCCCCCUUGGCCCACCCCUGCGCCUAGGGUUGGAAACCGUAGGGUGGGGGGGGGGCGCCCCACUUGCCUUGGGGGCCACUCCACCCUUGGCCGCCGCCCCCCCUAGGAGAUCCCAUCUCCUAGGGCCGGCGCCCCCCCUUGGGGAGCCUAUAUAAAGGGGGGAGGGAGGGGCAACCGCACCCUUGACUCUUGGCGCCUCCCUCUCCCCUGCUACACCUCUCCCUCUCGCAGAAAAACGGCGAAGCCCUGCUGCGGUGACUGGUGCAUCCACCACCACGUCGUCGUGCUGCUGGAUCUUCAUCAACCUCUCCUCCCCCCUUGCUGGAUCAAGAAGGAGGAGACGUCACGCUGACCGUACGUGUGUUGAACACGGAGGUGCCGUCCGUUCGGCGCUAGGAUCUCCGGUGAUUUGGAUCACGUCGAGUACGACUUCCUCAUCCCCGUUCUUUGAAUGCUUCCGUGCGUGAUCUGCAAAGGUAUAUAGAUGCAAUCCGAUCACUCGUUUCUAGAUGAACUCAUAGAUGGAUCUUGGUGAAAUCGUAGGAAAAUUUUUGUUUUCUGCAACAUUCCCCAACAGUGGCAUCAUGAGGUAGGUCUAUGCAUAGUUCCUUUUGCACGAGUAGAACACAAUUUGUUGUGGGCGUAGAUGUUGUCAACUUUCUUGCCGCUACUAGUCUUAUUUUGCUUCAGCGGUAUUGUGGGAUGAAGCGGCCCGGACCAACCUUACACGUACGCUUACGUGAGACCGGUUCCACCGACUGACAUGCACUAGUUGCAUAAGGUGGCUGGCGGGUGUCUGUCUCUCCCACUUUAGUUGGAGCGGAUUCGAUGAAAAGGGUCCUUAUGAAGGGUAAAUAGAAGUUGACAAAUCACGUUGUGGCUUUCACGUAGGUAAGAAAACGUUCUUGCUAGAACCCUAUUGCAGCCACGUAAAAACUUGCAACAACAAUUAGAGGACGUCUAACUUGUUUUUGCAGCAAGUGUUUUGUGAUGUGAUAUGGCCAAAGUUGUGAUGAAUGAUGAAUGAUAUAUAUGUGAUGUAUGAGAUGUUCAUGCUAUUGUAAUAGGAAUCACGACUUGCAUGUCGGUGAGUAUGACAACCGGCAGGAGCCAUAGGAGUUGUCUUUAUUUUUUGUAUGACAUGCGUGUCAUUGAGAAACGCCAUGUAAAUUACUUUACUUUAUUGCUAAACGUGUUAGCCAUAGUAGUAGAAGUAAUAGUUGGCGAGAAAUUUCAUGGAGACACAAUAAUGGAGAUCAUGAUGAUGGAGAUCAUGGUGUCAUGCCAGUGACAAGAUGGUCAUGGAGCCCUAAGAUGGAGAUCAAAGGAGCUAUGUGAUAUUGGCCAUAUCAUGUCACUAUUAUUAUUUGAUUGCAUGUGAUGUUUAUCAUGUUUUUGCAUCUUGUUUACUUAGAACGACGGUAGUAAAUAAGAUGAUCCCUCAUAAUAAUUUCAAGAAAGUGUUCCCCCUAACUGUGCGCCGUUGCGACAGUUUGUUGUUUCGAAGCACCACGUGAUGAUCGGGUGUGAUAGAUUCCAACGUUCACAUACAACGGGUGUAAGACAGAUUUACACAUGCAAACACUUAGGUUGACUUGACGAGCCUAGCAUGUACAGAUAUGGCCUCGGAACACAGAAGACCGAAAGGUCAAGCAUGAGUCGUAUAGAAGAUACGAUCAACAUGAAGAUGUUCACCGAUGUUGACUAGUCCGUCUCACGUGAUGAUCGGACACGGCCUAGUUAACUCGGAUCAUGUUAUACUUAGAUGACUGGAGGGAUGUCUAUCUGAGUGGGAGUUCAUUAAAUAGAUGAACUUAAUUAUCAUGAACUUAGUCUAAAAUCUUUACAAUAUGUCUUGUAGAUCAAAUGGCCCACGCUAAUGUUGCCCUCAACUUCAACGCGUUUCUAGAGAAAACCAAGCUGAAAGAUGAUGGCAGCAACUAUACGGACUGGGUCCGGAACCUGAGGAUCAUCCUCAUAGCUGCCAAGAAAGAUUAUGUCCUAGAAGCACCGCUAGGUGACGCACCCAUCCCAGAGAACCAAGACGUUAUGAACGCUUGGCAGCAGCAUGCUGAUGAUUACUUCCUCGUUUAGUGCGGCAUGCUUUACAGCUUAGAACCGGGGCUCCAAAAGCAUUUUGAGCAACACUAAGCAUAUGAGAUGUUCGAAGAGCUGAAAAUGGUUUUCCAAGCUCAUGCCCGGGUCGAGAGAUAUGAAGUCUCCGACAAGUUCUUCAGUUGUAAGAUGGAGGAAAAUAGUUCUGUCAGUGAGCACAUACUCAAAAUGUCUGGGUUGCACAACUGCUUGACUCAGCUGGGAGUUAAUCUCCCGGAUGAUGCGGUCAUUGACAGAAUCCUUCAGUCACUUCCACCGAGCUACAAGAGCUUUGUGAUGAACUUCAAUAUGCAGGGGAUGGAAAAGACCAUUCCUGAAGUAUUUGCAAUGCUGAAAUCAGCAGAGGUAGAAGUCAAAAAGGAACAUCAAGUGUUGAUGGUGAAUAAAACCACUAAGUUCAAGAAAGGCAAGGGUAAGAAGAACUUCAAGAAGGACGGCAGGGGAGUUGCCGCGCCCGGCAAGCAAGCUGCCGGGAAGAAGCCAAAGAAUGGACCCAAGCCCGAGACUGAGUGCUUUUAUUGCAAGGAGAGUGGUCACUGGAAGCGGAACUGCCCCAAAUACUUAGCGGACAAGAAGGCCGGCAAAACGAAAGGUAUAUGUGAUAUACAUGUAAUUGAUGUGUACCUUAUCAGUACUCGUAGUAGCUCCUGGGUAUUUGAUACCGGUGCAGUUGCUCACAUUUGUAACUCAAAGCAGGAGUUGCGGAAUAAGCGGAGACUGGCGAAGGACGAGGUGACGAUGCACGUCGGGAAUGGUUCCAAGGUCGAUGUGAUCGCCGUCGGCACGCUACCUCUACAUUUACCUACGGGAUUAGUUUUGAACCUCAAUAAUUGUUAUUUAGUGCCAAGUUUGAGCAUGAACAUUGUAUCAUGAUCUCGUUUAAUACGAGAUGGCUACUCAUUUAAAUCCGAUAAUAAUGGUUGUUCUAUUUAUAUGAGAGAUAUGUUUUAUGGUCAUGCUCCGAUGGUGAAUGGUUUAUUCUUAAUGAAUCUCGAGCGUAAUGCGACACAUAUUCAUAGUGUGAAUACCAAAAGAUGUAAGGUUGAUAAUGAUAGUCCGACAUACUUGUGGCACUGCCGCCUUGGUCACAUAGGUGUCAAACGCAUGAAGAAGCUCCAUGCAGAUGGACUUUUAGAGUCUCUUGAUUACGAAUCAUUUGACACGUGCGAACCAUGCCUCAUGGGUAAAAUGACCAAGACUCCGUUCUCAGGAACAAUGGAGCGAGCAACCAACUUAUUGGAAAUCAUACAUACUGAUGUGUGCGGUCCAAUGAGUGUUGAGGCUCGCGGUGGUUAUCGUUAUGUUCUCACCCUCACUGAUGACUUGAGUAGAUAUGGGUAUGUCUACUUAAUGAAACACAAGUCUGAGACCUUUGAAAGGUUCAAGGAAUUUCAGAGUGAGGUUGAGAAUCAACGUGACAGGAAAAUCAAGUUCUUGCGAUCAGAUCAUGAGGGAGAAUACUUGAGUCACGAAUUUGGCACACACUUAAGAAAAUGUGGAAUAGUUUCACAACUCACGCCGCCUAGAACACCUCAGCGUAAUGGUGUGUCCGAACGUCGUAAUCGCACUUUAUUAGAUAUAGUGCAAUCUAUGAUGUCUCUUACCGAUUUACCGCUAUCAUUUUGGGGCUAUGCUUUAGAGACUGCCGCAUUCACUUUAAAUAGGGCUCUGUCAAAAUCCGUUGAGAUGACACCGUAUAAAUUAUGGUUUGGGAAGAAGCCUAAGCUGUCGUUUCUAAAAGUUUGGGGAUGCGAUGCUUAUGUCAAGAAACUUCAACCUGAAAAGCUCGAACCCUAGUCGGAAAAAUGCGUCUUCAUAGGAUACCCUAAAGAAACUAUUGGGUAUACCUUCUACCUCAGAUCCGAAGGCAAGAUCUUUGUUGCCAAGAAUGGAUCCUUUCUAGAGAAGGAGUUUCUCUCGAAAGAAGUAAGUGGGAGGAAAGUAGAACUUGAUGAAGUAUUACCUCUUGAACCGGAAAAUGGCGCAACUCAAGAAAAUGUUCCUGAGGUGCCUGUACCGACUAGAGAGGAAGUUAAUGAUGAUGAUCAUGAAACUUCAGAUCAAGUUUCUACUGAAUUUCGUAGGUCCACAAGGACACGUUCCGCACCAGAGUGGUACGGCAACCCUGUCUUGGAAAUCAUGUUGUUAGACAACGGUGAAUGACAGUGUCCUGGACUAGGGGGUACUCACCACGUCGUCUCCCGAUCUAUUAGAUUGGGCCGAGGACCCCCGUGGCCGUAUACUCAUGGGCCAGUUCGGACGGCUGCCGCAUACAAGGAAGAUUCCACAAGACUUGGCGAUCAAGACAAGGACUUCUCCCCACCGGCGUAUUCGGCUAGGACUCUUGUUAUCCUAGGCCUCUGGUGCAUUAUAUAAACCGAGGCCAGGCUAGUCGAUAGAUAGACAAUAUAUACAACAAUCAUACCAUAGGCUAGCUUCUAGGGUUUAGCCUCCUUGAUCUCGUGGUAGAUCUACUCUUGUACUAUCCAUAUCAUCAAUAUUAAUCAAGCAGGAGUAGGGUUUUACCUUCAUCGAGAGGGCCCGAACCUGGGUAAAAACAUCGUGUCCCUUGUCUCCUGUUACCAUCCGGUCUAGACGCAUAGUUCGGGACCCCCUACCUGAGAUCCGCCGGUUUUGACACCGACAUUGGUGUUUUCAUUGAGAGUUCCGUUGUGUGAUCGACAAAAGGAUCGAUGGCUCGCCUGCAGAUCAACUACGACUUCGGCAUCUUCGUCACCAGCUCGACUGGUCACCUUGGUUCGACCAAGAAUUGUGCCCCGUGUUCGGAUCACCAUGUUCGGACGAGGGCCUUUAUCAAACAUCAACUCCGAUCUCUAUCAAGAUCACGGAGGAAUCAUCUAUGGAGCUCGGGGGCUCAACGUCAACAUUGCCCUCAAGCGACCGUGCUAUUUUUCUGGACAGCGAACUCGUAUCUGCCACCACCACCUCCUCGAGUAUCGCUUUGACGAUCGCUUUGGUGGAAUUGUGCGGAAUUGAGUCUACAACAACCCUGAGAAAUUUCGUCGAGUUCCGAUGGAGGAAUCUCUGGCAAUCCACGAUAUACCGGAGCCUUGUCAAAUCUGGACGGGAAUUUGGAUGAGUUUAGGGCGUGGUGUCCAUCUUCUAUCUCGGACGUCCUUUGGAAGAUCCAACCGUUGAUCGGCUGCGGAAUUCCUAUAUCUACCACCUCUCAAAAUUUCGGCUCGAUUCGACCGUCCAAACUUUGGGAACCUUCUGAUUAGUGCAUCACUUUUCGGAUCUGUUUUCUGCGCGAAAACGAAUCCGACCCAAGUUCAUCUUUUUUAUGAACAGGAUUUCGAACAUCCCUUUUGAAGGAAGUUUUGUAUGGGUAUUGUGUUUUGUUCCCGAACACAUCCCACUAACUAUAAGAUCUUUUAAACAUGAUCUUCAACAUCAUGCUGGUGUCAAACCAGUCCGGCAAUAUUACUCCACGGCUGCCGACCUGCGCUAGACACGGCAUCACUUUGUUGAGCCGAGCUCAACUUCUUCGGAUCAUCAUCUCGACAAGUCAAACAAGAGCCCGGCAUCGCGAAGGAUAAAUCAUCACCAACAUCGCCGCCCCAUGGAUUACACGGAGCGGGCAUAACCGGCAUCGCCGCACGGUCGCUUCAUCAAGCCGGCAUCGACCACGUCACGACCUGCAUCGACAGGGCCGCACUAUUGCUUCUUCAAGCUGGUGUCCAUCACGCCGACCUACUUCGACUCAUCGGCUGACAUCGAGGCUUCGACAUCUCGGCUGGACCGGGGGCUUCGCCGUCUCUUAAUCAACCUACUCCGGACACUUCGGCGUCACUAGCCGACCAGCUCCGUCACGUUAGCUGGGCCGAGGGCUUUGCCUCGGCGAGUCAACCUUUACCAGCAUUGCCAUGCCGUCGUUUUAUCGCCCAUCAGGCAAUGGGUGUGCGGAGCGGGUCACAAUUUUAGGAAUCACCUUCCUUCGGAUUGCUACAACAAAUAAACCAGGUGCUAUUAAUCCCAGUAUUUUUUUUGCUUGUUUGGGUUCAUUUUUUCCAAGGAAUUAUUACUCUGGGUUAUCCGUCAUAUGUACACAGGUCUAUCAAAUGGUGGCCGCAUUAACGACAAUCGCAUGGUGGUUCGGUCAGUUUCCGUACAUAGUCCGGCGAACGCCGCACUCGGAGCUCGGACCGACCUGCGAAUUCAGGCUUUGCCACGCCUUUACUACAUCACGCCGACGCCCUGCAUCGACAUUGACUUCGGCGCCAGGCCAUAUUUCUUCUAUUCCUCACUUUGCAUAAAUUAUUUAUUAUGCAACAUUUUUUUUAAUUAUCAUUAUUACUAUUAUCUCCAGUUCGCACUAUUUUAUGUGGCACAGGAAAAUGAUCUAGCCGGACUAUAUCCUUUGGCGUCACCUCGGCUGGACGGGGGGCUUCGUCAACACUUCAUUACCCCAUGCCGGGGACUUCGGCAUCACUCUGCCGGCCUGCAUUGACCGUGCUAUGUCACCACUUCGGAGUGCCGAGCUCUUUGCUCCGACACCUCGGGACCGGCUUGGGGGAUGGCACCUUGUCCCGCAUCAAGCUCGGACCGCGUCAUCAAUACCGAACACAUUAACCAGCUAAGUUGCCUUCAUGCUCAAAGUUUUAAAUUUUUAACUUGUGUUCGGCUCGACCAAGCAUUAUACUUUUUUGGAAAAAAGUUGCUUGUAAAUUUUUUUCCUUGUCCAAACUUUGUUUGUGACGCACAAAUUCAAAUACCCCGUUUACUUGGGGGCUUCCUUCAUGAAGAUUUUUCCUCUUGCAUAUGAUUAUACUUGUACGGCUUCAUUCCUUGUUCAUGUAUUACGCCAUAAUAUGCACCAUAUUGACUUAAGCGAUUUGCAAGCUGGGUUGCCUCGCUCCUGUGUUUUCCCCUACGUUCCCGAUUGUUCAGCUAGGGAGUAAAGGGAGCACCUCUGCGAUUGUCACGAUCGGGUCAACCGAGCCGGACCCCAGACUAGGUGAAGCCGAAAGCUAGCGCUCUUAUAGUUUUCAAUGAUGGUCGGCACACAAUGGAACUCAUGAGUAGAAAAAAUCUAUUACACAAGUCUCAUAAUAACAAUGAGCACCGAAGAAAGGUAUCGGUGGGGUACUAUUUUCUUCGAAGAUGCUUCUUACACUUCACGGUAAUAUAGCAUAAGUUCCCUGAGCGUGCUUUGUCUGUUACAGCCUUAUGGCCUGAUUGCCUGGUUAUUGGAAACACCGUCGAUAUUCUCGACCGAUGGAGUAGAUAACACUUCUCGGCCCUUGACCGAAGAGGGAGAAGCUGACGGUCGGUUAAGACGCGUUUAAAGUUCGGUUGAACAUAGAUAUGAUAUAAGUACUUCGGUACAUGCAAUCAUUCUUCUACCAAGUCACUUGGGGGCUCUUAAGUUUAUUUGAGACGUUUUAUAAUAAGUGUUCUUCUUCUUAGUCGUUGCAAAGUUUUAUUAUUAUUUAUCACUCCUUUUUUCGACACGAGUGUGCGGUCACUAGCCGGGGAGCCUAAUUUCUCUCUCAAAUCCGCUAGAGUUUAGUUUGCUAAACUGGCCUGAUGAGAAGUACUCCGCCCUCGGGAUAGGAGGUUGAAGCCGUAGGCUGACCCGCUCGAAGUCUUGAGAUAGGAUGUAUCAUGUUAAAACACGACAGAAGCACUUCUUUUUUCUAAGACCAACUUUCGGAUUGGCACCGAACACUUGAUAUUGUUCGGACGUCAUGUUUUUACUGACGUUUCUUGGUUUUCCAAGCUUUUUGGCACUUUUAAAACUAUUCGUGCUUUUCCAGCAUUAGUCUCGCAGUGCAACGCCGGACACCUUUAGGGAUUCGGCAAAAACAUUCUCAGAUAUUGCUAUAUAUGCAUCGGUUUCGAAUUGUGUCUUCGGUCAAUAGUUGGGUUGCCCGGCUCCUGCACUUGCUUCCUACGUUCCGUUUUGUUCGGCUAGGCGUGCAAAGGGAGAACCACUGCGAUUGUGCUUCCAGCUCACAUGGUUAAGCACCUCAGUGGAGAAAGCCGAAAACUGACUUUCACAAUAAGCGUAAACUGGUCAGCGAUCCGAUGACUAUGUUAAAUGAUGGGCCAUUCAUAACAUUGGCCCAAGUGUUUACGGCUUGACCCCAACUGUCGCCGAACACUUCCGAGGGCUAUUAACUGGCCUCCCAAACUAAAUCCUCAAUAUUUUGCUCUUACAUUAGAGCUGAGGUUUAAUGAUCAUGCUUAGCAUGACAACCCAAAGGAAGAAACCGAUAGCGGGACCAUUUUCUUUGGAGGACAUUUCUUAUGUUAAACAGUAAAUAUAACAUAUCUCUCUGCGUACCUUUGUUUAUAAAACUGUAUGACCAGAUUGCCUUGUUUGUUGUAAAUCUUUACCCUCAUAAAGGCUUUAUAAAGUAGGACAAACACUCCUCGGCUACUGGCCGAGGAGGUGGAAGCUGAUGGUCGGUCAACAAAGUUUUGUACAAUGCGGAUUCGAGCAUUAAUGAUGUAAAGUACUUGAAUACAUAGAGUCAUUACACAUAAUUUGUGAUUUUACUAUGGAUAUCGAUCCUUAAUUCGGCCACCCGUGCCCGCAUUAAGGCUCGGGGGCUACUGGGCUUCGGGCUUAUUAUUUACAAAUAUUAAAGGGGCACAUUGAUCCCCUGAUCUGGUGUUGCCACCCGACCAGUGUCUCGGGGGCUACUGCAUUGCUUGUCCAAUGCAGAAAAUUUUAUGUACAAUAUAGUUUCCGAGGAGAUUUUGAUCCUCAGGUUGGUCGGCCGCACCCAACCCGAGUCUCGAGGACUGAGCAUGCCGCUUUUAGUGUCCCGAAGUAUUCUGCCGAGCUAGGACUUGAUCCUCAGGCCGAUUUUGCAAAUUGACCUGAGUCUCAGCGGCUACUGGGAUCAGCGGUCUUAUGUCAUCCUUCAUGUGCAUCUUGGGUUUUAGACCGAUACCCACCUUGAGGGCUACUGGCUAUAUAUCUCGACAGAGAAUAAAUUGCACCAAUCAAAAAUAUUGACAAAAAUCGGCCCACAUUCAGGGUGGUGCACCACCUCGGAAGCAGUCCGGCAUAAAGCUCAGGCGCUAGUGGCUGGCUCCAUAGAGGUCAUUUCCGGCAUUAAGCUCGGCUAAACUCCUUCAACUUUUUUGAACCAAGGUGAUAUGACACCUCGGAUAUAGUCCGGCAUUGGAGCCUGGACACAGUCCGGCGUCGGAUAUCGGAUAUAUUUUCGGCGUUGGAGCUUGGAUAUACAGUCCGGCGUUGGAGCUCGGAUACAUAGUCCGGCGUUGGAGCUCGGAUACAUUCCGGCGCUAGAGCUGGGAAGCGGUCCGGCGUUGGUGCUCGGCUGCAAAAGAUACCUCGAAUGCAGUCCGGCGUUGGAGCUCGGACGCAAGAGGACCCUGCCUCCCGGGAACAACUUCAAACCCGAGGUGUGGCAUAAAAAUAAACAAAGCAUUGAUAAAGGCCGGAAACUUAAAGGGGAUCCUCGGAUACCCGACGUGUAAACUCGUCGAAUGCAUUUCGGAAAUCCUCAAGAUCGAAGAUAAAGAAGAUUUGUUGAACCAGUUUUCAAGACCGGCAACCGAAGAUGAAGAACAGUUCGGAAGAAUCGAGGAGCGUCCCUAACUUGAAGACCGGUUCAGGGGGCUACUGAUGGUGUCCUGGACUAGGGGGUACUCACCACGUCGUCUCCGAUCUAUUAGAUUGGGCCGAGGACCCCCGUGGCCGUAUACUCAUGGGCCAGUUCGGACGGCUGCCGCAUACAAGGAAGAUUCCACAAGACUUGGCGAUCAAGACAAGGACUUCUCCCCACCGGUGUAUUCGGCUAGGACUCUUGUUAUCCUAGGCCUCUGGUGCAUUAUAUAAACCGAGGCCAGGCUAGUCGAUAGAUAGACAAUAUAUACAACAAUCAUACCAUAGGCUAGCUUCUAGGGUUUAGCCUCCUUGAUCUCGUGGUAGAUCUACUCUUGUACUACCCAUAUCAUCAAUAUUAAUCAAGCAGGAGUAGGGUUUUACCUCCAUCGAGAGGGCCCGAACCUAGGUAAAAACAUCGUGUCCCUUGUCUCCUGUUACCAUCCGGCCUAGACGCACAGUUCGGGACCCCCUACCCGAGAUCCGCCGGUUUUGACACCGACAGUGAACCUUCGAACUAUGAAGAAGCGAUGGCGGGCCCAGAUUCCAACAAAUGGCUUGAAGCCAUGCAAUCCGAGAUAGGAUCCAUGUAUGAAAACAAAGUAUGGACUUUGACAAACUUGCCCGAUCAUCGGCGAGCGAUAGAAAACAAAUGGAUCUUUAAGAAGAAGACGGACGCGGAUGGUAAUGUUACCAUCUAUAAAGCUCGACUUGUCGCUAAGGGUUAUCGGCAAGUUCAAGGGGUUGACUACGAUGAGACUUUAUCUCCCGUAGCGAAGUUGAAGUCCGUCAGAAUUAUGUUAGCAAUUACCGCAUACUAUGAUUAUGAGAUAUGGCAAAUGGACGUCAAAACGGCAUUCCUUAAUGGUUUCCUUAAGGAAGAAUUGUAUAUGAUGCAGCAGGAAGGUUUUGUCGAUCCUAAGAAUGCUGACAAGGUGUGCAAGCUCCAACGCUCGAUUUAUGGGCUGGUGCAAGCAUCUCGGAGUUGGAACAUUCGCUUUGAUGAGAUGAUCAAAGCGUUUGGGUUUAUGCAGACUUAUGGAGAAGCCUGCGUUUACAAGAAAGUGAGUGGGAGCUCUGUAGCAUUUCUCAUAUUAUAUGUAGAUGACAUACUUUUGAUGGGAAAUGAUAUAGAGCUUUUGGACAGCAUUAAGGCCUACUUGAAUAAGAGUUUUUCAAUGAAAGACCUUGGAGAAGCUGCUUAUAUAUUAGGCAUCAAGAUCUAUAGAGAUAGAUCAAGACGCCUCCUAGGUCUUUCACAAAGCACAUACCUUGAUAAGAUAUUGAAGAAGUUCAAUAUGGAUCAGUCUAAGAAGGGGUUCUUGCCUGUGUUGCAAGGUGUGAAAUUGAGCUCAGCUCAAUGUCCGACCACGGCAGAAGAUAUAGAAGAGAUGAGUGUCAUCCCCUAUGCCUCAGCCAUAGGUUCUAUUAUGUAUGCCAUGCUGUGUACCAGACCUGAUGUAAACCUUGCUGUAAGUUUGGUAGGUAGGUACCAAAGUAAUCCCGGCAAGGAACACUGGACAGCGGUCAAGAAUAUCCUGAAGUACCUGAAAAGGACUAAGGAAAUGUUUCUCGUUUAUGGAGGUGACGAAGAGCUCGUCGUAAAGGGUUACGUCGACGCUAGCUUCGACACAGAUCUGGAUGGCUCUAAGUCACAAACCGGAUACGUGUAUAUUUUGAAUGGUGGGGCAGUAAGCUGGUGCAGUUGCAAGCAGAGCGUCGUGGCGGGAUCUACAUGUGAAGCGGAGUACAUGGCAGCCUCGGAGACAGCGCAUGAAGCAAUUUGGGUGAAGGAGUUCAUCACCGACCUAGGAGUCAUACCCAAUGCAUCGGGGCCGAUCAAACUCUUCUGUGACAACACUGGGGCUAUUGCACUUGCCAAGGAGCCCAGGUUUCACAAGAAGACCAGGCACAUCAAGCGUCGCUUAAACUCCAUUCGUGAAAAUGUUCAAGAUGGAGACAUAGAUAUUUGUAAAGUACAUACGGACCUGAAUGUAGCAGAUCCGUUGACUAAACCUCUCCCUAGAGCAAAACAUGAUCAACACCAGAAUUCCAUGGGUGUUCGAUUCAUCACAAUGUAACUAGAUUAUUGACCCUAGUGCAAGUGGGAGACUGUUGGAAAUAUGCCCUAGAGGCAAUAAUAAAAGGAUUAUUAUUAUAUUUCCUUGUUCAUGAUAAUUCUCUUUUAUUCAUGCUAUAAUUGUGUUAUCCGGAAAUCGUAAUACAUGUGUGAAAUAGACACCAACAUGUCCCUAGUAAGCCUCUAGUUGACUAGCUCGUUGAUCAACAGAUAGUCAUGGUUUCCUGACUAUGGACAUUGGAUGUCAUUGAUAACGAGAUCACAUCAUUAGGAGAAUGAUGUGAUGGACAAGACCCAAUCCUAAACACAGCACAAGAUCGUAUAGUUCAUUUGCUAGAGUUUUUCCAAUGUCAAGUAUCUUUUCCUUAGACCAUGAGAUCGUGUAACUCCCGGAUACCGUAGGAGUGCUUUGGGUGUACCAAACGUCACAACGUAACUGGGUGACUAUAAAUGUAUACUACGGGUAUCUCCGAAAGUGUCUGUUGGGUUGACACGGAUCAAGACUGGGAUUUGUCACUCCGUAUGACGGAGAGGUAUCUCUGGGCCCACUCGGUAAUGCAUCAUCACAAUGAGCUCAAAGUGACCAAGUGUCUGGUCACGGGAUCAUGCAUUACGGUACGAGUAAAGUGACUUGCCGGCAACGAGAUUGAACGAGGUAUUGGGAUACCGACGAUCGAAUCUCGGGCAAGUAACGUACCGAUUGACAAAGGGAAUUGUAUACGGGGUUGCUUGAAUCCUCGACAUCGUGGUUCAUCCGAUGAGGUCAUCGAGGAGCAUGUGGGAGCCAACAUGGGUAUCCAGCCCGCUGUUGGUUAUUGACCGGAGAGCCAUCUCGGUCAUGUCUACAUGUCUCCCGAACCCGUAGGGUCUACACACUUAAGGUUCGGUGACGCUAGGGUUAUAGAGAUAUGAAUAUGCAGUAACCCGAAAAUUGUUUGGAGUCCCGGAUGAGAUCCCGGACGUCACGAGGAGUUCCAGAAUGGUCCGGAGGUGAAGAAUUAUAUAUAGGAAGUGCAGUUUCGGCCAUCGGGAGAGUUUCGGGGGUCACCGGUAUUGUACCGGGACCACCGGAUGGGUCCCGGGGGUCCAUCGGGUGGGACCACCCAUCCCGGAGGGCCCCAUGGGCUGAAGUGGGAAGGGGAACCAGCCCAUAGUGGGCUGGUGCGCCCCCUUGGCCCACCCCCUGCGCCUAGGGUUGGAAACCCUAGGGUGGGGGGGCGCCCCACUUGCCUUGGGGGCCACUCCACCCUUGGCCGCCGCCCCCUAGGAGAUCCCAUCUCCUAGGGCCGGCGCCCCACUUGCCUUGGGGGCCACUCCACCCUUGGCCGCCGCCCCCUAGGAGAUCCCAUCUCCUAGGGCCGGCGCCCCCCCUUGGGAGCCUAUAUAAAGGGGGGAGGGAGGGGCAGCCGCACCCUUGACUCUUGGCGCCUCCCUCUCCCCUGCUACACCUCUCCCUCUCGCAGAAGAACGGCGAAGCCCUGCUGCGAUGACUGCUGCAUCCACCACCACGCCGUCGUGCUGCUGGAUCUUCAUCAACCUCUCCUUCCCCCCUUGCUGGAUCAAGAAGGAGGAGACGUCACGCUAACCAUACGUGUGUUGAACACGGAGGUGUCGUCCGUUCGGCGCUAGGAUCUCCAGUGAUUUGGAUCACGUCGAGUACGACUUCCUCAUCCCCGUUCUUUGAACGCUUCCGCGCGUGAUCUACAAAGGUAUGUAGAUGCAAUCCGAUCACUCGUUGCUAGAUGAACUCAUAGAUGGAUCUUGGUGAAACCGUAGGAAAAAUUUUGUUUUCUGCAACGUUCCCCAACAUAUACGGCCGUGGCUAAAUUUCGUGUUUUGACCCUUUUGACAAACAAAAUCAAAAUCUGACCCCGGUUUGAAAUAUUUUCGGGAUUUGACGCUUUUGCUACCGCCAGAGUCUCUGGCGGUAGGGUUAGACAGCCUACCGCCAACGUCACUGGCGGUAGGGUGUGACGAAGGGGACGGCGGCCGUCGCCGCGUGCUGACGUGGAUAAGUACCCUACCGCCAGGGGCCCUGGCGGUAGGCUGUCUAACCUUACCGCCAGUGCCUCUGGCGGUAAGGUGUGGCAGGGUUUUUCCAUGCAGACAUUCUGUAACAAAAGAUGCAAGGGCCCUGGCGGUAGGUUCACCCUACCGCCAGCCCCCAUGGCGGUAGGUUGUCUGAUCCUACCGCCAGGACCCCUGGCGGUAGGGUCUUGUGUUUUGCCGUAUAGAGCUUCUGUAACGAAAUAUGAAAGGGCCCUGGCGGUAGGUUCACCCUACCGCCAUGGGGGCUGGCGGUAGGUUGUCUAACCCUACCGCCAGGGUGCCUGGCGGUAGGGUCCUCUGUUUUGUUUUUCAAGUUCAUUUGGUUGCUUGUUCUCAAAUUCAUUAUGACAGCAAUAUCACAGCAAGUUUCACAAAUAUGACAGCAAUAUCAUAGAUUUUAAACAAUUAAACUUGGGCAUCACAUAGAUCCAUAUUAAGAUAAAUUGAAGUGCAUAGAACAUUUCAAACACAUAGUUCCACAAAUAGCAAACACAUAGUUCCACGUAGUUUCACAAGCACUAGACAAGUUCAACCAAACGAAGUUCAACCAAACUAAAAGAGCCAAGUAUCGAAGAGCAUAAUCAGUUGCUCCUUCACCUCUUGGAGGUACGGUCCUCGUUACUCUUUGAACGAGUCUCUUCGGUCUUCUUCUUGGGCCGGCGAGGAACCGUUCUCUGGAAAGGGUCCGGACUCAGCAAAUCCUUCUUUUUCGAAUUCCUCUUCGGCAGCUGAGAUGCUUGAGAUGUUUGAGUUGAUGGAGGUCCAUAAUAUUCAUCGUACUCCUCCUCCCCGUUGCUCUCCUCCUCCUCCCCUUCUUCAUGUGUGGCCUCCUCCUCCUUCUCCCCUUCUUCAUGUGUGGCCUCCUCCUCCUCCUCCUCCCCAACCAACCUAGACGACGGGGGAGCAUGGCUCGAUGAGCCGAUGAGACCCUGUGUGGCUACAGGCUGAUAAGCUUCAACUGACCCAGCUCCAGCACACCCAAGCAGCCCUACCAGCUUGCAACAACGCUUCACGAACUUCUGCACUCACAAUGAAACAAGGGCAUAAUAAGUAUCAGAUCGACUGAUUGCAGGUGAACAAGAUGCAUCUGUUCCGACGAGGCUGGAAUUGUACCUUCAUCGUCCCCCUCACUUUGUUCUCAGAUUCUAUGCUCCCGGGGAGAUCACCUAGUGCAUCUGAGGCUUCAAAGAUGCAUCUGUUCAGCUCACCAGACUGCAACGACAUAAGUCAGUCACGAUGACGAAUAAACUAAUUUAAAUACAACCUCGGUUCAAACUUACCACUCUGUUGAUGAGGGGUGCAAACUCCCUAAAUCUACUGUGCAUGUCUCUGAUGCUGGUCUGGUAGGCCUCUUCCUCGGGGUCAUCCCUCUCCAGCUCCGCGAUGUCUUCCGCCGUCCACCGAGGCCUGAGACGAAGACGGUGCUUCUGGCCAUCAUCGUACCACUACAUGUGUCGGCUCAGGUAAGCAUCCCAGUCAGUAACUUUCCUCUCCACGUCUUUACAGAACCUCCGUCGGUUCCACUCCGUCGCAUGAGUUUUAUGCUUCUCUCCCCAGUCUGUGAUCGACCGAUUCUUCUGCCGGCUCAUCCUGCAAGGCAUAAGCAACAAGAAUCAUCAUAAGCACAAUGAGAUCAUCAUAAGCAACAAGAAACGUGAUAAGCGUAAUGAAAUCAUGGGCACGGAGAACAAAGCGCUCACAGGUGGAGCGCGUGGCCGCCGGUAUCGAUGGGCUGGCCUGGUGGGGUAUGCUGAUAAAUCCCAAAUUGUGUGGCCACGCGGUGUGGCAAGUGCCACUCGACGGCGUACACACAUAUCAUGGGCACGAUGCACCGCCAGAGACCACAGUCCGCAUCGCACAUCACGUUCAGAUCAAAGCCCCACUGUCAGUCAUGAUAUGGCCACCAGUUUACCUGUUACAUAUACAUUGGUAAGUUCCCACUCUCGAUCAAAAGUGGAAUCAAAGAGAAAGGUGUUGAGCGAGUUCAUAUACCUGCAUAUGCGUCAAAGCGUCCAACUCGUUGGUGUAGGUCUUGUACGAAGUCUUGUUUAGGCCCGUGUAGAGUUUGACAACGUCCCACUCGUAAGCUACGGUGGGGUGUCGAGUCUCGUCGCCGUCUUCGCUAUAGGCACCCCACGGGCGUCUUGGCAACUUCUUCGGACGCCCCACCGGCAGCCGCUCCUACAUCCAAAUGGAGAAGGCCCAGACAAAGCCACCCAUAUUGGACUUGUCUCCCGUCCUCUGCGUUGCGUCGUCAAGCUGCAAAACAUCAAAUGAGGAUCAAAUAUAAGAAAAUGUCAUGGACACACUUUCGUAGGUAGGUAGGCAAUUAGAUCCUCUCUUACCGAACGGUAUAGGUAGGCGAGAGAUGCGGUCCCCCAACUGUACCCUGCCUCCCAGUCCGCUAGGAAGAAGAGAUACGACCAGUUGGCAGAGUUCCCAGAGCUGUCUGGAAACACGACCUCCAUGAGAAGAUACCACAGGUAGGCCCUCGCAUACCACUCCAUGGUCGUCUCGUCGUCGCCUUUGGGGCAUUUCUGCCGGUGCUCCGAGAGCCAGGUCAGUGGCACACCGGAUGUACAGUUACCCUUGACAGCGGGGCAGUCGCCGAUGAGGUGGAACCGGUCUCACGUAAGCAUACGUGUAAGGUUGGUCCGGGCCGCUUCAUCCCACAAUACCGUCGAAUCAAGAUAAGACUAGUAACGGCAAGCAUAUUGAACAAAAUCAAAGCCCACAACUUCUUUGUGUUCUACUCGUGCAUAGUAACUACGCAUAGACCUAGCUCAUGAUGCCACUGUUGGGGAACGUAGCAUAAAUUCAAAAUUUUCCUACGUGUCACCAAGAUCUAUGUAUGGAGUCAUCUAGCAACGAGGAAGGAGUGGAUCUACAUACCCUUGUAGAUCGCGCGCGGAAGCGUUCAAGAGAACGGGGUUGAUGGAGUCGUACUCGUCGUGAUCCAAAUCACCGAUGAUCGUAGCGCCGAACGGACGGCACCUCCGCGUUCAACACACGUACGGAGCAGCGACGUCUCCUCCUUCUUGAUCCAGCAAGGGGGGAGGAGAUGUUGAUGGAGAUCCAGCAACACGGCGGCGUGGUGGAAGUAGCGGGAUUCCAACAGGGCUUCGCCAAGCGCUGCGGGAGGAGGGAGAUGUGUCAUGGGAGGGAGAGGGAGGCGCCAGGGCUUGGGUAUGGUUUCCCUCCCUUCCCCCCACUAUAUAUAGGGCCAAGGGAGAGGGGGAGGGCGCAGCCUUGCCCCUUCCUCCAAGGAAGGGUGCGGCCAAGGGGGGGAGGAGUCCAUCCUCCCCAAGGCACCUCGGAGGUGCCUUCCCCCUUUAGGACUCUCCCCUCCUCUUGUCCCUUUGGCGCAUGGGCCUCUUGGGGCUGGUGCCCUUGGCCCAUAUAGGCCAAGGCGCACCCCCUACAGCCCAUGUGGCCCCCCGGGGCAGGUGGCCCCACCCGGUGGACCCCCGGGACCCUUCCGGUGGUCCCGGUACAAUACCGAUGACCCCGAAACUUGUCCCGAUGACCGAAAUAGCACUUCCUAUAUAUAAUUCUUUACCUCUGAACCAUUCCGAAACUCCUCAUGACGUCCGGGAUCUCAUCCGGGACUCCGAACAACUUUCGGGUUACCGGAUACUAAUAUCUCUAUAACCCUAGCGUCACUGAACCUUAAGUGUGUAGAUCCUACGGGUUCGGGAACCAUGCAGACAUGACCGAGAUGACUCUCCGGUCAAUAACCAACAACGAGAUCUAGAUACCCAUGUUGGCUCCCACAUGUUCCACGAUGAUCUCAUCAUAUGAACCACGAUGUCAAGGACUUAAUCAAUCCCGCAUACAAUUCCCUUUGUCUAUCGGUAUGUUACUUCCCCGAGAUUCGAUCGUCGGUAUCCCGAUACCUUGUUCAAUCUCGUUACCGGCAAGUCUCUUUACUCGUUUCGUAACAUAUCAUCCCGUGAUCAACUCCUUGAUCACAUUGUGCACAUUAUGAUGAUGUCCUACCGAGUGGGCCCAGAGAUACCUCUCCGUUUACACGGAGUGAUAAAUCCCAGUCUCGAUUCGUGCCAACCCAACAGACACUUUCGGAGAUACCUGUAGUGUUCCUUUAUAGCCACCCAGUUACGUUGUGACGUUUGGCACACCCAAAGUAUUCCUACGGUAUCCGGGAAUUGCACAAUCUCAUGGUCUAAGGAAAUGAUACUUGACAUUAGAAAAGCUUUAGCGAACGAACUACACGAUCCUUGUGCUAGGCUUAGGAUUGGGUCUUGUCCAUCACAUCAUUCUCCUAAUGAUGUGAUCCCGUUAUCAACGACAUCCAAUGUCCAUGGUCAGGAAACCGUAACCAUCUAUUGAUUAACGAGCUAGUCAACUAGAGGCUUACUAGGGACAUGGUGUUGUCUAUGUAUCCACACAUGUAUCUGAGUUUCCUAUCAAUACAAUUCUAGCAUGGAUAAUAAACGAUUAUCAUGAACAAGGAAAUAUAAUAAUAACUAAUUUAUUAUUGCCUCUAGGGCAUAUUUUCAACACAUGCAUCAUAUCAAAAUAAAAUUUUAAGCAUAUUCCUCCAACAGCAACUACUACACAUGAUGGAUCAAAUCAUAUCAACAUGCAUCAUAUCAAAAAAUAUCCUCCAACAUACAUCAUAUCAUCAUAUUUUUAAAUAAAUUUUUCCAAACAACAUCUUCAUAUCAUCAUAUCAACAUGCAUCAUCAAACUAGGGGUCAUCUUCACACUAGAUCAUAUCAUCAUAUCAACAUGCAUCAUCAAACUAGGGUUCAUCCUCAUAUCAACAUUACAUCAUAAUUUUUUUAACAAAAGAAAAUUAUAAACUAGGGUUCAUCUUCACACUAACAUAUGAACUAUUGAUUAGAGUUCAUAUCCAAUACCACUAGUUACUGAAGAACUAAGAACUACAACUACAAUCAAUCUUAGGUGAAAAAAAAUCCAAUCUAAGUUAAAAAAUAUGAGGGAUUUCAAGCAAAUAAUGUGUCGAAUCGGAAGCAAAUUUGCAAAAACUAAUUGGAGGGAUUGGAGGAGCUUACGUUUCUCUCUUCGGGGCCAUCUCGAUCCGCAAAAACGAUCAACAAACGAUGAAGAUCCGAGAAAGGGAGUGGAGAAGAUGAGAGAGGAAGAGAGGGGCGACUUGGGGGAGAAAAAGAAGAAAUGCCGACGGGGGGAGGGGGAGGGGNNNNNNNNNNNNNNNNNNNNNNNNNNNNNNNNNNNNNNNNNNNNNNNNNNNNNNNNNNNNNNNNNNNNNNNNNNNNNNNNNNNNNNNNNNNNNNNNNNNNNNNNNNNNNNNNNNNNNNNNNNNNNNNNNNNNNNNNNNNNNNNNNNNNNNNNNNNNNNNNNNNNNNNNNNNNNNNNNNNNNNNNNNNNNNNNNNNNNNNNNNNNNNNNNNNNNNNNNNNNNNNNNNNNNNNNNNNNNNNNNNNNNNNNNNNNNNNNNNNNNNNNNNNNNNNNNNNNNNNNNNNNNNNNNNNNNNNNNNNNNNNNNNNNNNNNNNNNNNNNNNNNNNNNNNNNNNNNNNNNNNNNNNNNNNNNNNNNNNNNNNNNNNNNNNNNNNNNNNNNNNNNNNNNNNNNNNNNNNNNNNNNNNNNNNNNNNNNNNNNNNNNNNNNNNNNNNNNNNNNNNNNNNNNNNNNNNNNNNNNNNNNNNNNNNNNNNNNNNNNNNNNNNNNNNNNNNNNNNNNNNNNNNNNNNNNNNNNNNNNNNNNNNNNNNNNNNNNNNNNNNNNNNNNNNNNNNNNNNNNNNNNNNNNNNNNNNNNNNNNNNNNNNNNNNNNNNNNNNNNNNNNNNNNNNNNNNNNNNNNNNNNNNNNNNNNNNNNNNNNNNNNNNNNNNNNNNNNNNNNNNNNNNNNNNNNNNNNNNNNNNNNNNNNNNNNNNNNNNNNNNNNNNNNNNNNNNNNNNNNNNNNNNNNNNNNNNNNNNNNNNNNNNNNNNNNNNNNNNNNNNNNNNNNNNNNNNNNNNNNNNNNNNNNNNNNNNNNNNNNNNNNNNNNNNNNNNNNNNNNNNNNNNNNNNNNNNNNNNNNNNNNNNNNNNNNNNNNNNNNNNNNNNNNNNNNNNNNNNNNNNNNNNNNNNNNNNNNNNNNNNNNNNNNNNNNNNNNNNNNNNNNNNNNNNNNNNNNNNNNNNNNNNNNNNNNNNNNNNNNNNNNNNNNNNNNNNNNNNNNNNNNNNNNNNNNNNNNNNNNNNNNNNNNNNNNNNNNNNNNNNNNNNNNNNNNNNNNNNNNNNNNNNNNNNNNNNNNNNNNNNNNNNNNNNNNNNNNNNNNNNNNNNNNNNNNNNNNNNNNNNNNNNNNNNNNNNNNNNNNNNNNNNNNNNNNNNNNNNNNNNNNNNNNNNNNNNNNNNNNNNNNNNNNNNNNNNNNNNNNNNNNNNNNNNNNNNNNNNNNNNNNNNNNNNNNNNNNNNGAUGGGGCACAAGGGCGGGGAGACUCGCAAGGAGCAGCUCGGGGAGGAGGGGUACCGCGAGAUGGGGCGCAAGGGCGGGCUGAGCACCAUGGAGGAGUCUGGUGGCGAGCGCGCCGCCAGGGAGGGCAUCGAGAUCGAUGAGUCCAAGUUCAAGACCAAGUCCUAAGUAAUGUAGGUCAAGAUGUCCCAGUGUCUAGCUGAGUAGCUAGCUAGUAGUGAGCAAGCUGUCUGCUCAUGUUUGUAGUAAUGAAUAAUGUAGGUCAAGGUCAGGUCUUGGCAUGACGAGAGCACGCAUGUAGGCGAUCGCAUGUACUGUUAUCAUGUGUGCGUUAGGUGUCUUAGCUUGUAGUAGUGACCAUGUGUUCUUCAGGUGUCCUAGCUUGUAGUAGGUGUCGUUGUGGCCCGUGAGUCAGCUUGCUAAUGUAUGUGAGUCGUUGUUAAAUCAGGUCGAUGUUGAAUCAGAACGUGGGCUCUUAAAUUGUUUUCUUGAACUGGGUAGAGAGAAACAACUCCCGGCCGUACUGGUACAUGAACAAAUGGUUGCUGGUUGGCAUCAUCGAUGGCAAGGUAUUUCCGAGGAACGACAUGGGAGGAGGGAUGCACGGCCGAGGAUGAGGGCCUCGGGUGUGGGGAAGCAGAAAGAGCAUGUGCCACAUUGGUCGGUGCAUAGUCUAUGUUGGUGUGGGUUAGGUUUAGGGCCAUGAAUGACAUCUUGGCAAGCAGAAGAGCAUGUGCCACAUUGGUCGGUGCAUAGUCGAUGUUGUUGUGGAUUAGGGUUUAGGGCCAUGAAUGACAUCUGGGCAAGCAGAAGAGCAUGUGCCACAUUGGACGGUGCAUGACUAGUUGAUGUUGGUGUGGGUCAGGCCGUUAGGGUUUACGGCCAUGAAUGACAUCUAGUUAAGCAUUGCAAGAAAAUAUAGCACGGCCAAUGCCAUCUGCUUAAGCAUUGCAAGAAAAUAUAGCACGGCCAUGUGACUAUUUACAAAUUUUCUAAGUAUAAUGAUAUCCAUUAUCUCAGGAUUUUUUUCCCUUUUGUAAAUUUGCCAUGUGAUGACUGCAACAUUUUCAAAAUUUGCCAUGCUCUAGAGAAACAUUUCCCCCCUUAAUUUGCCAUGUGACUAUUAAAAAAACCUAAAUCGUUGCCAUGAUUUUAGGAAACACAAUUUGUGCCAUGUGAUCAGUAUAAACAUUUCAAACUUUACCAUGUUCUAGAGAACAAAUUUUCUUAAAUUUUGCCAUGUGAAUAUCUUACAUUUUUUCCUAAAUCUUGCUAUGAUUUAGGAAUUAAAAUUAUCUCAAUUUUUAAGCUAACACUGCAAACCUUUCCAAGUUUACCAUUUUUUAGAAAACAAAAUUUCUUAAAUUUCACGUCUGACUAAUCUUUUCAACAAAAUUUGUAAAUCUUACCAUGGUUUAGUAGUCGAAAAUAUCUCAAUUUCCAUGUGACCAUGGCAACUCAUUUGAUUGUUUCUAUUUUUUUUCCUAUUUAUUCCCCUACAUUGUGGGAACUUCCGAANNNNNNNNNNNNNNNNNNNNNNNNNNNNNNNNNNNNNNNNNNNNNNNNNNNNNNNNNNNNNNNNNNNNNNNNNNNNNNNNNNNNNNNNNNNNNNNNNNNNNNNNNNNNNNNNNNNNNNNNNNNNNNNNNNNNNNNNNNNNNNNNNNNNNNNNNNNNNNNNNNNNNNNNNNNNNNNNNNNNNNNNNNNNNNNNNNNNNNNNNNNNNNNNNNNNNNNNNNNNNNNNNNNNNNNNNNNNNNNNNNNNNNNNNNNNNNNNNNNNNNNNNNNNNNNNNNNNNNNNNNNNNNNNNNNNNNNNNNNNNNNNNNNNNNNNNNNNNNNNNNNNNNNNNNNNNNNNNNNNNNNNNNNNNNNNNNNNNNNNNNNNNNNNNNNNNNNNNNNNNNNNNNNNNNNNNNNNNNNNNNNNNNNNNNNNNNNNNNNNNNNNNNNNNNNNNNNNNNNNNNNNNNNNNNNNNNNNNNNNNNNNNNNNNNNNNNNNNNNNNNNNNNNNNNNNNNNNNNNNNNNNNNNNNNNNNNNNNNNNNNNNNNNNNNNNNNNNNNNNNNNNNNNNNNNNNNNNNNNNNNNNNNNNNNNNNNNNNNNNNNNNNNNNNNNNNNNNNNNNNNNNNNNNNNNNNNNNNNNNNNNNNNNNNNNNNNNNNNNNNNNNNNNNNNNNNNNNNNNNNNNNNNNNNNNNNNNNNNNNNNNNNNNNNNNNNNNNNNNNNNNNNNNNNNNNNNNNNNNNNNNNNNNNNNNNNNNNNNNNNNNNNNNNNNNNNNNNNNNNNNNNNNNNNNNNNNNNNNNNNNNNNNNNNNNNNNNNNNNNNNNNNNNNNNNNNNNNNNNNNNNNNNNNNNNNNNNNNNNNNNNNNNNNNNNNNNNNNNNNNNNNNNNNNNNNNNNNNNNNNNNNNNNNNNNNNNNNNNNNNNNNNNNNNNNNNNNNNNNNNNNNNNNNNNNNNNNNNNNNNNNNNNNNNNNNNNNNNNNNNNNNNNNNNNNNNNNNNNNNNNNNNNNNNNNNNNNNNNNNNNNNNNNNNNNNNNNNNNNNNNNNNNNNNNNNNNNNNNNNNNNNNNNNNNNNNNNNNNNNNNNNNNNNNNNNNNNNNNNNNNNNNNNNNNNNNNNNNNNNNNNNNNNNNNNNNNNNNNNNNNNNNNNNNNNNNNNNNNNNNNNNNNNNNNNNNNNNNNNNNNNNNNNNNNNNNNNNNNNNNNNNNNNNNNNNNNNNNNNNNNNNNNNNNNNNNNNNNNNNNNNNNNNNNNNNNNNNNNNNNNNNNNNNNNNNNNNNNNNNNNNNNNNNNNNNNNNNNNNNNNNNNNNNNNNNNNNNNNNNNNNNNNNNNNNNNAUAAAAGGGCCACGCCGGUGCCUCAUGCCCUCAUCCUUCAUCAGCAUCAGGCAAUCACCAACACCUUACAAGCAGUCACACAACGUUUCCCAGCUGAGGUUGUGGUAGCAAGGCAGAGAGAGCAAUGGCUUCCGGCCAGCAGGAGAGGUCGCAGCUGGACCGCAAGGCCCGCGAGGGCGAGACCGUCGUCCCCGGCGGCACCGGCGGGAAGUCCCUCGAGGCGCAGCAGAACCUCGCCGAAGGUACGUGCAUGCGUGAGAAAUGUCGUUGUACUAUACUCGAGCGAUCUGUGGCUUCCAAUACUGAUUGCUAGUAUUGCUGUAUUUGUGCAGGGCGCAGCCGUGGCGGGCAGACUCGCAGGGAGCAGAUGGGGGAGGAGGGGUACAGCGAGAUGGGUCGCAAGGGCGGGCUGAGCACCAACGACGAGUCCGGCGGCGAGCGCGCGGCCAGGGAGGGCAUCGACAUCGACGAGUCCAAGUUCAAGACCAAGUCCUAGAUGAUCCGUUAGCCUAGCAAGCAAGAUGACUCUGCUUAGGUCGGCUGUUGGUUUGCCCUAGCGUCCACGUACCGAAUAAUGUAGUUCAGGCGCACGUAGGCGAUCGUACGUAGUAUCAUCAUGUGUGCUUCGUAACCGGUAGUCCGUAGCUACUCUACGGUGAGUAGCGUCAGGUCAAGUCGGAAGCUGUGGCUUGGUCAGGUGGCUGGUCUGCCUCUGGGCCCAGGAGUGUCUACAGUGUCCACUGUAUCCUUGCUUCUUCAGUAAUGUAUGUCGUCUUGCUCAAAUAUGUCUUGUCUCGUCUGAUCUGUGUUGAUUCCUGGUGCUACUGGGUGUAGACCUUGUUGCUCGUAGAGCUAUCACCGGCUCAGAACACCAUGAGCAGUCGCUGACUGCCAAACCAUGCAUGAACGUGUACCUUCAUGGCUUUGCUCCGCACCUGCGUCUAUACAUUUGACACGAAAGAUGAAAUACCAGAGCAGAACGAUCGAUCUCUCAGACAUGACCCAGAUGCGGGGAGCACUUGAUCAAGUCCGAGCGUUUCCGAUCCCUGCCUGUCAUGUCGCGGUUAUCGCUUGCUGUUGGUAGUGGGGGUGAUCAAGGGGGAGCCGUUGAGGAUCCUGCCCACCCGAAGCUUUCCAACGGCGGCGCGAUCGUGGACUUCAGGCCAUCUGGGAAUUUUGCAGGUUUUCAGAGGGCGGUUCCAAGCAAUGGCAAUGGACUGUCGGAGGAAGAUGGUCUACCAGUUGGAGAGGAUGCGCACAUCGGGGAUGAAGCGAACAUGGACGACGUUGCCUUUGUUGCAGUGGACUUUGAGGAGGAGGAUGAAAACAUCGAGCCGGGUUGGAAGCUGAUGAGCCUAUACAGAUCACAGAAACGGCCAAGCGCGAAGACGCUGUCGGAUCACUUUGAGAAAAUUUGGCAGCUACGUACAGGAGUUGAGUUUAAGCCCGUACAGAAAAAUUACUUUGUGGUCUUUUUUCUCUGAAGGAGACUACAGAUUCGUUGCUAGGGGAGGGCCAUGGAUAUAUGAUGGAGAUGCUUUGUUGUCAGGAUGUAAAUGGUCAGUCCGCUGAGGUUGUGGGACUGCCCGCACUGGCCACAACUUUUUAUGUGGGAUUACGUGGGAGCCCAGUUAAUUUUCAUGCGGGGCAUGUGGCGUCCACAUACUGCCGCAAUAUACAAAAGAUCACUGGAACUUCCACACUGACAUACAAAGCAUGUGGCGUCUGGAAGUAUAUACAUAUGUACAAAAAGUAUGACAAAAACAAAUGGCAGUAGAUACAAAGUGAGAAUGGAUAAUAUUAGCCCACAUUGACAUACAUAUGUAAAAAAGUAUGACAAAAACAAAUGGCAGUAGAUACAAAGUGAAAAUGGAUAAUAUUAGCCCACAUUGACAUAAUGAUCGCUACUAAUUAUCACUAGUGAGUUCGAGCUUCAUUUAGUAGUCGCCUCUAGAAUAACAAAAUCCACAAAGCAACGGCAACUUAACUAAAAACACCUAUCAAAGCAGCAGAAAUAUUUUCUGUAUGUGAACAAAAAGGAAUAUGUAAUACACUUCCCAUCCUUCAUAUCCCAAAAUUAACAGAAAGCACCUAGAGUCCUAGACUCAAAACGGCACCAAAUGAUAAAACUAUCAGCUAAGAGCAUCUUCCAUUUUUCUGUCAGCUUUCACAAAGCUAUGCUCACUGGUCUUUCACGUGAUUAAUCGGAAUCAGAAUGGUCCCAGGAUUGGCCUCAUCUUCGGUCCACUCAACUGAUUUUUUCUCCAGAAACAUCUCAACCUGCGGUCAUUCAAGUUUAUUAAUAAGUUAUAUAAGAUAUACAGUACUAUCUACAUGAAAAAGAAACAAGGAUAAGAAGUAAGCAGGGUUCCUUAAAUCAUAAGCAUACACCAGUGUGUAUUUCCCUUCCCUAAAAUGAUUGUUAAUCAACAUUGUCGAGGAGGGAAGCAAAACCAUCAAGAAUAAAAAGUGCAUAUAGCUAGCACCACAAUCUUUAAAAAAUGCAGAUAGCUAGCAACAAAUUCACAAUAGGCAAUGAUCUUAAAUUAAUAUUCUAACCAAUAAGAGUCCUUAAUGAGUAUUAUUGCGACCAGAUCUUGAUAGCAUAAUUGCAAGGAUGAUAAAUACAUACAAGUUAGCAGCAUACACAAUUUAUACUCAGAGCGCAACUCGAAACUAUGGACGUAAAAGAAACCAGAUUUAACUCAAAUGCUCCCCAAAUUUACCCAAAGCUUGCUACAAUUGAACAAUUGAUUAGCAAUAUUAUGUAGUGCACACAUACCUCAGUUAAUAGUAGUGACCUUGAUCAGGAGUAUUGGCAUGCUUACCAUUACAUCUAAACCAAUCUUGAAGGCAGAUUAAGGCUUCCACUGUCUCGCUGCACAAUCUACUUCUGUAAUCGCUGAUCAAACGCUUUCCGGUAUUGAAAGCCGACUCUGACGAUACGACGGAAGCUUGUACAACAAGAACAUCACAAGCUAUACAAGAAAGGAUGGGAUACUUAGACGAGUGAAGAUGCCACCAUUGAAGAAUGUUGAAUCCUCCGUGCGAGUGAAUGUGUCUUCUUCUAAGUAUCUGGCAAGCUCACUAGUAGAUUGGCGUUGCUUCUUAUUCAAGUGUUGGUCCCAAUCCGCCAACGGAUCAUUCUCUUCAUUCACAACCUCAUCAAAUUUUGUCGGGGUGCUGACUCAUCCAAUGCAUCCGUCAUUUGUGAAGAAUAUUCUUCGAAAAGGUUGUCAAGAACUUCUUUCACUGUAAGCAAGAGUCUUUCUACAUCUGGACCAAAAGCUUGUUUUAGUCGAAACUCGAUGAAGCAAAGUUUAAAUCGUGGACCAAGGAUCACAGGAAUACAGUUUGGCAAAUAUGAUUCCAUCCAAUACUUAUCAAACUUUUUUUGCAUCUCUCCAACCAUUGCUCGAACGACUUCAUCCUUUGUUGAAGCUUCCUUCCGCAGCAAUAACCUCACAUUCCAGAUUUGAUGAAAGUACAAAUUUGAGGUAGAAUAACUUGAACCAGAAAGUACAUUGGUUUGAAAUCCCUCCAAACAGCAGAAGUUAGCCUUCUUGUCUUGCAGACUGUUAAUUGGCAAGCAAAUAAAAUGUCAACUCACAAGAACAUUUUAAACUUGUAACUACAUACAAGUGUAAUUACAAAAGAGAAAAAACAAAGCCAACUCACCAUGUGGAUGAUUAAUUUUUGAGCCUCCAAAUGGAGUAGUCACUGGAGAAGGGGAUCCUAAGAUAGAUGGUGAUCUCGCGGACGAAUUUGCCCUCUCCUCCAAUGGGGAACUUGCAAUCCUCGUUGAGGGAGACCUGCCCCUUUUUGAGGAUGCAACUCUUGCUAGAAGACCAAGGGAAGAUCUCCACGUGCUCGCCACCGGUGACCUUACCAAUGGUGAUCUUGUCGCUCUUUGACUAUGUGUCAUAGGUGGAGAAUCUCGUCUCUAGAUAACAAAACACAGAAAGUUCAGAACAUGCUAUCAAUUUCAAGAAGGUAUAAAAGCAGAUUUGUGGUUUAGAGUGAGGUUUAAUAGAGAAAUCUGGCAAGAAAAAUGACCUGUAGCUCCUCUGUUGUAGCUCCUUGAACAAAUUCAGAACAGUUCAUUGAACGAGCAUGUUUCCUCUUCCCCUGCAACUCCUCCUCCUCCUGCAACUCCUCCUCCUGGUUUUUCCUCUUCUUCUCUUGCUUCUUCCUCUUCUCUUUCCUCUUCUCUUUCCUCUUCUCUUCCAGGCUUUUCUUUCUCGUCUUAUGCCUUCGUUUUUCCUUCCGCCUUUCUAAUCAGUAACGCAAACACAGGAGGUCAAAAAAAAUAUCAAAGAAUACAAGUAAUGUCACGGGGAAACACAUGAGGGCCGGAUACUUACUUCCGUUCCUCAUCGAUAGCAUUCCACACAUGUUGUUCCUGCUCCAUGGCUUCCCACUUUUCAGCUUGCUUGUCGAUCGUCAACACCAUUUGGUCAUCGACAUCACCCAUGGUAACUUCCAUCAAAUCUGCAUUGAAUGUCCAAUGAAUGCUAAAUUUAACUAGCAAUCAGAACAAAUGGACGCAACCGUAGAAUUGUUCUAUUUGCUUUCUUCAGACACAAUACAAGAUUUCACCAUUAACACACAAAUUUAGCAUACACCGAACUCCUAUAGCGAGUAGUUACAGAGACAUUCUAAUUCUGACCGCCAGAGCAAGAUAUACUUUGAUAUUUUUACAAUUAAUAUCUGGAAAUACAAGAAUGAUUACAAUUAAUAUUCACAUGCCAGUGUGAUAUGUAUUGUACAACUUGUUUAGAAUUUAGAGGGAUGUUUUUACAGGUGCAAUGCUCUUGCAACUAGUUUCGUACGAAUCACAACGACGUUUUGCUAGCUGCUCCUCUGACUAAUUCCUUUUUAUAGACCAUUCUACCUACUCCAAAUAAUUUCUCGGUUCAUGCAUUGAUUGUUCUGCAAAAACAUGCAUCGGGAUACCUGUGGCAGCGUGAGGAAGCUUUCAUUCAAAUCAUCAAAUGAUCGCCAGAAUCCGCAUGCUAUAUGGAAAUACCCUGUAAUGUACUUGCCUGUACACUCUUGAUAAAGUCAAUGACCACCACACCCCCCUGCCUUGGUCCCCAUAAUCGAGAAAUAUAUGGACAGCAGUAAGUAACGAAUGCUAAUCUACUAGAAGAUUGUACAGUAGUAUCGGGCAAAGAUAACCAAGAACCAUCUAAUUCGCCACUUGGAGUAGUACGUGUAUAGUCGUGUUUGCAUUGCCCACUCAUCACUACACAGCCAAAUUAGAGUAGUGCAUAGCUUGGCACUGUCCGCAUCUGUACUAGGAUCUUUUGGUCCUUCGAUCUUAACUAAGUACCACUAAAUAGUCUUUAAUUGUGCUGUUCCUCUGAUAUACAGAGAGAUUCUAAUUCUGACCACGAGAGCAAGAGAUUCGUACGAAACUAGUUGCAAGAGCAUUGCACCUGUAAAAACAUCCCUCUGAAUUCUAAACAAGUUAUACAAUACGUAUCACAUUGGCAUGUGGAUAUUAAUUUACAGUUCAUAACAAUAUAUCAAUUAACAAAGUUGCGGCCACAAGGGAGUGGACCAAGUACUAUCUCAAGUACCUAACAAAUGCCGGACGGCGGAUUCACAAUAAAUUGUAGAGAAGCUCAUCGUCUAUAGAUUCAGCAAGCUACUCACAUCCACACAUAAUAGUAAUAUCUAACAGGCUACUCACAUUCAGUAUAGCUGAUGCACAACAAAACAUGGAUCACAACUGGUGUAGCUGAUUCACAUCAAGCAAUUGAAGAAGACAUGCCUGGCCCCUUGGGGUAGAAUAGGAGGAGGGGGGAUUUUGCAUACCUUGGGGUAGAAUAGGAGGAGGCGGGGGAGCAGGGGCCGAAGAGGCCAUCACCGGGAUUGGGGAGGGAGCAGCCACGCAGGGCUCGGCUUGGUCCCCGGCUAUCCCCUUUGAUGGCGGCGGAGGAGCAGGAGCUGAAGAGGGCGUCGGCAGGAUAGGGGAGAGAGCAGAGGAGUCAUCCUCGCAAGGCUUGGCUCGGUCGCCGGCGAUGUCCUUGGACGACGGCCUCUUCGAGAAACACGACAGCGACGGUGGCUCCAUGGGAUUGGAAGCGGGAGGUGGUGCCGCACCACUGGUGCGGUGGAGAUGGCGGCGAGGGCGCCCUAGCCUAGGGCAUGGGGUGACUGGGGAAGGACGCGAAGGGGGGAUUGUGGACUACCGCUGGCUCGAUAGGCUUUUCUGGGCUAUCCACUUGCGCCGUUUAAUUUUUCUGGGUGUCCACAAAUGCCACAUAACCUUUUUUUGUGGAUGGCAUAUGUGGGACUAAUGGGACCCAGCGCCACUUACAUCCUGACUUUGUUGGUGGCUCCGUUUGUAGAAGAUGCUCAUCCGUCUGAAACUAUAAGAGCAUCUCCAACAGGCGCCGUGCCGCAAAAUCCCCCCGCGCAACCCGGCGGAUGGCUCCAGCGGGCGCGCAAUAACCGCGCGCGCGGUAUAAGCAGUUGGGCGCGCGUGGAUGCGGUUCAUCACGUGGUGUAUUUGCGGCCCCGCUUCCGCGCGCGGCACACUCGACGCUCGCGCUGCGCGCUCUUCUUCUCCCCCUCCAAAGCCCCGCGCGCGCCGGCGCCGGCGACCCGCACCCAUGGACGCACGCGCCGGCACCUCGCUCACCCCGUCCUUAGCCGCGACCCCCUCGCCCCCGCCGCCGCCACCGCCACAAACCCUAGCCCGGGUGGCGUUGGCCUCGCCGCCGCCGGGGCUCCUCUUCAUGCCGCCGCGGAUGACCUCGGCGGCGGGUGGCGUCGCGCCGGCACCGGCCCGAGCCGCCGCCCCCUCCUCCUCAAAGCUCCCCAAUGCGGCGCAGCCAAAGAUUUUAAACUUGGUUGGAUGAACUUGUGGGCAUGAUUUUAAACUUGUGGGCAUGAACUUCAUCAAUUUGUUUGUGUGAAAUUUCUAUUGUGUUGAAAAUGUUCAUCAUUUUGUGUUGAAAAAUGCCAUAUGCAAUGCACCGGCGGGUCGCGCGCGCUACAUUUUGGCGCGCUGCUGGAGCGACGCGCGCGCGCUGCAUUUUAGCGCGGCCGCUGGAGCCAGCGUUGCGCACCGCGCCAAACCAGCCGAUGCGCGCGCCGCAUAUGUGUUUUUUGCGCGCGGCGUGACCGGCGCCAGUUGGAGAUGCUCUAAUGGAUUCAGUCUAUGUGUGGGUGCGUGUCUUUGAUGUGCCUUGGAAUAAACAAACCAGGCCAUAUGGGAACGCCUUGGGUGGCACCCUGGGAGAGGUGUUGGAGGUUGAUGCUCCGGAAGUUGGACAUGGCACUAGCGAAUUUUUGAGGAUCAGAGUUAAGCUGCCAUAUAACAGGAGGUUGCAGAAGGAGGUUACUAGAAUAUACUGUCAGAGGAGUAACAAAACGAUCUACUUUUAAACUGAAGUAAGAGCGUGUACCACACUUCUGUUUCUUCUGUGGUUUUCUAGGCCAUGAUGAAGAUGUGAGUGAGAAGAAGAGGCUUGGGCUGCCAUCUAAAGCCUAUGAUUCCACGCUCCGUUGUUCCCCGUUUAAGAAGUAUGAGCAAAGACCAGCAUAUACAGCGUCGCCGGGCCAGCCAAGGGCGCGCCGUGUGUUGGACUUUUCCUUGGGCCGUGCUGGUUCUACUACACGGCAAUCCGCUUCUUCUUCAGCGAGAAGUGAGUCUAGACAUAAUCCAUUUAUACCAGAUAGGGUUGAUGCCCAUGAUGGGUUUGAGAACAGAGAAGGAUCAGGUGAGACGGCGGCUGUUAUUCAGCUUGCAGAUGAGGUGGAGGCGCUCCGUCUGAGGCUGGCCAAAGAGAAACCAGAGUGCAGUCAAUCUCACCGGAUAAAGAUUCAUUUUGAAGCAAAAGCUAUGUACAAACAGACUGAACUACAACCCAAAUCUCACAAGAAGAGAAGUACUGGUAAGAAAGUUGUGGCAGCAAGGACGCCAGGCACUCUAGUUAUCAAGGAAAAAGAACCUACUUCGGAUGUCAUGAAUCCAACAUUACGGGGUGUUGAUUUUUUGGAUAAAUCUUUUGGUACAGCGGUGGACUUGAUGGUAUACAAUGAUUCCAUCUUGGGAAAACGUCAUGUUGCAGGAUUGUUUGGUUAUGGGCAGGAUGCGCAACUUGACAAAGCUAUGGUGCCGUUCGUUGAUGUUCCAACAGGAGGUAGUCUGAAGAAAGGGAAAAUUGAAGGUCAACAGCAAGAGGAGGAAGUAACCAGCAAAGGGAGUGAGGUGGACAUGGAGGCAGCUGGCCUAGCUAGGGGCCGCCAGUGAUCUGACGGGGCCUUUAGCGCCCCGUCAGACGCAAUGAAUUGCUUAAGUUGGAACUGUUGAGGGGCGGGGAACCUUCGCACAGUUCGUGAUCUUGUAGCACUUGUGGGUGCUCAUUCCCCAAAAGUGGUCUUUCUGUGUGAAACUAGACAACCAAAAGAAAAGAUGUAUCGUCUUCGUAAUCGUUUAGGCUUAGUUGGUUUUGAAGGAGUUAGUAGUGAUGGUCGUAGUGGUGGUCUAGCUUUAUUUUGGCACGAGUUUGUAUCCCUGGUUGUUCAAGAGGCUAAAAAUAGAUGGAUUGAUGCUUAUGUCCGCUUGUCACCUGAUGAUCCUUUGUGGUGUGUCACCUUUGUGUCUGGCGAGCCACGAGUGGAAAAUAGACAUUUUAUGUGGGACUCUUUGAGGAGGUUGUCAAGACACAGUACACUUUCAUGGAUGUUAGUUGGCGACUUUAAUGAAGCUAUGUGGGAUUAUGAACACAUGUCAGAAACACCAAGGGCACCGGGUCAGAUGUUGAGUUUCAGAGAUGCUUUGGAAACAUGUGCGCUGAUUGAUAUGGGCUUCAUGGGUUAUCCCUUUACCUAUGAUAAUAGGCGGGGUGGUAGAGCCAAUGUUCAGGUGAGAUUGGACAGAGCAGUGGCCACUAAUACUUGGAGGGAUAUGUUUGCUGAUGCUGUUGUACGUCACCUGGUCUCACUGGCGUCAGACCAUUGUCCAGUGUUGGUCUCAUGUAUUUUGGAUACGGCCCCUCGGCCGGGCCGAUGUCGCCGUUAUGAAUUGAUGUGGGAAAGAGAUCAUGCUCUUAAUGAGGUAGUGGCGGAAGCAUGGGGUGCAGCAGGAACUAAAAGAAACUUAAGUGAUGUUCAAAAGGCUCUCGGCCAGGUGAUGGGUAAGUUGCAUACUUGGAGUACUAAAAAAUUUGGGAAUGUUACAAGACAACUUGAGAAAUCUAGAUCAAGAUUGGAGGAACUGAUGCUUAUGAAUGCGGACAGGGCAGAUAUUAGGAAGCACAUGGACGAAAUGAAUGAACUUUUAUUUAGGGAGGAGAUGUUGUCGUUACAGCGCUCGCGCAUUGCUUGGCUCAAGGAGGGGGGCAGGAACACUAAGUUUUUUCACAGAAAAGCGGUGUGGCGAGCCAGAAAGAAUGCAGUAUGAGGACUAUUGGAUGCUAAUGAUGUUUGGCAAACUAAUAAAAACGUGAUGUUGGAUAUGGCCCGUACCCAUUUUAUGCAAGUAUUUACAGUUGAUCCGAACGUCAACCCAGAAGAAGUAGUGAAUCUAUUCCAAGCUAAAAUAACGGAUGAUAUGAAUACUGCUCUUUGUGCUCCAUUCACAGAUAAGGAAAUAGGCGAUGCGUUGUUCCAGAUUGGGCCACUAAAAACCCCAGGUCCAGACGGAUUUCCAGCUUGAUUUUUUCAGCGGAAUUGGGCUUUAAUGAAAGAGGAUGUAAUGGUGGCUGUCAGGUUGUUCUUUGAGACUGGACACAUGCCGGAUGAGGUAAACUCAACUACUAUUGUGCUUAUUCCUAAGGUUGCGAAUCCAAAGAAGCUAAAUGAGUUCAGACCAAUCAGUCUAUGUAGCGUAGUUUACAAGGUCAUCUCCAAGUGUCUGGUAAAUCGUUUGAGACCUCUCCUUGAUGUUAUUGUUGCUCCUGAGCAGAGCGCCUUCAUCCCUGGUAGACUUAUUACAGAUAAUGCUUUCAUAGCUUUUGAGUGUAUGCAUACAAUCAAACAGGAAAGGAAUCAGGAGAAUAGUUUUUGUGCUUACAAGCUGGACCUAUCAAAGGCAUAUGACAGGGUAGACUGGAAUUUCCUGGAGCGAAUGAUGCAAUAGUUGGGUUUUCAUCACCGGUGGAUACAGUGGAUUAUGGCGUGUGUAACCUCGGUGAGAUAUAGCGUUAAACUAAAUGGAGCUAUCUCAGAUUCGUUCGCACCGUCGCGUGGACUUAGGCAGGGUGACCCUCUAUCCCCGUUUUUGUUUUUGUUCAUAGCUGAUGGACUUGAUGCUAUUUUGAAACAGAAGGUCAGACAAGGAAGGAUUUCUCCUAUUCAUGUGUGUCCAAGGGCGCCAGGUAUCUCACACCUCCUAUUCGCAGACGACACAUUAAUGUUUUUCCGUGCUACUCAGGAAGAAGCUACCCAGGUGGGAGAUGCACUGGCUAUUUAUGAGCGCAUCACGGGACAAUUCAUUAACCCGGCAAAAUGUUCUAUUUUAUUUGGCCCAUGUUGUGGUGACAACGACAAGCAUGAGGUUGUGCAUACCUUGCAGGUUCAGACGGUGGGAUUUGACGAUAAGUAUCUCAGUCUCCCCACACCAUCUGGUAGAAUGUCGAAGAGCAAGUUUCAAAAUCUACAAGAGCAACUUACUAAGCGUAUCUUACAGUGGGGAGAAGCGCCGUCAUAAGGGGGCAAAGAAAUUUUCAUUAAGGCGGUUGCACAGUCCCUACCUACAUAUAUCAUGGGGAUUUUUCGUUUGCCCCAGAGUGUUUGUGAUGAUCUUACUCGCAUGGUACGCAAUUUUUGGUGGGGGGCCAAGGAGGGGAAGAGGAAGACACAUUGGCAUGCAUGGGAUACAUUGAUUAAACCGAAAGUGCAAGGCGGCAUGGGGUUCCGUGAUUUCAGACUCUUCAAUCAGGCACUUUUGGCUAGACAAGCUUGGCGUCUUAUUGCUUACCCUGACAGUUUAUAUGCUCAGGUGCUCAAAGCAAGAUAUUACCCGGCGGGACGUCUGGAAGAUACGGUCUUUUCGGACAACUCAUCCCAGACGUGGCAGUCUAUUGUCCACGGUCUUGAGCUUCUCAAGAAAGGUCUAAUUUGGCGCAUUGGUGAUGGAGCUUCUGUACGUAUUUGGCGUGACCAGUGGAUACCACAUCCACUUGCGAGGUUGCCAAUAUCACCCAAGGGGCGCUGCCGCCUUCGGCGUGUUAGCGAGCUCCUGGACGACCGAGGAAAUUGGAACGUGCAACUACUUAAUCAACAUUUCAUGUCAGUAGAUGUCAUGGAAAUUAUGAAGAUCAAGGUGGUGCCACGGUUGGACAGAGAUAUUAUCGCUUGGGCGCCCGAGCGUUCUGGAUCGUUCACAGUCCGGAGUGCUUAUCGUCUAUCAUAUGAUGAGAUUCACCGUCAGACUACAGUCGCAUCGAGUAGGGCACCGGACGGGCGACGUGCCGUUUGGGCACUUAUAUGGAGGUGCCCUGCUCCACCAAAGGUGCGUAUCUUUGCAUGGCGUUUGGUCACAAAUUCACUGGCUACUUGGGUGAAUAAAAAAUCACGGAAACUUGAGGUGUCUAACCUUUGUCCGUUGUGUGCGAUGGAACCGGAGGAUACGUUCCAUACAUUCUAUAGAUGCACAUUGGCUGUUGCUUCGUGGAACGCACUUAGCUUCAAUGAGGAAUACAGGCCCUGAGUGGCUUUUUGAUCUUCUGUAUAAGCUAAAUGAAGACGAUCGCAUGCAUGUGUUGAUGGUGCUGUGGAGGAGUUGGUAUGUACGUAAUGAAAUAGUACACCAGAAGCUUCCUGUAGAUUUCUAUUUAGCUAUGCUGAAUCUCUUCGAUGCAUCAAUCAUUUUCCAACCACUAACAUCAUCAAAGGGAAGAUGGUGCCGCCGGCGAUUGGGUAUAGUUCUACAAUGAUAAAUACAGCAACGCAACAUGCAGCCACAGUCCAGUGGUCUGCCCCGCCGGCCGGUCGCGUGAAGCUGAAUGUUGACGGGUCGUUCGUUGAUACCGAUGGUGGAUUAGCAGGAGCCGGUAUGAUCCUACGUGAUAAUGAUGGCAACAUUAUCUUCUCCGCUUGUCGUUCUAUCUUGCAUUGUUCCGGACCGCUCCAGGCUGAGUUGUUGGCAUGUCGGGAGGGAUUAAGCCUUGCUCUACAAUGGUCUACUCGCCUGGUAGACAUCGAGAUGGACUGCAUGGAUGCAGUUGAUCAAGUCGCCUACCCUUGACAGAUCGCCACAUAGAAUGAUAGUUCAGGAUAUUAAAAGGCUCUUUGGUGAAAGGGAUAUCUCUAUUGCUCAUGUAAGUAGGAAUCAGAACGUUGUUAGCCACACACUUGCUGCUUUCGGACGAUCGGAGGGCCGAACUGCAGUUUGGUUGCGUUUUGGACCUGCAGACGUUCCUCUGCUAUGUAGAAACGAAUAUUCCAACAGUUGAGCAAUGAAAUCAUUUUAACCCCACAAAAAAAAAGUCCGGGAGUUCGCUAAUGCACGAACCGGGGGAGCUGCAGCCACCACGUUCACUCGCCGUCCUCGAGGUACCGGACUCCGAAUACUCGUCUCAGCAGGUUUUUCCGAAGGUUUUUGCUUCAGACAUCUAACCUGAAGAAAAUACACACUGAACGCGUGGACGAGACGGUUUUUUCUUGGGACAUCUAACCUGAAGAAAAUGCAGAUUGAACGCGUGGACGAGACUGAAAGUGCCUUCCGUAAGAGAUGGUACCUCUGCACUAGAUAUUAUUGAAGCAUCUCAUUGAGUACUCGAAAUUGAGGCAGACACAUCAUGAAAUACACCGUACGUGCUUGUAAGUUGUAACAAAGCAGGACACGAAUUUUUGGAAUUUUUGGAACUAGAGUCCACACGUAUCCCUUAUGAAUAGUAACAAAAACCAAGACGUAAUAAAAAAAUAUUAACAAAUGGUCUGUGAAGUUCCUUAAUCUAGAUGAUAUUUGCUGUGGGAAUUGGUUAUAAUAUAUUUUAUAUGAGAUUUGGUUGUACAAAGCAUGAGUAGUUUGAGUUAUAAAUGGCUAAAACCAAAAGUAUAUAUUAUAUAUUGUAUUUGAUUAUUAUAUAAUUAUAUAAAUUGUGUAUUGGAUGUAAGUAGCAUAAUAUAGUGGGCUUUUUUUGCCAUGCAUGUUAUGACGUACCUUUGAUGAAAUGGCAUGUGUAUAUGUUGAGGUAAAUAGAAACAAUGUGGAUCAACUAAUAAUGAAAAAUGUGGCGUGUGUACAUGUUGAGGUAAAUGAAAACAAUGUGGAUCAAUUAAUAAUGAAAAAUGUUUUUCCAUGCAUGUAGAGGUGUUCUUUGAUGAGAUGGCAUGUGUGCAUAUUGAGAUAAAUAAAGUAGUGUGGAUCACCCACUUAACUAGGAUAAAUAAGGUAUUGCUACAAAGGAAAAAAGUGCCCCUGAUAUUCCUCAAAAACAGCACAUACGAGUAGAACAGUUGACCAGUUUUAUUAACCUUAGAAUUUAAAUUCUCUUAUUAUUAUUAUUUCAAAAAAAUUAUAUGUAUUGUCAUCAUAAGAGGGGUGCUUAGACCCAUGCUCACUACUAUUGUACUUUAACAUAAUAACUCAUAUCUUCCUUUAUACUAAUAAGAGAGAGAAUGAUAAAAUUGUGCAUAAAAAAAUAAUUCUGUUCUGUGUCCAAAAUUACGAUGACAAUUAUCUGGCACUAUGUCCCUGCGAUCGGGUCUACAUCAUGUACGCCCUAAUAAGUACAACUGUCAUCUUCUGCAUUUCCUCUCAAUAGUUGUAGACCAUCUGCCUAUUCGACCAAAACAUCCUGUUUAUUAGACAAGGGUUUUAGGGUUUUUGGCACACCUCCAAACGUGGGGUGACCUUUUCAUUAUAUAGUGAUGUACAACAUAAUUACAAGUGGGGCCCAGUAUAUACAGAGUCUAACACCCUCCCUCAAUCUUAACCGUGCUCAAAAGAAUUUACUAGGUUGAGAUUGCGCCUACACCCUUCAAACUGAGGAAGAGGCAGUGGCUUCGUGAAGAUGUCAGCAAGUUGAUCUUUCGAGGAGAUGAACUUGAUAAGAAGCAGUUUCUGGGCAACACGUUCCCUGACAAAGUGGUAAUCAACUUCAAUGUGUUUGGUGCGAGCAUGAAAAACUGGAUUUGAAGACAAAUACGUCGCCCCAAUAUUAUCACACCAAAGCACCGGCGGCUGCUUCUGAGGAACCUUCGACUCUUUGAGCAAAAACUGUAUCCAAAUAAGCUCUGCUGUGGCAUUUGCAACUGCUUUGUACUCAGCUUCAGUGCUACUGCGAGACACCGUUGCUUGUUUACGAGCACUCCAGGCGAUCAAGUUCGAACCAAGGAAGACUGCAUAUCCCCCCGUGGAUCGUCUGUCAUCCGGACUCCCAGCCCAGUCCGCAUCAGAGAACGCAGAGAGAACGCCAGAGGGGGCCGGUUGCAGAUGCAAGCCAUAAGAAGAAGUGGACCGGAUGUAACGCAAAAUGCGCUUAACUGCAGCCCAGUGAGAGUCUCGAGGAGCAUGAAGAAACUGGCAGACCCGGUUGACCGCAUAGGAGAUAUCAGGACGAGUGAUAGUCAAGUACUGCAAGCCACCAACAAUACUGCAAUACUCAGUAGCCUCAUCAGCAGGGAGGAGAGAACCAUCGAGAGCAGAUAGGCGGUCAGUGGAGGACAUAGGUGUAGUAGCUGGCUUGCACUGGAGCAUACCAGACUUCCGAAGAAUAUCAAGAGAAUACUUCUGCUGAGUGAGAGUCAAGCCAGAACCAGAAGACAAUACUUCAAGGCCAAGGAAAUAGUGAAGCUGCCCAAGAUCCUUAACCGCAAAGUCAGCACUCAAAGCAGAAACCAAGCGAUCCCAGCAUAGUCUGAGGAACUGACCACGAUGAUAUCGUCAACAUAGACCAGUAGAUACAUAGUAACUGUAGGUCGCUGAAGAAGAAAUAACGAGGUAUCGGCCAGAGAGGGAACAAAUCCAUGAGCCCGAAGAGUGGUGCCAAGACGCGCAUGCCAAGCGCGCGGAGCCUGCUUCAGACCAUAGAGUGCCUUAACAAGACAACAGAGAUGCUGCGGACGAGCUGGAUCGACAAAACCGGGAGGCUGACACAUAUAAACCUCCUCCUCAAGAACACCAUGAAGGAAAGCAUUCUGAACAUCAAGCUGACGAAGAGACCAUCCACGGGUAAUUGCCAGUGAGAGCAGAAGCCGAAUCGUGGUCGGUUUGACCACUGAACUGAAGGUGUCCUCAUAAUCAAGGCCAAGGCAUUGUUUGAAUCCUCGAGCAACCAGUCGAGCCUUGUAUCUCUCGAUAGAACCAUCAGCAUGUUUCUUUACCUUGAAGACCCACUUUGAGUCAAUGAUGUUGACACCAGCCUUUGAAGGAAUCAGUCGCCACAUUUCAUUCUUAAGAAGAGCGUGGUAUUCUUGUUCCAUCGCAGUACGCCAGUGAGGGAUACUCAGGGCAGCCUGAAAAUGUCGAGGCUCAGCAGUAGGGUCGGACUGCACCUGCGCCAUGCAAGUCGCAAGCCAGGCCACCGUGCCAUCCUUGCGUUCCUUAGGACGAAACACCCCACUUUUGCUGCGUGUAUGAGGACGCAACACCGGGGGCGGAGCAGGUGGCGAAACCGAUGGUGAGGAUGAUGAAGGGGACACAUCAUCCGUCAUGGCAGAGGCUGAUGCAGUCGGUGGCGGUGACGAAGAAGACACAGCAGGAGACGCCGACCCACUCGAGGGCGAUGCCGAUCCAGACGAGCAGGACAAGUGCCGCACAGGCAACGAGGAUGACGCGGAACUCCCAGGCGACGACGGCCCAGGCGUUGAUGGCGGGGGACUCCCAGGCGGGGACGGCCCAUGCGUCCGUGCAGGUGACGGCCCAGGCGUCGAUGGCGAGGACGCCGGUGCAGACGUGACGGCUCACUGGGCCGAUGCGCCAGUCAGCAGAAGCGGCGGCUGGGCCAGAGUGGUGACGCGCGGUGCAGCAGCCGCGAUCACGGGCACAGGCGGGCUCGUUGCAUGGGACAUGCACGAAGCCAGCCGAUCGACCUGAGCAGGUGGUGAUGACGGAGCCGUCGGGGACGAGGGAGCCGGAGUGUCAACCUCAUCCAGGAGCUCAAGCUGCACACAUCUCCCAAUACCUGCACCAUGGUUAAACAACAAAGAGGGCGAAUGUGCAGCAUCUACAAAUUGAUCAGGCAAUAUAGUGGAUGGGUGCACUGGCGGUGUCGAGCUUGUGUCAGGUGAGGGAAGAGCAGCAAAGAGAAAAGCAUGCUCAUCAAAAACAACAUCGCGGGAGAUAUACACACGAUUAGACAGGACAUGAAGGCACUUAUACCCUUUGUGAACAGAACUAUACCCCAGAAAGACACACUUCUUUGAUCGGAACUCAAGCUUGCGAUUAUUAUACGGACGGAGAUGCGGCCAACACGCACAACUGAACACUUUAAGAAACUUGUAAUCAGGAGUCUGACCAAGCAAGAGUUCAAGUGGAGUUUUCAUAUGAAGGAGCCGCGAAGGAAGCCUAUUUAUAAGAAAACAGGCUGUAGUAAAAGCAUCGCUCCAAAAACGAAACGGGACAGAGGCAUGAGCAAGCAAGGUUAACCCAGUUUCAACAAUAUGACGGUGCUUACGUUCAGCUAAACCAUUCUGCUGAUGUGUAUGUGGGAAAGAAACACGAUGAGCAAUUCCAAGUUUUUCAAAGAAAGUACUGAGGUUGCGGUAUUCACCCCCCCCCCCCUAGUCUGACUGGACGUGAAUGAUUUUAUGAUCUAGGAGUCUCUCAACAUGUGCUUGAAAUUGUAAAAACACAUUAAACACAUCAGACUUAUGCUUAAGAAGAUAAAUCCAGGUAAAGCGACUAUAAGCAUCAAUGAAACUGACAUAAUAUUCGUGCCCACUAACGGACCACUGGGCAGGACCCCAUACAUCUGAAAACACAAGCUCAAGAGGAGUUUUGACUAUAUGUAUAGAAACAGAAAAAGGUAACUGAUGACUCUUGCCUUGCUGGCAGGCAUCACAGACAGCGGCAUCUUUAUUACUAGACUCGGACGGUAGCUCAUGACGAUGGAGGACAUGGCAAACAAUGGGAGAUGCUGGGUGACCAAGACGAGAGUGCCAUAGUGAUGGAGACACACGAACGCCACUGAAGACUUGGAAGGCAGCAGCAGGAGCGGGAACGUUGGUGGGGGCAUCAAGAGCAUAGAGACCAUGGCGGUAGCGACCUCUAAGAAGUAUGUUCCUCGUAGCACGAUCCUUAACAAAGAGAUGAAACGGAUAAAACUCACAGAAAACAUUAUUAUCAUGUGUAAGUUUAGGAACAGAGAGUAAAUUACGUGCAACUGUGGGAACACGAAGAACAUUUCUAAGAUGCAAUGUCCUAGAGGAGUUUGUGAGAAGUGAUGCCUGACCAACAUGCGAAAUGUGCAUACCUGCCCCGUUAGCCGUGUGAACCUUGUCAUGCCCACGGUAAGGCUGCUGGACAGUUAGCUUGCCCAGCUCGUUCGUUACGUGCGUGGUUGCUCCAGUAUCCAUGUACCAAGAAGGAUCAAUAGGAUAAGAAGGGGUGUGACCCUGUUGCGCCAUGUUAACUUGACGCUCGUUGCCCUUGCCAUUAUUGCCGAGGCCAAGGAAGUCCGUCUUGAACCGGCGAUGACAGCGAGAGGCGACAUGGCGAGGCAGGCCACAGAGCUGACAUGGCUGAGCCGCACCACAGGCGGUACAGCAGGCGCAGGCGCGGCCGUCAACGACGACUACCGGGGCACCAGGACGCGGGGCCUGCUGCUGUUGUGCCGAGGACGCACCUCCACCGGACUUGCCCCCUCCUCCCGAGGAAGCUGCAGAGGGGCACGGCCACCGCCUUUGCCGUGGUACACGGCGUUGACGGAGGAGUCGAUGGAGACAUCGGGGCGGCGUGCGUUGAGCCGUUGCUCCGUUGACAAGAGACGGCUGUAGAGUUCCUGAGGACGAAGAGGCUCCUUGCGUUCAUUAAUCACCUCGGCAAGCGAGUCGUAGUCGCUGUCGAGGCCGGCUAGGAUGAAGGAUGUGAACUCGCUGUCACGAAGGGGCUCUCCAAUGGAAGCAAGAGUGUCAGCCAACUUCUUGAUCUUGUUGUAGAAGGUGAUCACCGUACCAUUGUCCUUGCGAGUUUCACCAAGCUUGGCACGGAUGGCCAUGGAUUGAGCAGUAGACUGAGACGAGAAACUCGACUCCAGUAUGUCCCACACCUCAUGAGAGGACGAAGCAAAGAGGACGAGCCCGGCCACACCCUCACCCAGAGAAGACUGGAUGGCUGAGAGGAUGGCUUGGUCCUGAGCGAUCCACGCACGGAACAUCGGAUGAUAUGGCAGUGGACAUGGCAGUGUACCGUUGAGGAACCCCUCCAAGUAAUGGCUGCGAAGGAGAGGAAGCACCUGAGCACGCCAAUAUAGAUAAUUGUCCGGUUUAAGCUUCACCAGGAGGAGGUGGGAGAAUAAAAACGGCGGCGAGGAGAUCGCGGCCAGAGCAGCUUCAGCACCCACGUAUGGCGUCGGAGAGGGCAUUGGUGCAGAUUGCGCCGCAACCGUUGCGUACAGGUGCGAGGGGCCGUACGGGUAGGGCGCCCCAUAGGGCGGCGGAGCCGGGUACGCGCCCUGGCCAGGGUACACACCAUAGGAGGGAUGCGCAGGUGGCGACGGGCCGUACGGCGCCGCGUACAGUGGGUAGCCGCCGUGAUUGGCAUGGGCGGCAUCGGCAAUAGUAGGGCCGACUGCGGUGUAGAUGGAGGCAACCGGAGCAGGUGCGAUCGCACGCAUCGGGUGUGACGCGGUAGGUGGUGGCGGCGCAGGCACAAGGGAGUGCACGGCAGCCGGCGGCGGCGACAGUUGCUGGGACCGGGCCGAAGCAGCAGGCGAUGAAGAGGAGACGACGGCGUACAGCGAAGACACCGGGUCGGCGAAGAGAGACCCCGCCGAUUAGGUCUGCAGGUGGCCGAGCGAUCCGUCCGCCGUGUAGGGCGCAGUCCCGACGUUGAGGAGACGCGCGAGGAACGGCGGGAGGAACAAGUGAUCCAUGUGAACGGGGGCCGGCGGCAGAAGGGCGGGGAAGGAAACCGCGGUGCCGGCGGCGCUUGAGGCAGCGGCGGCGGCGGCUGGUGGCGGAGGCGGAGCGGAAGACAUUAGAUCGUUAGGUCGGAUACCAUAUUAGACAAGGUUUUAGGGUUUUUGGCACACCUCCAAACGUGGAGUGACCUUUUCAUUAUAUAGUGAUGUACAAUAUAAUUACAAAUGGGGCCUGUAUAUACAGAGUCUAACACUGUUUGACUUCAAGUAUGUUCGCUAUGGUUGCAAUGGCUAGUCGCUAGGGAAAUAAUCUUUUUUGCAUGGGGGAAGGAUUUUGUAUUAAUUAACUUAGCUCAAGAUUACCCAGUGCACAUAGUUUUACGACUCCCUCAGGACCGGACCGUAACCGGACGGACGCCUUAAUCUUAACUCUCCCGAUCUGAGCUAAUUCAUGACUAACACGAUUAUUGCCCCUUUUAGUAGGCUGGAUCUUAAUUUCUCUCUCCCCUCUCAUCAUAGUUGUGAUCUAUCAACCGAGGGGUUGGAUAUCAUUGCAGCAACUUUAGCACUAUCCGUUUCAACGAUGAACAGAAGUGAGCUCCAUUCCAAAGCAAGAGCAAUUCCCUCCUUGCACGCCGCGAGUUAUGUAGUUAGAGCAUUACCGCGUGUGAAGAGAUGUCGACACGAGCUGGAAAUAAUGCUACCAGAGCUGUCUCGUGUCUCGGAGCACCAUUCACGUGCCUACAUUGCCUGCAUGUGCUAUUCACCAUCCACGUUUAGUGUGAGCCACCCCAGCUUAGACGCUCUCCAGCUCUUAGGCUAGUCAUAGUGGAGAGUAUAUGUUACUAGUCUAUGUUAUUAUCUUUAUAUUGGGUAGUGUCAUAUAUGCGGUAACAUAGAUACCUUCAUUUAUUACUUUGUAGACUUAUUUUGCAUUAGAAAGCGUUAUGUGAUGGUAACAUAUUAUGUUACUCUAUUUGACCAUUUUACCUUUUUCUCGGUCUGCCGUGGUCAUCAAGAGUGCCAUGCGAGAUGUGCCUGAGAGCAGCUCAACCACGGCAAAGAGCCAUCCGGGCAUGUGUGCCGCACCGGCUUAAUGUCCCGGAGCAUCCAAUCUUUAGUCAUCGCCCUCCAAAGCUCGACUGCAUGAGGGCACUUACACAUUGCGUGGAAUUCAUCCUCGCUUUCCAGACCACACAGGGAGCAUAUGUCAGUGGUUUUCAAAUGAUAGGAGAGUUUAUUCACCCACGCUUGCAAGAGAAUUUGUGACAAGCCGCCAAGCAAACACACGUACCUUUGGGGGACCUGAUGGCGCGUCAACCAUCCGGUGCCAUGGCAAUAACCAACAGGCCAAAGAUGACAACAAACAAUGGCGUGGAGCACAGAUAAACUGGCGUGGCUACUAGAUGGUCCGUCAUCAAAAUAAUGAUUGGAACACCACUUCAUAUCCAAGGUGAAAACUACUAUUCUGGCCUUCAUUCAUUGGUUAGGCUCAGCAACGUUGAACUUGCGCUGUUACCUUAUCAAAGGUGUUACCUUGUUGCUAUUGUGCUAGUCUUCAAUGGUUAGUUUUGGCAACAAGAAUGAAAAUCCUCGUCUUGUUUGUCUUCCACCGGACGUGACCACAGCGAUGUGAGAGCGCUUAUUUCUUGAAAGAAGUCAGAUUAGUCAUAGAUGUUUGUUCUAUACAUUUCAUAAUGACUAAGCCGUGUUUGUCUUUUUCUAACUCUGCUUAAUAAUUAAUAAGAAUAAUUAUGUACAUUAUGAUGAUGCAGAGGCAAGAGUUUAACCUUUUUUGUUUGAAAAAAAUAGCAGUAGACGCUCGAUCCAUGUCUGGUUUGUACGACCGGCCGACGACGAACACACGUACGGUAGUGACAAGUACGGUAGUGGGACGAUCCUACGCGCCGACAGGACGACAGUGCCAAGACAACGCUAGGCUCCUCAGCUCUCUAGCUCAUUCCGGUGGCUGCGUCAGAUAAGCACGCCCGGACGUGGCAUCCGUCCGGUGCCUCGCCCAACGCGUGUCAAUGCGUCAGGGACAGCAAGAGGAGAGGCUUGCGUCCGCGUCGUCGCACACGCGCCGUCUCCUGCGCCCGCGACGCGCCUCCUCGCCGGCUAUAAAAUGGCGACGUCGCUACCUCCUCCAUCACCAGCAUCAAACAAGCAACCACAAGCACCGCACAAGCUGAAGCGGUAGAGCACACACGCUCCCUUCCAGUUGAGGUCGAAGUAGCUAGCGAGGAGUGAGCGAUGGCCUCCGGUCAGCAGGAGAGGUCGCAGCUGGACCGCAAGGCCCGCGAGGGCGAGACCGUCGUCCCCGGCGGUACCGGCGGCACCAACCUCCAGGCGCAGGAGAACCUCGCCGAAGGUACGUAGCAAUGCACGUCGACCUUAUGUGUUGGUGGCUUCGGCUACUCAUGUCGUGUCUACGGUGUUGGCAGGGCGCAGCCGCGGCGGGCAGACGCGCAAGGAGCAGAUGGGGGAGGAGGGGUACCGCGAGAUGGGGCGCAAGGGCGGGCUGAGCACCAACGACGAGUCCGGCGGCGAGCGCGCCGCCAGGGAGGGCAUCGACAUCGACGAGUCCAAGUUCAAGACCAAGUCCUAGAUGAUCCGUUAGCCUAGCAAGCAAGACGACUGCUUAGUUGGUUGGUUUACCUUGCAGGAUGAAUAAUGUAGGUCAGGGAUCCUGACGUGUGCACGCAUGUAGGAGAUCAUAUGUACUAGAUCAUGUGUGCUUGGUGGUUAAUAGUAGCCGGUAGUCCGUACUAGGUACUGAUGGUCAGUCAGAGUCGUGUGUCCGUGUCAGUCGGAAGUGUGGUUGUGGCUCCGGCGGCUGGUCCGGCCUCUCUUCCCACCAGCUUUCCGCUGUAUCCUUGUGUUUCCAGUAAUGUAAGUCGUCGUUGCUGAAAUCUGAAGCUUUGUAGUGUGCUACUUCUGCUUUGCUAAUUGUUGGUGUUCCCGGUUUUUUAUUGUUUACCGUAAAACCUCUCCUGAACGAGAACUCUACGUGCCGCAUCA